rnacentral:lncRNA from 1 species
AAAAACAUUACACCUUCAACACCACCGACCUCAAGAGGGCACUGCGCCAGAACACCUGGGGCUGGGAGAUGCCGGUGGUCCUCGACUGGGCCAUCCGCGACAGCCCCACCUGCAAGGAGGCAAGGAAGAAGGAGGGGUACGCCUGCAUAAGCUCCAACAGUCUCUGCCUCAACUCUACCAAUGGACCUGGAUACAUCUGCAACUGCCGCCGAGGCUACGAGGGCAACCUCUAUAUUGUUGAUGGUUGUACCGGUAAGUUCGUCCUGCUACACGCGACUCGAGUAGGACCGAUAAAUCGAAUUUAGAAUCUGAAUAUGAUACUCCCUCUGUAAAUUAAUAUAAGAACUAGAUCACUAAUUUACAGAGGGAGUACUUCACAAUUUCUUGCAAUGCUAUCCGACGAACGUUUGCCAGGAUGACAACCUUAGCGAAUGCCUUCCCUUCUGUCGCACAGAUCUUGGCGCAACAUGAAUACUUCAUUUUUUAUUUUUUUCGCACGGAUCUUGGCGCAAAGCGUACGUUCCCUUUUUAUUUCGAAAAAACUAACGCCGACACGUGUAGCAUCUUGCACAUCGCCCACACGCGUUCAUUACCACUCAUUUUGCCACGUAUGAACAGACGACAUCAGCAAGAAUCCUUUUGAUUUUCGGUUUAAAAUGUUUUAUCUCCUAAUUAAAAAUUGAAUUAAAAAUCCAUUUUCACCAUUAAAUUCGUCUCAACGAGAUCUUCAAAAUUAGACCCCAUGUUGAUAUGUUUCAACGAAAAAAUAUUUUACCCUUUGUCAUGAUGUUUACACUGUAGUUGCCAUAGUGCUUAAACUAAGGUUGCCAUAUGUGGCAAUUUUAGUUUGUAGAGCAUGGCAAUUUUAGUUUUUUGAUGAUGGCAAUUUCAGUACUUUGACCAUGAGUUAUUUUUGGUAUGAACCAUGGCAAUUUUAAGUGCAUGUAUCAUGGCAAUUUUAUUUUAUAGUUCAUGUCAAGUCUAGUUUCUUAAUUCACCGUUUUAUAAUAUGUCAAAAUUUACUUUUAAAUGUAAAAGAAAAUAGCUGAAAUAUAUCAUGACAACUUCAGUGUAAACAUCAUGGCAAUUCAUGUGCAAUAGACAUGACAACUUUUAACCCAAAAAAAUUCGUUGAAAUCUAUUGAUAUAUGAUCUAGUUUCAAAGCUCUCGUCGCGAGAGAUUUAAUGGUGAAAACGGAUCCUCACUCGAAUUUUUCAUUUAAUAGACAAACCAUUUUAAAAACUGAAAAUCCGAAAAAAUUUCCACAUGCAUGCAUGCGGUGACGUGGUGCAGUCUGUGUGUUAUAGGGCGUGUGGACGGGUUUGACUUACACCGCACGUGUCGGCGUUAGCGUUGUCCUUUAAUUUUUACAUACGACCUCCAGCCGGAGUAGCAAGAACGCUAACCACUAGGAUGAAUCUAGGUUUCGUUAACAGUUUCGCUCAAAUCUUUUUUAUGUAUUUGAGUGAGCUGUUUUUAAAUUUGUUUUUCUAUUAAAAAAUCCAAAAAACCUUCUUUUAUUCAUUUGUGAAAGAACCAAAAUCCCUAUUUUUCAACUUGCUAUGUGCAGUUUUAUUAUAGGUAGCAUGGCAAUUCAUAGGCCUAUUUUAUUAUAGUUUUAUCUUUUCGCGAGCAUGGUAUUUUGUUAUCAGUAACACGACAAUUUUCAUUUAUUAAAAGCCUGAUAUUUUCAUAGUCAAAUAAAGGGGCAUGUUUAUUUCUUGGAGGAUGGUCGUUUAACAAUCAAAAUAUGGCAUUUUUAUUAUUCAUAGGUGUCAGCUUUAUUACUAAAAGCAUGACAUUUUAUUAUCAAUAAGAUUUAUUAUUAAGAGCAAGACAAUUUUAAUAGUCAAUAAUAUGGAAUUUUUAUUUACAAGAUUUCAUUUAGUAAUCAACAACAUAGUAUUUUUAUUAUUAAGAGGAUGUCAAUUUUAUUAUUAAUAUUUGUCAUUAACAUGGCAGUUUUUAUUUUUAAGAGUAUGCCAUUUUAAUAGCCAAUAAAAUGGCAUUUUAUUUUAUUAUUUAGAGGAUGGCACUUUAGUGUUUAAUGGCAUGGCAUUUUUUCCUUUUUUGAUCAUGGCAGUUUUUAAAGUUUAGCAUGGCAGUUUUUCAUAAUUCAGAUCAUGGAAAUUAGGGUCUUUUUGUUGUUGUUGGCAUUUCUUCUGAAAAAGAAAACUUAACUGUGUCAACGGACAGAGCGAAAACUGUGUGCUAUUUUUUUUGGGUGAAUGGGCUCGAAUUUGGCCAGCUUUUUAAGGCCCAAAUCGAUCAACUAGUCGCUGAGCAAGCCCAUACGAGCAAAUAUUUUCGAUUUUUCUGGUGAUUCCUUGUAAUGUUUUCAUCCAUACUGUAAAUUUCUCUUCAUGCAUGUACAUACCGUUAAGUUUUUUUUAAUCUAGCACAUGCGUUAAAAAGCUUAAAGAAUUGCCAUAACAUAUUUUUCUUCUAAUAUAAUAACUUUUCCUGUUCGGUCUCUUCUUUUCAAGAACAUAGCCAUCAAGUUAUCAACAUCUAGCCUGUCUCUAGAACUUUUUUGAUCUUCAAGAACAUAGUGUGUGCUCUUUUUAUGAUAUUUUUUAUGAACUUUCAUAAGCUACUUUUGACGUUAUCAAACUCCAUAGUUUUUUUUCUUCUAUAAUACCACUAAUUUUUUUCAUUUCUUGCAUUUUCCAUUUUAAAAUUUUUUUGCUCCAUUUUCCAAAAGUAAAAAAAAUGAGUUCUUUACAGUCCUUCAAAACAUUUCAUUUUGCUGAUUAAUUUUAAACCUAAAGAUUUUUAUGCAUGUUUAUGCUUACUUGACCACCACAUGGAUGCAAAUUGCACCAUUUGUCGUAGUCCUAUAGUUCUCACGGAAACAAAAGAAACCUCCAUGCUUCUUUUUGAGUUUGAACUUUUGCAUGCAAUUCCAAAGAAAAAACGUCAUUGAGUCAAACUCAAAAAAAAAAGAGCACACACUAUGAAUGCACCAGCAAUUUAGAAAGUUUUUCUGCAUUUUCUGUGGUGCAACGAAACAACCUCUGUUGCACUUCAUGUGUUUUCCCGUUUCUUGGAUUAAAUAUGCCUUGACAGUUGAAAUCUACUUCCAUUUAACAGAAGAAACACUCGCUAGUUUGGAUGAAAAAAUACUAUCUUUUUCUCCCUAUAUGCUGAAUCACGGUCGUUUAGUAUUGUGUUCUAACGAAUAAAGUUGAAAAAAAUAUUGCAGAUAUAAAUGAGUGUGAGCAUCUUGACCACUACUCUUGCAAGGGAGUGUGCACGAACAGACAAGGUUCUUACGAAUGUACAUGCCCCAAACAUACACACAGUGCUGAUCCGUACAAAGAAGUAUGCAGCCCGAAUUUUCCAACCAACGCAAAGAUCAUUGUAGGUAUGUAUGUGCCUUCGCUUCACCUCCAAACAGUGUGAUGUGUUAUUUGAAUGGCAAUACAUUUUUUUUCUUCUUCUGCUGAGUUGAAUCGCAAUACGUUAUCCAAACGAUAUCUCUUCCAGCCUUUAUGCAUGUGCAGACUGGAUAUCAUUUAUUCGUCCAUCACCAACAACAUUUUGAACAUAAAUGAUCUAGAAUAUAACUUUGACUGUUAACGCAUUAAGGUGAGGAACUAUCUCUAUUGUAUAUAGUCGUACGGUCAAAGUUUUCUAGAACAGAUCUAUUAAUACAUUGACUAGAGCUACCUAGGAGAUUUUCAGAAAAUAAUCCUAGAGAUUAACUUGCAAACUAAACUACGUGAAUCUAGGCAAUUCUAACCAACACAAGGAACAUGAUAUAUUCUGAAGUCGCACAAAACAGCAAUUCUAACCAACACAAAGUAUGUUUUAGUGAAAACCGGACAUUGGUUUGUUUCCGGAUUCAAAUAGAAGCUUCUGGUCAGAAAACCGCGGUUACAAAGACCCAGCCGUUCUUGCAAUUAAAGUUGCAUAUCCACCUAAAGCUUUUAGCGAUAAAUACCUGUCUAUGAUUGUUUUACUAGGUCCUCACCUUGCGGUAGGAGAUCUCAUACCCUUAUAAACUUGUCUUCUUCACAACUUUAAUGACUUAUAAGUAGGAUUAUGUGCAUCACAAUGAUGCAGAGGGCUGGGGGUUAACCUCCUUUGGACAAAAACAACCUUGAUGACUCCUAAAAAAUCCUAGCACACACCCUGCUAAAUUAAGAAGUACUUCUUUAGUGGGAAUGCAGAGGAGAGCACUCAAGUGGUGUUGCACUAGAACAUGCCAACAGAGGAUAAUGGCGUGUCGAUGAAUCACCCUGAUUUAACUGAAAAACGGAUGCGCUAAAAUUUGAUGAAAUAUGGGCCUAUUAGGGCACGUAUGGUAAUUGAUAAUAUAGUAUUAUCUUAAAUCCACUAUAAUCUGGAGAUGACAAUUAAAAUGCAAUGUACAAUGGGUUGUCUCUUAGCACAUCUGUAGUAACUAAAUAUGAAAAAUUUGCCUUCUCUUAACUAAGAGAUGACCUCGAUGAAUCCACCUAUUCUUCUUCAGCCUCCAAAUUAAAUAUGCCCACAAAUUUGAUGACAUGUAGUACUCUAGCUAUUUUUUAGUACACGUCCCACCACAAUUCAAAUAUUGAGAACUUUGAAAUUAGAACCUUGCUACAUUUUUAUAUAUUCAAGCACCAGCAAAAAGAAUUACUGCAAGUAUUUUUGACAUUUUAAUUUAUUUAUUUGACAAUAAUCCAUUGUAAUGAUAUUGUUUACAUAUUUUUUGCGUUAUAUAGGUGCAAUAGGGGGCAUGUUAGUUAUGGUAAUUAUGGUCUUCUUCUGGCUUCUUAUUGAAGAGAAAAGAAAGAUGAAAGAACAUUUUGAAAAGAAUGGCGGACCUACAUUGGAAAAGCUCAAUAAUAUAAAGCUAUUCAAAAAGGAAGACAUCAGGAAAAUUCAGAAAAGUAGCAACAUUAUUGGAAGCGGUGGUUUUGGUAAGGUUUAUAAGGGGUGCAUUGGCGAUAAUAAUGAGUUAGUUGCAGUGAAGGAGCCCAUCAAUGUUAACUCAGCAAACAAGGGUCAAUUUGCAAAUGAGAUCAUCAUUCAGUCUCGAGUCAUUCACAGGAACAUUUUGAAGCUCGUAGGUUGUUGCUUACAAGUUGAAGUCCCAAUCUUGGUCUAUGAGUUUGUACCUAAUGGUUGCCUUCAUGACAUUCUCCAUAAUGGUAGCAGGAUGCAUCUCGAUAUGUGUAAACGUCUAAAAAUUUCUGCUGAAUCGGCGGAAGGUCUAGCUUAUAUGCAUUCAAAAACCACUACCACAAUCCUCCAUGGUGAUGUUAAACCAGCUAAUAUACUUCUGAAUGACGAGUUCACACCAAAGAUCUCAGACUUUGGUAUAUCAAGGUUAAUUGUUACAGAUAUGCAACACACUGGAAAUGUUAUUGGUGACAUGAGUUAUAUGGAUCCAGUUCUUCUACAAACAGGAUUACUAACCAAGAAGAGUGAUGUCUAUAGUUUUGGGGUUGUGCUCUUGGAGCUCAUUACAAGGAAGAAGGCAUCACAUUCUGACAAGAACAGCUUAUUGAGGAACUUUCUUGAUGCUUACACGAAGGACAAGUCUGUGAUUGAGCUCGUGGACAAGGAACUUGCAGAGGUAGAUCGAGAGAUUCUUGAUAAUUUAGGAGAGAUGAUUAUGCAAUGUCUAAAUCUUGAUGUCAAUCAGAGACCGGAGAUGACAGAUGUUGCAGAGCGUCUUCGUGACAUGGUUAAGAGGUUUAAUGCCCAAUGGAAUGAUCAACUGGAUGAUCAUGUGGUUUCGCAGUAAGUUGAUGAAUUUUACAGAACGACGGAAGUAUUAUGCAUUUAUUUGCUUGUGUGCUUAUUUUGCGUAGAUAAAAUACUGUGAAAGAAGUAUGGUACAUAUAUAUUUCCACACAUAUGGUAGAUUUCCUUAGAGAUUAUGUAUAUUUCCACACAUGGAACAUGUGGAAUUGUUUGCCCGAAUAAAUUGUUUUGUGUAUUUUGUAUGUUUUUCUUGUAAAAAUUGAUUUGUGGUUGUUUAACAUGAAUGUAUAUAUUGUGUUAAUUUCUUAAGUUAUCGUGGAACCGAAAAAGGCAUGGAUAGUUGUGUAUGAGAAAGCCUAUGUCCAUAACAUCCGCAAAGAAAAAACAUGUCCAUAUGCAACCAAGUCCGUAAGUGUACCAGAAUGUUGAGGAACUCUUUGUUAGGGAUAUCAAUGUUGGGGAACGUAGUAAUUUCAAAAAAAUUCCUACGCACUCGCAAGAUCAUGGUGAUGCAUAGCAACGAGAGGGGAGAGUGUGUCCACGUACCCUCAUAGACCGAAAGCGGAAGCGUUAGCUCUACGCGGUUGCUGUAGUCGUACGUCUUCACGGCCCGACCGAUCAAGCACCAAAACUACGGCACCUCCGAGUUCUUGCACACGUUCAGCUCGAUGACGUCCCUCGUACUCCGAUCCAGCCGAGUGUCGAGGGAGAGUUCUGUCAGCAUGAUGGCGUGGUGACGAUGAUGAUGUUCUACCGUCGCAGGGCUUCUCCUAAGCACCGCUAUGAUAUUAUCGAGGAGGACUAUGGUGGAGGGGGGCACCGCAAACGGCUAAGAGAUCAAUGAUCAAUUGUUGUGUCUAUGGGGUGCCCCCUCCCUCGUAUAUAACGGAGUGGAGGAGGGGCCGACCAAGGGUGGUGGCGCGCCCUAGGGGGGAGUCCAAGUCCCACCGGGAGUAGGACUCCCCCCUUUCCUAAUAGGAGAGGGAAAGGGAAGGAAGAGGAAGUAGGGAGGAAGGAAAGGGGGGGUGGCCCCCCUCCCAAUUCGGAUUGGGCUUGGGGGGGGGGCCCUCCCUUGCUCCUUUCCCCUCCUUUCCACUAAGGCCCAUUAAGGCCCAUAUACCUCUCGGGGGGUUCUGAUAACCUCCCAGAGCUCCGGUAUUGUCCCAAUCUCACCCGGAACCUUUGCGGAUCCAAAUAUAGUCGUCCAAUAUAUCGAUCUUCAUAACUCGACCAUUUCAAGACUCCUCGUCAUGUCCGUGAUCAUAUCCGGGACUCCGAACAACCUUCGGUACAUCAAAACACAUAAACUCAUAAUAAUUGUCAUCUAACUUUAAGCGUGUGGACCCUACGGGUUCAAGAACUAUCUAGACAUGAUCGAGACACGUCUCCGGUCAAUAACCAAUAGCAGAACCUGGAUGCUCAUAUUGGCUCCUACAUAUUCUACGAAGAUAUUUAUCAGUCAAACCACAUAACAACAUACGUUGUUCCCUUUGUCAUCGGUAUGUUACUUGCCCGAGAUUCGACCGUCGGUAUCUCAAUACCUAGUUCAAUCUCGUUACCGGCAAGUCUCUUUACUUGUUACGUAAUGCAUCAUCCUGUAACUAACUCAUUAGCUACAUUGCUUGCAAGGCUUAUAGUGAUGUGCAUUACCGAGAGGGCCCAGAGAUACCUCUUCGACAAUCGGAGUGACAAAUCCUAAUCUUGAAAUACGUCAACUCAACAAGUACCUUUGGAGACACCUGUAGAGCACCUUUAUAAUCACCCAGUUAUAUUGUGACGUUUGGUAGCACACAAAGUGUUCCUCUGGUAAGCAGGAGUUACAUAAUCUCAUAGUCAUAGGAACAUGUAUAAGUCAUGAAGAAAGCAAUAGCAACAUACUAAACGAUCAAGUGCUAAGCUAACGGAAUGGGUCAAGUCAAUCACAUUAUUCUCCUAAUGAUGUGACCCCAUUAAUCAAAUGACAACUCAUGUCUAUGGUUAGGAAACUUAACCAUCUUUGAUUCACGAGCUAGUCAAGUAGAGGCAUACUAGUGACAUUAUGUUUGUUUAUGUAUUCACACAUGUAUUAUGUUUCCUGCUAAUACAAUUCUAGCAUGAAUAAUAAAGAUUUAUCAUGAUAUGAGGAAAUAAAUAAUAACUUUAUUAUUGCCUCUAGGGCAUAUUUCUUCAGUCUCCCACUUGCACUAGAGUCAAUAAUUUAGAUUACACAGUAAUGAUUCUAACACCCAUGGAGCCUUGGUGCUGAUCAUGUUUUGCUCGUGGUAGAGGCUUAGUCAACGGGUCUGCAACAUUCAGAUCCGUAUGUAUCUUGCAAAUCUCUAUGUCUCCCACCUGGACUUGGUCCCGGAUGGAAUUGAAGCGUCUCUUGAUGUGCUUGGUCCUCUUGUGAAAUCUCGAUUGCUUUGCCAAGGCAAUUGCACCAGUAUUGUCACAAAAGAUUUUCAUUGGACCCGAUGCACUAGGUAUGACACCUAGAUCAGAUAUGAACUCCUUCAUCCAGACUCCUUCAUUUGCUGCUUCCGAAGCAGCUAUGUACUCCGCUUCACAUGUAGAUCCCGCUACGAUGCUUUUUUUGGAACUGCACCAACUGACAGCUUCACCGUUCAAUAUAAACACGUAUCUGGUUUGCGAUUUAGAAUCAUCCGGAUCAGUGUCAAAGCUUGCAUCAACGUAACCAUUUACGACUAGCUCUUUGUCACCUCCAUAGACGAGAAACAUAUCCUUAGUCCUUUUCAGGUAUUUCAGGAUGUUCUUGACCACUGUCCAGUGAUCCACUCCUGGAUUACUUUGGUACCACCCUGCUAAACUAAUAGCAAGGCACACAUCAGGUCUGGUACACAUCAUUGCAUACAUGAUAGAGCCUAUGGCUGAAGCAUAGGGAACUUCUUUCAUUUUGUCUCUAUCUUCUGCAGUGGUCGGGCAUUGAGUCUGACUCAAUUUCACACCUUGUAUUACAUGCAAGAACCCUUUCUUUGCUUGAUCCAUUUUGAACUUUUUCAAAACUUUAUCAAGGUGUGUACUUUGUGAAAGUCCAAUUAAGCGUCUUGAUCUAUCUCUAUAGAUCUUGAUGCCCAAUAUGUAAGCAGCUUCACCGAGGUCUUUCAUCGAAAAACUUUUAUUCAAGUAUCCUUUUAUGCUAUCCAGAAAUUCUAUAUCAUUUCCAAUCAAUAAUAUGUUGUCCACAUAUAAUAUCAGAAAUGCUACAGAGCUCCCACUCACUUUCUUGUAAAUACAGGCUUCUCCAAAAGUAUGUAUAAAAUCAUAUGCUUUGAUCACACUAUCAAAGCGUUUAUUCCAACUCCGAGAGGCUUGCACCAGUCCAUAAAUGGAUCGCUGGAGCUUGCACACUUUGUUAGCAUCCUUUGGAUCGACAAAACCUUCUGGUUGCAUCAUAUACAACUCUUCUUCCAGAAAUCCAUUCAGGAAUGCAGUUUUGACAUCCAUUUGCCAAAUUUCAUAAUCAUAAAAUGCAGCAAUUGCUAACAUGAUUCAGACAGACUUAAGCAUCGCUACGGGUGAGAAAGUCUCAUCGUAGUCAACCCCUUGAAUUUGUCGAAAACCUUUCGCAACAAGUCGAGCUUUGUAGACAGUAACAUUACCAUCAACGUCAGUCUUAUUCUUAAAGAUCCAUUUAUUCUCGAUGGCUUGCCGAUCAUCGGGCAAGUCAACCAAAGUCCACACUUUUUUCUCAUACAUGCAUCCCAUCUCAGAUUUCAUGGCCUCAAGCCAUUUUGCAGAAUGUGGGCUCCUCAUUGCUUCCUCAUAGUUCGUAGGUUCGCCAUGGUCAAGUAACAUGACCUCCAGAAUAGGAUUACCAUACCACUCUGGUGCGGAUCUUACUCUGGUUGACCUACGAGGUUCUGUAGUAACUUGAUCUGAAAUUUCAUGAUCAACAUCAUUAGCUUCCUCACUUAUUGGUGUAGUCGUCAUAGGAACCGGUUUCUGUUAUGAACUAAAGGAGCAGGUACAGUUACCUCAUCGAGUUCUACUUUCCUCCCACUCACUUCUUUCGAGAGAAACUCCUUCUCUAGAAAGGAUCCAUUCUUGGCAACAAAUGUCUUGCCUUCAUAUCUGUGAUAGAAGGUGUACCCAACAGUUUCCUUUGGGUAUCCUAUGAAGACACAUUUCUCCGAUUUGGGUUCGAGCUUAUCAGGUUGAAGCUUUUUCACAUAAGCAUCACAACCCCAAACUUUAAAAAACGACAACUUUGGUUUCUUGCCAAACCACAGUUCAUAAGGCGUCAUCUCAACGGAUUUUGGUGGUGCCCUAUUUAACGUGAAUGUAGCCGUCUCUAAAGCAUAACCCCAAAAUCAUAGUGGUAAAUUAGUAAGACAUAUCAUAGAUCGCACCAUAUCUAGUAAAGUACGAUUAUGACGUUCGGACACACCAUUACGCUGUGGUGUUCCAGGUGGCGUGUAGCGACCCGACCUCAGACGAUCAAGUCUCUGUGCUUAAGUGUCAUCCCUGGAUUGGUAUGCUGACACACACAGUACUCGAGGAUUUAUAACAGAGGUAAAUCACAUGUAUAAAAUAACGUAAAUACUAUUACCUCAAUCCAAAAUAGCGGAAGCAACAAGGUUGUGGAUUCCCAUCAACACCAAUGGCAAAGUUGACUAUAGGAAAUCGUAACCCUAACGUAUCACUUACUCGUCGUAAGAUCCUGCAACAUGAGACGUUGCAGCCACAGAGGGUCAGUACAUUGAAUGUACUGGCAAAUUCACACCAUAGAGCAAUGAUGAAUAAAGGCUAUCAGUACAUGCAUAUAUGGCUGGUGGAAAAGCUCUACGGUUACAGUUUUUGCGAAAAGCCAAUUUUCCCCUACUACAAAGGAAUAAAUUUAUUUAACUAUCAUGGUGGUUGUUAAACAUUGAGAAUGGUUGACAGCAUUCUCAAUCCCAAUUAAAAAGUACUCAUUAAAAACCCAACAGUAUUAAUUAAAGUAACAUGAUGAGAUUCACAUGAUAAUCAAGUACUAGAUGCUCAAGAUGUCCAUAACCGGGGACACGGCUAAUCAUGAUUAGUUUGUACACUCUGCAAAGGUUUGCGCACUUUUCUCACAAGACUCGAUCGCCUCCGUUUGAUUCCUCGCACUACAUGAUGUUUGAGAAACGGAUGACCGAGACAUAGUCUUUCAGAAGCACUAGCACCUUACAUGUGGGUAGACCGGUACACCUACUUUCCCCUACAUCUGCUAGUCUACCCGUAAGAGUUUGCACAACUUAGUCAACUAUGCCAGAGCCCAUAAUGGCUUGUGGUUGCACACGGAAGUUUCUAGUUUGAAUAAUCUCAUGAUCCCUUUGAGCCUGGGUGGCGGUCCGAAGAAAAACAGGCAAGUCCUGGAAACCCAGGUGCCUAGACAGGCAAGUCCUGGAGUAACCAGGUGCCUCAAUCCACCCAGAUGUGUGUUUAAGUUGCCACCUUAAAUAAACCAUUAAUUAACAAUCUCACAUCUGUCAUGGAAAUUCACUCACCCAAUCCACAUCUACUAGCAUAGCAUGGCAUAAUAAGCAAACGUAGAAGUAACUCCCAAGGGUUUGAAAAUAAAAUAGGUAAUAGGUGCUACUCAAUCUACUUCCCAAAACCCACAAUUUAAUUUAGAUCCUAAUCAUGCAAUUGUUUGGAGGAUUGAACUAAUGCAAUAAAACUGGGUAUGAAAAGGGAUAUGAUCAAAGUGUGAACUUGCCUGCAAUGUUGAUGAAGAUGAUUUGCACUCAAAACUCUUGAUAGUUCUACUCGUCACACUCCGGUCAAUCUAUCGCGAGCAAGCAAUGGUAACCACACAUAAGCAAUCAAUCAAAAGAUCGGAAAGAACGAGGAAUGCAAUUCGAAAAACAUCAAAAUCAAACAAAUAACUCUUGCAACAUAAAACAAUUUCUAACAGUACCAAAAUUAUGCGAAUUUGGCCUUAUAAGAAAGUUUAGGUCAAGAGUUUCGAUUUGCAAAAAGAAUCAACUCAAACGGAGUUAUAAAACUCAAGUUACGAUCAAACGAAGUUCAAAUUCAAAUCUGAUCUAAUUCAAAUUUUAACUUUCAAAAACAUGUUUGAGUUGUUUUACUGGAUAGAGGAGAUCGUAACAAAGACGUGGGCAUUGGUUUCGUUGGAUUUGGACUAACGAGUAAAAAGAUUUGGUCAUUUGAAGUAUAGGGACUAAUAUGUAAAUAGAAUCAUCACAGAUAGGUCCCUGGCCGAAAUCUAAAAUAAAAAGAAAAAACCUAUCGUAUGAACGUUCGCUACGGAACGCUGACGAACGAACACAUUCGUUAAAACUAUCUAUACAGAGAACAUUCGCUAUUUAAACGAUCUACAAAAAAAAAUAAAACCAAUCUAUAACAGAAACCGAACUAGAAAAGAACCGGGGCGGGUUUUUCGGUGGUUUAUACCGGUUCGGAGCGGUUUUCUAUUGAAAACCGGCGGCGGGACACCGGCGAGGGCGACGCUGCUCCAGCGACUGCGAGGCGCGGCGGCAGCGGCGGGUGGCGGCGCGGCUACGNNNNNNNNNNNNNNNNNNNNNNNNNNNNNNNNNNNNNNNNNNNNNNNNNNNNNNNNNNNNNNNNNNNNNNNNNNNNNNNNNNNNNNNNNNNNNNNNNNNNNNNNNNNNNNNNNNNNNNNNNNNNNNNNNNNNNNNNNNNNNNNNNNNNNNNNNNNNNNNNNNNNNNNNNNNNNNNNNNNNNNNNNNNNNNNNNNNNNNNNNNNNNNNNNNNNNNNNNNNNNNNNNNNNNNNNNNNNNNNNNNNNNNNNNNNNNNNNNNNNNNNNNNNNNNNNNNNNNNNNNNNNNNNNNNNNNNNNNNNNNNNNNNNNNNNNNNNNNNNNNNNNNNNNNNNNNNNNNNNNNNNNNNNNNNNNNNNNNNNNNNNNNNNNNNNNNNNNNNNNNNNNNNNNNNNNNNNNNNNNNNNNNNNNNNNNNNNNNNNNNNNNNNNNNNNNNNNNNNNNNNNNNNNNAGGAGGAGCGGAGGCGGCGGCGAAAACGGGACCCAGGGGCCCCGGGAGCGAUAUAUAAAGGCGGAGGGAGGCGUGGAGGAGGGGCAAGGGGAGGCGUGCCCGGCCGGGACUCGGCGGCGGCGGCGGCGGAGUCGGCCACGCUCGGGACUUCGUCCCGAGCUCGAAGAUGAGGCGGUUGGGAGCUGGGCCGCGGCCUGGCGAGAUGCUGGGCCGGCCCAGUCGGCGAGGCUGAACAGUUUUUUUUAACAUUUUCUCAUACAAAUAAAAACAGAAUAAACAAAUAUAUUAUAUAGGCAUAUAAUAUAUCAAAAUUUUCAUAAAAAGAUUUCCUACGACAUGAACAUUUUUCUAGCAUCAAAUAAAAUACUCACAAAUUCAAAUAAAGCAAAGAGUGCUUCUGCCCUAGUAAAAUCCAGUAAAAUCAUUUUUAAAAAUACCAAAAUUAAUUCAAAUUUAUUUCUCUCCAAUUUUCUGAUGUAGGGAAUCAUGUUACCCUAUUUUCCAUAUAUUUUAUUUUUGGAGAAAAAAAAUUUGAAUAAAACUCAAAUAACUCCAAAUUGAAAAUAAAUUCAAACGAACUUUGAAUUUAAUUCUUUUAAACUCCCAACUCAUAUUUCAUAUUUUUUGAAGAAGUCAUUUUAUCUUCUCUCACGAAAAUCAUUGAGUUGCUUGAAGUUUAUGAAUUGGAAAUAAUUUCAAAUGAAAUUCAAAUAUUUUCAACACCCCUUGUUAUUUAAAUAAAUGGAAGAAGUCAUGUCAUCUUCUCUCCAGGGUUUUGUGGUGAAAAGAAUUUGAAUUCAUGAAGAUCAGAAAAGAAAAUGAAAGUUUUGGAAAGUCCUUUUAUUCCCUCUCAUUUAACUUUCAAAAAGUUUCGAAUUUUACUCAAUCAAUCACACAACAAUCAAGCAACAAUCAAAUCUAUCUAUUUAUUAUAACAUUCCAAAAUUUAGAAUUUUGGGAUGUUACAAACCUACCACCCUUAAAAUGAAUCUCGUCCUCGAGAUUCGGAGAGGCUAGCAAGAAAUAGGUUAGGGUAGGGGUCUUCAAAAUUCCAUCGAUCGUCUCCGGGGUCUCAGGUACUACCACCCUUAGAAACAUGGUUACAGUUCAAUCAAUACUCAUAUACUCCAUCCUUAUUCCUGAGAGUGUCGGUCUCUUCAGAUCUCGGGAAAAUUCCUUCUCUGGGCUCUUCCGGUGGUGGCAUAACCUUUUUCUUAAUUCCUGUAUCCAUUUCAUCCUGGUAAGGUUAGUCCAUGACUAGGUCUGCUUAGCUGACAGGUCUGGCGCCAAUACUAAACAACUAUCGAUAUCUCAUGGUGGUCAACAAUUUAUGGUUUCUCCUGCAAGAAACGGGUCUGGGUUGAACCUCACCGUAUGACCUACGUUUGGCAACAACUGCCUGUACAAGGGAAAAAUAGUAUACCAUUCUAAUGUUCAAACAAGGUUUUGGUCGUCGUCUCUCUACUAUAGGUAAGUCACUCAGAUUUACCGUCCCACAUAGCAAGACGAAUAAUAAGAGUAAGUCGGUAUGGUGAUCAAUCCAUCCCGCACCCAAAUCAUUAUCUUGUAUAUGGUUUAGCGAAUCUCGCAUUCUAACACUCGGUCAUCCUCACAAGCAUUGCAGAAUUUCUCUUGUCGACGAACCAAGUUCGGAUAUAUCCAUUGAUUCUGCAAGCCAAACAAAAUCUAUCGUUCCUUCACAACUCUUAGGUUUUGCGUUACUCCUAUAAAAUCGUCUAUGGGCAAGGUCGUAACUUCUUCCACGGUUUUUCCGUCAGCAAGAGUGUGCUUGCUUCUUGGCAGGUCCUGGGGCCUGUGGGUUAUGGCCCAUCUCAUCACUUGUAGUUCUUGAACUUAUCAUCGGGCAACUGACCAUUAUUCCAACUUCCAACUUCCUAGUAUUCUUAAAUCAAUCCAAUUGUAUUGUCUUCCUUCCUUCUAUUUGCCCCAAACUAAGACGUGAUUACUCAGACUCAUCAUGGAGUUACAAUUGCUCCAUAUUAUCAUAACGCCUUUAUAUCCAAUGGUACUUCAUCUCUUCAUCCUCGUGGGAUAUCCCAUGUACCGAGAUAAAACUUAUACUUUUGAAGUCCAUACUCCACUUCAUGGAACAUCAUUAUCCUUUCCAGGGUCAAGCGUCCUUACAGGGGAAUAUUGGCCAUCUCUGCAUGGCACUUCUUCAACUGGGAAACGUGAAACACAUCAUGAACUCCUGACAGUCCUUCGGGUGACUCCAACUUGUUGGCCACUUGUCCCAUACGCUCCAAAACUUGGUAUGGUCCUAGAAAUCUCGGGGCUAACUUUCCCUUAACUCCAAAUCGUUUAACUCCUCGCAGAGGGGACACACGAAGACAUGCUCGGUCUCCAAUUUCAUAGACUACCUCCUCGCGUUUUUGUGUCUGCAUAACUCUUGUGCCAGGACUGAGCUACCUUCAGUCUAUCUUGGAGCAACUUAACAUUCUCUUCUGAAUCCUUGAUCACAUUUGGUCCAAACAACUAAUGGUCUCCAACUUCAUCCCACAUCAACGGUGUCUGGCUCCUUCUCCCGUAAAAAGCUUAAAAAGGGGCCAUCUUCAAACUAGCUUGGUAACUGUUGUUGUGUGAGAACUCCACGUAAGGUAGAUUAUCAUCCCUACUGGAUCCAUAAUCUAAUGCACAUGCUCUCAACAUGUCCUCCAGAAUCUGAUUGACUUUCUCGAUUUAUCCAUCUAUCUGCAGAUGAAAGGCUGUACUGAACUCUAGCCUAGUACCCAAAGUGUGGUGCAUCUGAUUCCAAAACUUUGAGGUAAACCGUGUUCCUCUAUCGAUGGUCCUCGGAACUCCAUGCAGACAUACAUCCUGGUCAAAUAUAUCUUGGCCAACUUCGCGCUUGUAUAGGUGGUUUUCACUAGGAUAAAGUGAGGCACUUUGGUCAAGCGAAUCAACUACUACCCAGAUAGAAUCAUAUCCCGAUCGGGUUCUGGGAAAUCCGGUAAUGUAAUCCAUGCCAAGUUUAUCCCACUUCCAUUUGGGUAUCAGCAUAUGCUAUAGUAAUCUUUGCUGGCUUCUGAUGCUCUGCUCUUACUCUCUCUAGCAUACAUCACCUACGACUACAUACUCCGCAAUAUCCUUCUUCAUACCAGUCCACCAGAAACACUCCUUCAAAUCCAAAUACAUCUUGGUGAUUCCAGGGCUAAUCGAGUAUGGUGAGUCAUGAGCCUCUUGAAGUAUUUACUUCCUGAUCUUUGCAUUAUUGGGAACAUAUACACUAUCCUCAAACCAUAAGGUGUCGUGCUCAUCCUUACGAAAGCCUUUGGCCUUUCCUUUGCUCAUCCUCUCUUUCAUCUCAGCAAUCUCUUUGUCAUACUUCUGAGCUUCACGAAUCUUUCCCAACAAUGUAGACUAAACUUCCAUUGCUGCAACAAAACAUUUGGGAACAAUCUCCAACCAAAGUUCCCUGAAAAUCCCCGGCUAACUCCUUUGGUAAUCCUCCGCUUAUGAGGGUAUUCGUCCUUGUUUUCUUUAUGGUUGUGUCCUAUUUCUCCACAAGGCUUGUAUGCACAAGGUUUCUCCAUAUCUUUUCCAUAAGGCCUCAACCUCUGGGACAUAAAUCAAGACUUUGGCAAAGUCAACUUAAAUUCUUUCCAAGUGGUUACUCCUUGCCAUCCAUUGAUGGUUUGGUACAUCCUCCACCAAGUAGCAGCAACUCUUACAAAGCACCAAAGAGCAUGCUGGGUCUUAUCCUUUCCGACUACAUGGUUAUUCUUCAUGUGAUCCUCCAUGUUCUGAAUCCAUCAGUCCGUCUUCAAUUGACUCACCGGUACAGAAAAUAUAAGCUCAUCUCUAUUCAUCCUCUAUUGGGUCCAUGGGUUUGUGGUGGGAUAAGAGAGAUCGAGGGGGAUGCACACAGUACAAGCAAUAGUUUUGAAAAGAUAGGUUUUAUUGUGGCUGUCGGAAAAACAUCAAACAAAUGAUAGCUCACAAUCGUCGCAUCUAACGUAGGUAUAUAACAGGGGUUGGGUCUUCUAAUGGUCAAUAAAUCUCCAAAGUCGCAAACUCUUCAAGUCUUGUUCAUGUCUCCGAUGACUUCUUCUGAUCAUGCUUGUCCUUCUCAAGUUCUUUUGCCAAUUCAUCUCUGUUGCUGCGUAGUCUCUCAUGACAUCAUUUAAUAUUUCUGGGGUUGCAUUCCAAACUCCUGGAUUUCAACAUCCUGGGCAUGAGCCAUGGUCCUAAUGUCCUUCAGUUCCUGACGAAUCUCAGGUAUCUCGAGGUUUUCUCCUCUAGCUUGGCUACUUUCAGCUUCUGGGUCCUGAGUUCUUCACGAAACGCUUCAUUAUCAAAUACUGCUUCUUGUAGGUCCAUCUUAACUUCUUGAUGUAACACUCCAGAUCCUGCUGAUACACCAAUUAAGGUUAAAGAUGCAUCCUUUGCUGACAGAUGAUCCAUCAGCCUUCUACCAUCCAAUCCUUCCAUGCAUCUGCAUGCUUAACUCCGCGUGGUGACAAUAACAUGAGUGAGUGAUAGCAUCAUGGAUAUCCAUGUUUAUGACUAUGUCUCUGCCAUGAGCUAUCAUUUCAUAGUUGAUAUUUUCCUGUCUUGGGGCUUUAUUGACAGAACUUUGAGUUUUUAACUCUCCAUGCUCCGGUCUUUCUCCGAUACAACUUGAUCUCGGGUAUUGACAGCUUCCAUAGUCUAUCAAGUUCCAUAAGUGUAGCCUUCCUUGGUCAUACCAAAUCUGGAAAUUCUUCAUAUUCUCCUAGUCUUCGAAGUCUUUAUCCGUUAUAGUUCCGUCAUUAUCGUAAUGUAUAGUAAAAUCCUCUUUAUUCCGAAUGGUCUUAGUUGUCCGAUAUCUGGUCCUUCCUGGAGUGGUCUCAUCAGUCAAAUCUUCGAGUGGUCAAAAGGGGAAAAGGGUAUGGUCUCACUAAAAGGGAAUAUUUGAAUAAGCUCAAAAGAGAAGAGAGGUAAACGAUUCUUUUGAAACGAAAGUUGUAGAGAAAAAUCUUUCCUAUGGGCUUGCCAGUUUCUAGGGUCACGUCCUACAGUCAACAUGUGCUUUGAUACCAUCUUGUAGCAACCCGACCUCAGACGGUCAAGUCUCUGUGCUUAAGUGUCAUCCCUGGAUCGGUAUGCUGACACACACAGUACUCAAGGAUUUAUAAUAGAGGUAAAUCACAUGUAUAAAAUAACGUAAAUACUAUUACCUCAAUCCAAAAUAGCGGAAGCAACAUGGUUGUGGAUUCCCAUCAACACCAACGGCAAAGUUGAGUAUAGGAAAUCGUAACCCUAACGUAUCACUUACUCGUCGUAAGAUCCUGCAACAUGAGACGUUGCAGCCACAGAGGGUCGGUACAUUGAAUGUACUGGCAAAUUCACACCACAGAGCAAUGAUGAAUAAAGGCUAUCACUACAUGCAUAUAUGGUUGGUGGAAAAGCUCUACGGUUACAGUUUUUGCUAAAAGCCAAUUUUCCCUACUACAAAGGAAUAAAUUUAUUUAACUAUCAUGGUGGUUGUUAAACAUUGAGAAUGGUUGACAGCAUUCUCAAUCCCAAUUAAAAAGUACACAUUAAAAACCCAACAGUAUUAAUUAAAGUAACAUGAUGAGAUUCACAUGAUAAUCAAGUACUAGAUACUCAAGAUGUCCAUAACCGGGGAGACAGCUAAUCAUGAUUAGUUUGUACACUCUGCAAAGGUUUGCGCACUUUUCCCACAAGACUCGAUCGCCUCCGUUUGAUUCCUCGCACUACAUGAUGUUUGAGAAACGGAUGACCGAGACAUAGUCUUUCAGAAGCACUAGCACCUUACAUGUGGGUAGACCGGUACACCUACUUUCCCCUACAUAUGCUAGUCUACCCGUAAGAGUUCGGACAACUUAGUCAACUAUGCCAGAGCCCAUAAUGGCUUGUGGCUGCACACGGAAGUUUCUAGUUUGAAUAAUCUCAUGAUCCCUUUGAGCCUGGGUGGCGGUCCGAAGAAAAACAGGCAAGUCCUGGAAACCCAGGUGCCUAGACAGGCAAGUCCUGGAGUAACCAGGUGCCUCAAUCCACCCAGAUGUGUGUUUAAGUUGCCACCUUAAAUAAACCAUUAAUUAACAAUCUCACAUCUAUCAUGGAAAUUCACUCACCCAAUCCACGUCUACUAGCAUAGCAUGGCAUAAUAAGCAAACGUAGAAGUAACUCCCAAGGGUUUGAAAAUAAAAUAGGUAAUAGGUGCUACCUCAAUCUACUUCCCAAAACCCACAAUUUAAUUUAGAUCCUAAUCAUGCAAUUGUUUGGAGGAUUGAACUAAUGCAAUAAAACUGGGUAUGAAAAGGGAUAUGAUCAAAGUGUGAACUUGCCUGCAAUGUUGAUGAAGAUGAUUCGCACUCAAAACUCUUGAUAGUUCUACUCGUCACACUCCGGUCAAUCUAUCGCGAGCAAGCAAUGGUAACCACACAUAAGCAAUCACUCAAAAGAUCGGAAAGAACGAGGAAUGCAAUUCGAAAAACAUCAAAACCAAACAAAUAACUCUUGCAACAUAAAACAAUUUCUAACAGUACCAAAAUUAUGUGAAUUUGGCCUUAUAAGAAAUUUUAGGUCAAGAGUUUCGAUUUGCAAAAAGAAUCAACUCAAACAGAGUUAUAAAACUCAAGUUACGAUCAAACGAAGUUCAAAUUCAAAUCUGAUCUAAUUCAAAUUUUAACUUUCAAAAACAUGUUUGAGUUGCUUUACUGGAUAGAGGAGAUCGUAACGAAGACGUGGGCGUAGGUUUCGUUGGAUUUGGACUAACGAGUAAAAAGAUGUGGUCGUUUGAAGUACAGGGACUAAUCUGUAAAUAGAAUCAUCACAGAUAGGUCCCUGGCCGAAAUCUAAAAUAAAAAGAAAAAACCUAUCGUACGAACGUUCGCUACGGAACGCUGACGAACGAACAUGUUCGUUAAAACUAUCUAUACAGAGAACAUUCGCUAUUUAAAUGAUCUACAAAAUAAAAUAAAACCAAUCUAUAACAGAAAGCCGAACUAGAAAAGAACCGGGGUGGGUUUUUCGGUGGUUUAUACCAGUUCGGAGCGGUUUUCUAUUGAAAACUGGCAGCGGCGGUUAGCGACAGACUCCGGCGAGGGCGGCGCUGCUCCAGCGACUGCGAGGCGCGGCGGCAGCGACGGGUGGCGGCGCGGCUACGGCGGCAGGCGGUAGCGGCGAGGCANNNNNNNNNNNNNNNNNNNNNNNNNNNNNNNNNNNNNNNNNNNNNNNNNNNNNNNNNNNNNNNNNNNNNNNNNNNNNNNNNNNNNNNNNNNNNNNNNNNNNNNNNNNNNNNNNNNNNNNNNNNNNNNNNNNNNNNNNNNNNNNNNNNNNNNNNNNNNNNNNNNNNNNNNNNNNNNNNNNNNNNNNNNNNNNNNNNNNNNNNNNNNNNNNNNNNNNNNNNNNNNNNNNNNNNNNNNNNNNNNNNNNNNNNNNNNNNNNNNNNNNNNNNNNNNNNNNNNNNNNNNNNNNNNNNNNNNNNNNNNNNNNNNNNNNNNNNNNNNNNNNNNNNNNNNNNNNNNNNNNNNNNNNNNNNNNNNNNNNNNNNNNNNNNNNNNNNNNNNNNNNNNNNNNNNNNNNNNNNNNNNNNNNNNNNNNNNNNNNNNNNNNNNNNNNNNNNNNNNNNNNNNNNNNNNNNNNNNNNNNNNNNNNNNNNNNNNNNNNNNNNNNNNNNNNNNNNNNNNNNNNNNNNNNNNNNNNNNNNNNNNNNNNNNNNNNNNNNNNNNNNNNNNNNNNNNNNNNNNNNNNNNNNNNNNNNNNNNNNNNNNNNNNNNNNNNNNNNNNNNNCGCGGCGCAGGCAGCAGCAGUGGGCGGCGGCGCGGCGGAUCUGGUGGCGGCGGCGGCGAAACGCGAUGAGGAGGAGCGGAGGCGGCGGCGAAAACGGGACCCAGGGGCCCCGGGAGCUAUAUAUAAAGGCGGAGGGAGGCGUGGAGGAGGGGCAAGGGGAGGUGUGCCCGGCCGGGACUUGGCGGCGGCGGCGGAGUCGACCACGCUCGGGACUUCGUCCCGAGCUCGAAGAUGAGGCGGUUGGGAGCUGGGCCGCGGCCUGGCGAGAUGCUGGGCCGGCCCAGUCGGCGAGGUUGAACAGUUUUUUUUUAACUUUUUCUCAUACAAAUAAAAACAAAAUAAACAAAUAUAUUAUAUAGGCAUAUAAUAUAUCAAAAUUUUCAGAAAAAGAUUUCCUACGACAUGAAUAUUUUUCUAGCAUCAAAUAAAAUACUUACAAAUUCAAAUAAAGCAAAGAGUGCUUUUGCCCUAGUAAAAUCCAGUAAAAUCAUUUUUAAAAAUACCAAAAUUAAUUCAAAUUUAUUUCUCUCCAAUUUUCUGAUGUAGGGAAUCAUGUUACCCUAUUUUCCAUAUAUUUUAUUUUUGGAUAAAAAUAAUUUGAAUAAAACUCAAAUAACUCCAAAUUGAAAAUAAAUUCAAAUGAACUUUGAAUUUAAUUCUUUUAAACUCCCAACUCAUAUUUCAUAUGUUUUGAAGAAGUCAUUUUAUCUUCUCUCAUGAAAAUCAUUGAGUUGCUUGAAGUUUAUGAAUUGGAAAUAAUUUCAAAUGAAAUUCAAAUAUUUUCAACACCCCUUGUCAUUUAAAUAAAUGGAAGAAGUCAUGUCAUCUUCUCUCCAGGGUUUUGUGGUGAAAAGAAUUUGAAUUCAUGAAGAUCAGAAAAGAAAAUGAAAGUUUGGGAAAGUCCUUUUAUUCCCUCUCAUUUAACUUUCAAAAAGUUUCGAAUUUCACUCAAUCAAUCACACAACAAUCAAGCAACAAUCAAAUCUAUCUAUUUAUUAUUACAUUCCAAAAUUUAGAAUUUUGGGAUGUUACAUGGCGUGAGUUGCGAAACUAUUCCGCAUUGCUUCAAAUGUAAACCAAAAUCGUAACUCAAAUAUUCUCCUCCAUGAUCAGAUCGUAGAAACUUUAUUUUCUUGUUACGAUGAUUUUCAACUUCACUCUGAAAUUCUUUGAACUUUUAAAAUGUUUCAGACUUAUGUUUCAUCAAGUAGAUAUAUCUAUAUCUGCUCAAAUCAUCUGUGAAGGUGAGAAAAUAACGAUAUCCGUCGCGAGCCUCAACAUUCAUUGGACCACACACAUCAGUAUGUAUGAUUUCCAACAAAUCAGUUGCUCGCUCCAUAGUUCCGGAGAACGGCGUUUUAGUCAUCUUCCCCAUGAGGCAUGGUUCGCAAGUACCAAGUGAUUCAUAAUCAAGUAAUUACAAAAGUCCAUCAGUAUGGAGUUUCUUCAUGCGCUUUACACCAAUAUGACCUAAACAGCAUUGCCACAAAUAAGUUGCACUAUCAUUAUCAACUCUGCAUCUUUUGGCUUCAACAUUAUGAAUAUGUGUAUCACUACUAUCGAGAUUCAUCAAAAAUAGACCACUCUUUAAGGGUGCAUGACCAGAAAAGAUAUUAUUCAUAUAAAUAGAACAACCAUUAUUCUCAGAUUUAAAUGAAUAACCGUCUUGCAUCAAACAAGAUCCAGAUAUAAUGUUCAUGCUCAACGCUGGCACCAAAUAACAAUUAUUUAGGUCUAGAACUAAUCCCGAAGGUAGAUGUAGAGGUAGCGUGCCAACGACGAUCACAUCGACUUUGGAACCAUUUCCCACGCGCAUCGUCACCUCGUCCUUAGCCAGUGUCCGCUUAAUCUAUAGUCCCUGUUUCGAGAUGCAAAUAUUACCAACAGAACCAGUAUCAAAUACCCAGGUGCUACUGUGAGCUUUGGUAAGGUACACAUCAAUAACAUGUAUAUCACAUAUACGUUUGUUCACCUUGCCAUCCUUCUUAUCCGCCAAAUACUUGGGGCAGUUCCGCUUCCAGUGACCUGUCUGCUUGCAAUAGAAGCACUUUGUCUCAGCCUUAGGUCCAGACUUGGGUUUCUUCUCUUGAGUAGCAUUUGUUUGCUGUUCUUCUUGAAGUUCCCCUUCUUUUUCCCUUUGCCCUUUUUAUUGAAACUGGUGGUCUUAUUGACCAUCAACACUUGAUUAUCCUUCUUGAUUUCUACCUCCGCAGCCUUUAGCAUCGCGAAGAGCUCGGGAAUUGUCUUUUCCAUCCCUUGCAUAUUAUAGUUCAUCAUGAAGCUCUUGUAGCUUGGUGGCAGUGAUUGAAGAAUUCUGUCAAUGACGCUAUCAUCCGGAAGAUUAACUCCUAGUUGAAUCAAGUGAUUGUUAUACCUAGACAUUCUGAGUAUAUGCUCACUGACAGAACUAUUCUCCUCCAUCUUGCAGCUUUAGAACUUAUUGGAGACUUCAUAUCUCUCAAUCCGGGCAUUUGCUUGAAAUAUUAACUUCAACUCCUGGAACAUCUCAUAUGCUCCAUGACGUUCAAAACGUCGUUGAAGUCCCGGUUCUAAGCUGUAAAGCAUGGCACACUGAACUAUCGAGUAGUCAUCAGCUUUGCUCUGCCAAACGUUCAUAACAUUUGUGUUGCUCCUGUAGCAGGUUUGGCACCUAGCAGUGCUUCUAGGACGUAAUUCUUCUGUGCAGCAAUGAGGAUAAUCCUCAAGUUACGAACCCAGUUCGUGUAAUUGCUACCAUCAUCUUUCAACUUUGCUUUCAAGGAACGCAUUAAAAUUCAAUGGAGCAACAACACGAGCUAUCUAUCUACAACAAACAUAGUCAAGCAAAAUACUAUCAGGUACUAAGUUCAUGAUAAAUUUAAGUUCAAUUAAUCAUAUUACUUAAGGACUCCCACUUAGGUAGACAUCCCUCUAAUCAUCUAAGUGAUCACAUGAUCCAAAUCAACUAAACCAUAACCGAUCAUCACGUGAAAUGGAGUAGUUUUCAAUGGUGAACAUCACUAUGUUGAUCAUAUCUACUAUAUGAUUCACGCUCGACCUUUCGGUCUCAGUGUUCUGAGGCCAUAUCUGCAUAUGCUAGGCUCGUCAAGUUUAACCUGAGUAUUCUACAUGUGCAAAACUGGCUUGCACCCGUUGUAGAUGGACGUAGAGCUUAUCACACCUGAUCGUCACAUGGUGUCUGGGCACGACGAACUUUGGCAACGGUGCAUACUCAGGGAGAACACUUUUAUCUUGAAAUUUAGUGAGAGAUCUUCUUAUAAUGCUACCGUCAAACAAAGCAAUAUAAGGUGCAUAAAAGCUAAACAUCACAUGCAAUCAAUAUAAGUGAUCUGAUAUGGCCAUCAUCAUCUUGUGCUUGUGAUCUCCAUCUCCGAAGCACCGUCAUGAUCACCAUCAUCACCGGCGCGACACCUUGAUCUCCAUCAUAGCAUCAUUGUCGUCUCGCCAACUAUUGCUUCUACGACUAUCACUACCGCUUAGUGAUAAAGUAAAGCAAUUACAGGGCGAUUGCAUUGCAUAGAAUAAAGCGACACCAUAUGGCUCCUGCCUGUUGCUGAUAACUCGGUUACAAAACAUGAUCAUUUCAUACAAUAAAAUAUAGCAUCACGUCUUGACCAUAUCACAUCACAACAUGCCGUGUGAAAACAAGUUACACGUCCUCUACUUUGUUGUUGCAAGUUUUACGUGGCUGCUACGGGCUGAGCAAGAACCGUUCUUACCUAAGCAUCAAAACCACAAUGAUAGUUCGUCAAGUUAGUGUUGUUUUAACCUUUUCAAGGACCGGGCAUAGCCACACUUGGUUCAACUAAAGUUGGAGAAACUGACACCCGCCAACCACCUGUGUGCAAAGCACAUCGGUAGAACCAGUCUCGCGUAAGCGUACGCGUAAUGUUGGUCCGAGCCGCUUCAUCCAACAAUACCGCCGAACCAAAGUAUGACAUGCUGGUAAGUAGUAUGACUUGUAUCGCGCACAAGUCACUUGUGUUCUACUCAUGCAUAUAACAUCAACGCAUAAAACCUAGGCUCUAAUACCACUGUUGGGGAACGUAGUAAUAUCAAAAAAAUUACUACGCACACGCAAGAUCAUGGUGAUGCAUAGAAACGAGAGGGGAGAGUGUGUCCACGUACCCUCAUAGACCAAAAGCGAAAGCGUUCACUACACGAAUCCAGUAUUUUGCCGUCUGCCAUGGCGGACGGCAAAGGCACGGACCGCGGACGGCAAAGAUCUUUGCCGUCAGCGGCGGACGGCAAAGAGUGAUGGCAAAGACAGGGUCGGCAAAUAGUUCCUUUGCCGGCUGCUUCUCAUCGCGGACGGCAAAGAGUCCUUUGCCUACAGCGGCGGACGGCAAAGGGGACAGACGGCAAAAUACUUGACGUCCACCAGCGUUAGUCCGUUAGGUGGCUAACGGCGCCCUUUGCCGUCCGCCAGCGGAUGGCAAAUUUGACCACCCCUUUGCCGUCCGCCAGUUGACGUCAGCAGUGCGUCAACGCCCACGGUGGUUUGCCCAAAUGGCACAGGUGCCAGGAAGCACAGGUGGGCGCCAUGUGUCCCCUUUGCCCACAGUGGCGGAUGGCAAAGGGCUCUUUGCCGUCAGUGGCGGACGGCAAAGAGCCUGCACUGCCUCUUUUGAAUUUUGUUUUUCUUAUAUCCAACAAUUAUCACAACACACAACACAUAUAUAUCCAUCACAUAAAUAUCACAACACAUAUACAUAUCACAUCACAUAUAUAUCCAUCACAUAAAUAUCCAGCACAUAUAUAUCCAUCCAUACAUACAUAGUAGGUUGCACAUAGUCUCAUGAAUCCAUACAUAUUAUAAUAUGCAAAGUUUCAUCAUAGCAAGCGAGCAGAAUACAAGAAGUGCAUCAAAGGAAAAAACAAGCAAUCCAUCAUAUGAUGAUGGCUUCCGUGAAGUGAAUGAAACCUGCAAAAUGACAAAUAAGAAAGUUAGAAAAAGAAUAGAAGAAGAAGAAGAAGACUAGAAGAAGAAGUAUAUGCCAUUUAUUAGCUAACUUAGGUGAACUGGAUCAUUUAUGAGCUAAAUUAGUUGAAAUGGAUCGUUUAUGAGCUAAGUUAGGUGAAAUGGAUCUUUUAUGAGCUAAGUUAGGUCAAAUGGAUCGUUUAUGAGCUAACCUAGGUGAAAUAGGUCGUUUAUGAGCUAACCUAGGUGAAGUGGGUCGUUUAUGAGCUAACCUAGGUGAAAUGGGUCGUUUAUGAGCUAACCUAGGUGAAAUGGGUCAUUUAUGAGCUAACCUAGGUGAAAUGGGUCGUUUAUGAGCUAACCUAGGUGAAAUGGGUCGUUUAUGAGCUAACCUAGGUCAAAUGCAUCAUUUAUGAGCUAACCUAGGUGGAAUGGAUCAUUUUGGAGCUAACUUAGUUGAAAUGGGUCGUUUAUGAGCUAACUAAGGUGAAAUGCCACGUUUUUGAGCUAACUAAGGUGAAAUGGGUCAUUUUGGAGCUAACCUAGGUGAAAUGGGUCAUUUUGGAGCUAACCUAGGUGAAAUGGGUCAUUUAGGAGCUAACGUAGGUGAAAUAGGUCAUUUUAAAGCUAACGUAGGUAAAAUGGAUCAUUUAGGAGCUAAUCUACGUAAAACGGGUCAUUUUAGAGCUAACUUGGAUAAAUUGGAUCACUUGUAAGCUAACUAAGGUAAAAUGAGUCAUUUUAGAGCUAAGUUAGGUAAAAUGGAUCGUUUAUGAGCUAACUAAGCUAAUUAUGCAAUUUUUGACAUAAGUAACCUUAUUAAGUCAUUUUGAAGGAAAAGAAGCUAACUCUAGGUCAUUAUGGUAAGCAUAUUGGAGGAAAUAAAGCUAAGUCUAAGUCUAGAGAAACUUACCAUGAUCAGGGAGGUGUAGGAGCGGGCUGGCUCGUGCCGGUAGCUGGAGAAGGAUCAUGCGAUGCAUUUCUGGAGUUAAGCUGCACCAAAGAUCAUUUCCAAUGUCUCGUUAGCAUUAUGACACUCAAAUGUUAAGACUAGCAAGUAAUGUCCAUUCAAAUUAAACUCACCGUGGUCCCAGGAGAAAUCACUGGCAUCGGCGGAGCGGUCUGAUCGGACUUCUCGCACACAGACUGCACAUUUGGUUUUCACAACAGAGUCAUACUAGUUAGUAAUGAGACUCAAAUGUUAAGACUAGCAAGUAAUCUGCAGAAGAAACUUACCACAAGGAGCUCAUACAUGGCCCUUGCCUGCAUGUCAUUCCGUGCCCUCUCCUCCUCCAACAUCUUUAUCAUCCUCUCCUCCAACUCCCGCUGCCUCUCCGCCGCCUCCACCAGAAGUUUCUCCGUUCUAUCUCUCUCACUCUGUAUAGCAGCCUGCAACACCACUCACAUGACCAUUUGUAAUCAUUGAUGGAAGCGCACACAAUGUAAUGGAGAAAGAUAGCUGAGUACGUAUAACUAACCUUGAUGGCGAGUUGGACUGGCUGUUCCCGAGGCCUUAUCUCAGGAGCGGAGCUCGACUGGAGCACCUUGAUCUCCGGGAGAGUGCUAGGACAACGGAUAAGUCCAUCUCCCAUGGCUAUGGAGCCAUGGGACCUCCCGCCACCAUAUAUCAUCAGCAACUCUGUAUCAAUGGGACCCUAGCUCGGGUUAAAGUCCACCCCUUUCCUCGCCUUCCCCUGAUCUCUAUAUUGCACGAGCUUGUCGUGGGUGGAGAUGUUGGUGAAGUUCUUUGGAUCAUCGAGGUCAGACGUAGAGAAUGCCUUGACUUUCUUGUAAGAGCCAGUGUGGGCCAUGGCAUACAGGUCGUACACCUCUGGCACCUUAUCCGCCUUAUUGUAGCGUGCCUGAAAGAGAGAAACAAGUAAAUUAGUAAUUAAAGGGCUAAAGCUAGCAUGAUGAAUGAAUUGCAUGAAUCAUGAAGCAAACCACAUACCCAGUUCCGCCCGUACUGAAAUAAGUUGGAGCUGCCUUGGUGGUGUGGCACACCUUCCAUUUGGGCACGUUUGUCCUUGGCCUCGUUGUGGGUGGCCUGCCAUUCUUUUGAGAACCACGCAUGGACCAACACCUCCCAACAAUCCAUCCGAUCCGCACACCAUCUCUGAGGGGCCUAAGUUAGCAAAUAGAAACUUCAGCGCUACGGCUAUGAAUUACUAAAUGAAGGAAUUAAGUACAAGGCCUUAAGAAUUACCUUCAUGUAGUGCUCCUUACUCAAGAACUUAUCGCGGCACUCCUGCUUGGACUUCUUGAUACCACGCUCGGCGUAGUAGUCUCGAACAGCCUGCACCCGAGCCUCAUGCCGUAAGUUCUGAAGUAGGCGCUUGCACUCCUUGUGGAUAACAUCUGCCGCCUCCUCCUCGUAUCCCUCCUCACACCUGUAGAAUGUCUGCAAUCAAAUGAGACAAUAUUGAUUAGUACAAUUAAUAGCUAGCUAGUUGAAGAUUUUUAAUUGUGUAAAGGAGAAAUUACCCAGAACUUUCUGAUCACCAUGUCUGCCCUCGUCUUGCACAAGACACCGUCGAUAAUCUCACCCAGCGGGGCCGGGGCAGCCAAGUAGUGCUCCCAACUCAAUCCAACCUCUGGAAUCCGACCCUCACCAGGCAACAUGACAAACCCCGGAAAGUUUUGCCGAAUCAGAACUCCAAGGACGGAGUUGGGCCGGCGGACACUUUCAUGGUGGUCCCAACCCCUGCAGCAUGACAAGGCCAACACAUUAGUUAUUUGAAGAAACGUGAAUGCAGAAGGUACAAAAGGAUUAAAUGCACUUACCUCUCCCCAUCACGGAAAAUCAACCACCUCUGCUCGCGGGUCGCCGGCACGGACGGGAGCCAUGUAGCACCACGCUGGUAGACGUUGCCCCCUCCUCCCCCUCCUCCUCAAAAUCAGUCGGCUCCCCACCAUCAUCAGCAUGGCCACUCAGCUCCCCUCCAUCAUCAGCAUGGCCACUCGGCUCCUCAGGCUGACCCUACCAAGUACCCCAUCGACACGUGUGCUCCUCCGGGUCUCGUGGGCCCAACUCUUGUGGGCCGAAGGCCCGUCGACACGAGGCUCGUGGGCCGAAGACCCGUGGACCGGAGGCUCAUGGACCGGAGUCCGUGUAGCCUCCUCCUCAGACGAGUCCACCCUAGCAGUCACGUGCUCGGGUGAAACAGCUGGGGGCGGCGGCGAGGAAGGCACCGUAAGAGUCACCCUACCUCCUCUACCUCCUCUCCCGCGACCACGUGCUCCACCUCCUCUCUUCUUCUUACCUCGUCCCCUGCUAGGCACCGCGGUCGACGAAGAAGGGCCUAGCGGUGUCGCCAUACUGUCUAGCAACGCUCGGCGAAGAGGUGCGUGUGGAAUGGAAGACCUCACACUACGCGCCGACGAAGAAGGGGCCUCGGCGCGCUCCCGACCAGCGCCCACCAUCUUUCAACACCUGCCAUGACAAAGAAUAAACGAAAUUAGUACAACAUGAAAAAAAGUACCGACAUGAAUAAUAAUAUGUAUAUCACUUAAGUGUAUCAUCAUCAAGUACAACAUAAACAACUGCACAUUUAAAACUACCCGAUCAACACAAUUAUAUAUGAUGUUUUUCAUAACAAAAUCGAAAAAUAUAUGACCUAACUAAUAAUUCACAAAUAUAUGACCCCGUCGGCCUCUGGAAGGCCAAAGAACACCUUUUCGGGAGGUGUCGGGGGUCGGGGUGUCGUGUCGGUAUCGGGGUGCCGUGUCGGGGUCGGGGUCUUNNNNNNNNNNNNNNNNNNNNNNNNNNNNNNNNNNNNNNNNNNNNNNNNNNNNNNNNNNNNNNNNNNNNNNNNNNNNNNNNNNNNNNNNNNNNNNNNNNNNNNNNNNNNNNNNNNNNNNNNNNNNNNNNNNNNNNNNNNNNNNNNNNNNNNNNNNNNNNNNNNNNNNNNNNNNNNNNNNNNNNNNNNNNNNNNNNNNNNNNNNNNNNNNNNNNNNNNNNNNNNNNNNNNNNNNNNNNNNNNNNNNNNNNNNNNNNNNNNNNNNNNNNNNNNNNNNNNNNNNNNNNNNNNNNNNNNNNNNNNNNNNNNNNNNNNNNNNNNNNNNNNNNNNNNNNNNNNNNNNNNNNNNNNNNNNNNNNNNNNNNNNNNNNNNNNNNNNNNNNNNNNNNNNNNNNNNNNNNNNNNNNNNNNNNNNNNNNNNNNNNNNNNNNNNNNNNNNNNNNNNNNNNNNNNNNNNNNNNNNNNNNNNNNNNNNNNNNNNNNNNNNNNNNNNNNNNNNNNNNNNNNNNNNNNNNNNNNNNNNNNNNNNNNNNNNNNNNNNNNNNNNNNNNNNNNNNNNNNNNNNNNNNNNNNNNNNNNNNNNNNNNNNNNNNNNNNNNNNNNNNNNNNNNNNNNNNNNNNNNNNNNNNNNNNNNNNNNNNNNNNNNNNNNNNNNNNNNNNNNNNNNNNNNNNNNNNNNNNNNNNNNNNNNNNNNNNNNNNNNNNNNNNNNNNNNNNNNNNNNNNNNNNNNNNNNNNNNNNNNNNNNNNNNNNNNNNNNNNNNNNNNNNNNNNNNNNNNNNNNNNNNNNNNNNNNNNNNNNNNNNNNNNNNNNNNNNNNNNNNNNNNNNNNNNNNNNNNNNNNNNNNNNNNNNNNNNNNNNNNNNNNNNNNNNNNNNNNNNNNNNNNNNNNNNNNNNNNNNNNNNNNNNNNNNNNNNNNNNNNNNNNNNNNNNNNNNNNNNNNNNNNNNNNNNNNNNNNNNNNNNNNNNNNNNNNNNNNNNNNNNNNNNNNNNNNNNNNNNNNNNNNNNNNNNNNNNNNNNNNNNNNNNNNNNNNNNNNNNNNNNNNNNNNNNNNNNNNNNNNNNNNNNNNNNNNNNNNNNNNNNNNNNNNNNNNNNNNNNNNNNNNNNNNNNNNNNNNNNNNNNNNNNNNNNNNNNNNNNNNNNNNNNNNNNNNNNNNNNNNNNNNNNNNNNNNNNNNNNNNNNNNNNNNNNNNNNNNNNNNNNNNNNNNNNNNNNNNNNNNNNNNNNNNNNNNNNNNNNNNNNNNNNNNNNNNNNNNNNNNNNNNNNNNNNNNNNNNNNNNNNNNNNNNNNNNNNNNNNNNNNNNNNNNNNNNNNNNNNNNNNNNNNNNNNNNNNNNNNNNNNNNNNNNNNNNNNNNNNNNNNNNNNNNNNNNNNNNNNNNNNNNNNNNNNNGGCGGUGAGUGGUGGGGGCGGCGGCGCGCGUGUGGGAGCAGGGGAGAGAAACAGAGAGAGAGGGGCGGGGUGGGGGCGCGUCGUUAGAUAUGUUUAAUCUUUGCCGUCUGCCACCUUUGCCGUCCGCUAAUGUGCUCUUUGCCGUCCGCUAGCGGACGGCAAAGAGGGGGGGCCGUUAAGUAUUUUUUAACCAGCUCCUCAUUGGGGCCCCCUCCCUCUUUGCCGUCUGCUAGCGGACGGCAAAGAACAAGCUGAUGGCAAAGGCUUUCUUUGCCAUCGGCCAGUUCUUUGCCAUCUGCUUCCGGGUAGCUUAUGGCAAAGAGCUGGCAGAUGGCAAAGUAGCUGAUUCCAGUAGUGGUUAGCACAAUGCGGUUGAUGUAGUCGUACGUCUUCACGGCCCGACCGAUCAAGCACCGAAACUACGGCACCUCUGAGUUCCUGCACACGUUCAGCUCGAUGACGUCCCUCGUACUCCGAUCCAGCCGAGUGUCGAGGGAGAGUUCCGUCAGCACGAUGGCGUGGUGACGAUGAUGAUGUUCUACCGUCGCAGGGCUUCGCCUAAGCACCACUAUGAUAUUAUCAAGGAGGACUAUGGUGGAGGGGGGCACCACACACGGCUAAGAGAUCAAUGAUCAAUUGUUGUGUCUAUGGGGUGCCCCCCUCUCCUGUAUAUAAAGGAGUGGAGGAGGGGGCCGGCCAAAGGGGGUGGCGCGCCCUAGGGGGGAGUCCAACUCCCACCGGGAGUAGGACUCCCCCCUUUCCUAUUAUGAGAGGGAGAGGGAAGGAAGAGGAAGGACGGAGGAAGGAAAGGGGGGCCGGCCCCCCUCCCAAUUCAGAUUGGGCUUGGGGGGGGCGCCCCCUCCCUUACUCCUUUCCCCUCCUUUCCACUAAGGCCCAUUAAGGCCCAUAUACCUUCCGGGGGGUUCCGAUAACCUCCCGGAGCUCCGGUAUUGUCCCAAUCUGACCCGGAACCUUCCCGGUGUCCAAAUAUAGUCGUCCAAUAUAUCGAUCUUCAUGUCUCGACCAUUUCAAGACUCCUCGUCAUGUCCGUGCUCAUAUCCGGGACUCCGAACAACCUUCGGUACAUCAAAACACAUAAACUCAUAAUAUAACUGUCAUCUAACUUUAAGCGUGCGGUCCCUACGGGUUCGAGAACUAUGUAGACAUGACCGAGACACGUCUCUGGUCAAUAACCAAUAGCGGAACCUGGAUGCUCAUAUUGGCUCCCACAUAUUCUACGAAGAUCUUUAUCGGUCAAACCGCAUAACAACAUACGUUGUUCCCUUUGUCAUCGGUAUGUUACUUGCCCGAGAUUCGAUUGUCGGUAUCUCAAUACCUAGUUCAAUCUCGUUACCGGCAAGUCUCUUUACUCGUUACGUAAUGCAUCAUCCCGUAACUAACUCAUGAGCUGCAUUGCUUGCAAGGCCUAUAGUGAUGUGCAUUAUCGAGAGGGCCCAGAGAUACCUCUCGGACAAUCAGAGUGACAAAUCCUAAUCUCGAAAUACGUCAACUCAACAAGUACCUUUGGAGACACCUGUAGAGCACCUUUAUAAUCACCCAGUUACGUUGUGACAUUUGGUAGCACACAAAGUGUUCCUCCGGUAAGCGGGAGUUACAUAAUCUCAUAGUCAUAGGAACAUGUAUAAGUCAUGAAGAAAGCAAUAGCAACAUACUAAACGAUCAAGUGCUAAGCUAACGGAAUGGGUCAAGUCAAUCACAUCAUUCUCCUAAUGAUGUGAUCCCGUUAAUAAAAUGACAACUCAUGUCUAUGGUUAGGAAACUUAACCACUUUUGAUUCACGAGCUAGUCAAGUAGAGGCAUACUAGUGACAUUAUGUUUGUCUAUGUAUUCACACAUGUAUUAUGUUUCCGGGUAAUACAAUUCUAGCAUGAAUAAUAAAUAUUUAUCAUGAUAUGAGGAAAUAAAUAAUAACUUUAUUAUUGCCUCUAGGGCAUAUUUCCUUCAAUCAACCCAUAUGGAAAAGUGGUACAAUAAUAGCAUGAAAUCAUCAAAAAAUAUGUAUAUGUUUGUGACGGAUCAACAUCUUCGAGCUUAAUACCUACUCCUCCUUGAGUAGGUAGAUGAUAAAACAAGAUAAUUUUUGAUGUUGAAUCCUACGCAACAUAAUCUUGAUCAAAUGAUAUAAAGUAUUGCGCGCUCAAGAUAAAAGUGAUUCAUGACAAUAGUGUAUCAAUUUGACAUUAAAACAAUGAUACAUGAGCAUGCAAAUAAACAAGCAUUGCCUUUCGAGAAUAAAGAUGCUAAAGAAAGUGGCUAUGUACUUAAGAUUAAGUAGGUAUCUCAUGGAGAGCAUAGCAUGCACUAGUAGAAAAAACCUCUUACAGGAUUUCCCUCCAAUAAAGAGCGCUUUUAUUAACUCAAAAUGUAGCAUUGAGCAGAUACAAAGCAUAAAGAGCGACACCUGGUCUCUGCAUAGCUGAGAUGCACACAAUCAUCAAACAAACAUUCUGACAAAGAAUACAAAAACGACAAAUUGGAAACAGUGAAGCCAUAUGAGGCUGAAACUAUGCCUAUGUUGACAGAGAAGGUGGACCGAUUCAGAGAUUAUACUGCCACCCAUGUUGGGUAAAGGCCUCUCUGGCCACCCGCUCCAGCCACAUACACACCGCCUUGAACAGCAAUUGAUGUUUCGUUCGGUGCAGAGUAGACCACGUACGAAGCCAGUGCAUACAACGGUAAAUAACCUGGAUACGAGAAAGAUUUUGUUAUUAAAAACACAAUCAUUUCUACAUAGCCAAACCGACCAUAGAAAGGUAGACGCUCCCACCCAUAUUAGCGUACUAAAAGUAUUUGGUAUUCCAUCAAGCCAAUGCCAUAUAUAUUAGCAACACUUGUCGGUGGAUACAAAUUUGAAGCUAUUUGGAUGACUGACCAUGUAGAACAUGCAAACUUGCAUUGAAAGAAGAUAUGCUUAAUUGUCUCUUCAUGAGUACAAAAACUACACUUCUUGCUUCCUUUCGAGUUGCCACCGGUACGCGUCGGUGAUAUAAAAACGGUUUUUAACCCCUUUCCGCGACGGCAUUUGGAACCGUCGCCAAGUGAGUGUGGGCGAUAGGGGGAUCCUUCCCAAAUGACCCAAAAACCAUCCGAGAUAGGCCCUCCUAGCACAUAGGCUGGGGAAAAAUGAGCUCGUGUGCGAUCCGGUGAGGCAUCGAAACCCAAUCGUUUUCGUUCGUAUGUACAUCCCACACGGUGAAUCCUAGAAAAACAUUUCUGUUCGUAUGUAUAUCACACACAGUCAAUCCAAGGAGUACGUUUCCGUUCUUAUGUACAUCCCACACAGUCAAUCCAGGGAAAAAGUUUUCAUUCAUAUGUACAUCCCACACAGUCAAUCCAGGGAAAAUGUUUCUAUUCGUAUAUACAUUCCACAUAGUCAAUCCAGGGAAAACGUUUCUGUUUGUAUGUACAUCCCACACAGGUUUAUGUAUAGGCUCGUGUGUGAUAGGUGUAACUAUCACACACGCUCUACCUUGAUUAACUGUUUGCUUUUAUCAACUACAUCACACACGGUUUGAUAAAGAAAACUGUGUGGCAUUGGGCUAUCCAUCAGAAGCGCUUUUACUACUAGAACCGUUUGCAAAGUUCCAUGACACAUUUGGCAAGUUUAUUAGUUUACAAUUAAUAACUCCAGUAUUAUGCAAAUUCACAUUUCAGAUCAAACAGUUGUUUGCCAAUUUCAUAUCAGGCACAUAAAUAUAUUUUAACAUCACAGUAUGAUAGCUACCUGAAAACAGCACAGUAUAGCAUAUAGCUAGUUCAACUUCAUAAGGACAAUAUUAGAACAAUAUAUUCAUUACCCUAAUCAAGAUCAUCCAGGCUUGUCUUAUCCACCUCUGCUUUCAGUUCAGUAAGAACCUGUUUUGCACUGGCCAACUCGGUAAGUGCCUCCUCCUUCACCUACACCAUAUUAACAAAGUCUCAUUUAAAAAAAUUUGAGCUCAUUCUCCACCUUCCUCUUUUUAUCCCGCAUCUUCAAAUAUUCUUCAGCGUUGACAACACUUUCUCUAAGCCUACCUUUGUUCUCUUCCUCAUACAUGCUCUAGAGCUUUGCUAGGCAGAUCUUCAAAGACUAUGGCCACUCUCGAUCAACCCACUCCAAGUAAGAACACUUCUGUUCAUCCUAUAAUAUUUGAAACUAGAUCAGUAACAAUUGUAGGGGAAAUGGGUUUAUAGCAACAUAGAAAAUCACCAAUACUUAUUUUGAAAAAUUUAAGAAACAGGUUAAUUAUGACAUAUCUUCUCAAAAAGAUCAAUGUGCAAAUGAAUUAAUUUCUACUGAGACAACAACCAAAUUCUGAAACAUCAGAAUCUUUAAUUAACUACAACAACACUACAAGUUCUUACUCAUGUACUAUAAAUAACAAAUUGAACAUUUUAUGAGGAAGGUAAAUAUAACUGCAACAGCAUAGCGACAGUGUUUGGAUGACAGCAAAUUGAUACUAACAGGUGUGUACAUGCACAAAUUUAGUAACAUAGAACUAAUAGCACUAAGGCCGUCCACUAUGUAUGCCAAAACCGGUGUAAAGACAACUGUUGCUACAUCUCGCACCGGUGCCCUGCACUGGCGAGCCGAUGUAGCGAAAAAAAAUCAGGGACCCAAACUCCGGAGCACCUAGUUGCUCCGAUGCCCAGUUCCUUCGCUCCAUAAAGAUUUAGUAUUUUAUUGCUUGGCUACUCGGAUUUGUGGACCAAAGUUGGCUGCACAAACUGCUACAGUGUUGAUACCAGUGGAAAAGCACUUCUUUCUAUGUAUAGGGCAGUGAACUAAAUAAGCAAUGCCAAAUAAUUUUCUAAUGGCACCGCUGAUGAGAUGGCAACAUUUUUAGAUACCAGGUACAACCUGUGACACUGUCUUAGGAUGCAUUUGGUCUAAGGUGUGGUAUGAAUGGGUUGGGACCGUGAUAGUGUCUAAACCACAUCUAACAAAUGAUAUGUAACAACGAAAGAGGGUCUAACUGAGGGAGUCCUGGACUAGGGGGUGUCCGGACAGCCGGACUAUCAUCGUCCGCCGGACUCCAAGACUACGAAGAUACAAGAUUGAAGACUCCGUCCCGUGUACGGAUGGGACUUUCCUUGGCGUGGAAGGCAAGCUUGGCGAUACGGAUAUGUAGAUCUCCUACCAUUGUAACCGACUCUGUGUAACCCUAGCCUCCUCUGGUGUCUAUAUGAACUGGAGGCCUUUAGUCCAUAGGACACAACAUACAUUACAACAAUCAUACCAUAGGCUAGCUUUAGGGUUUAGCCUCCUUGAUCUCGUGGUAGAUCCACUCUUGUACUACCUAUAUCAUCAAUAUUAAUCAAGCAGGACGUAGGGUUUUACCUCCAUCGAGAGGGCCCGAACCUGGGUAAAACAUCGUGUCCCUUGUCUCCUAUUACCAUCCGCCUAGACGCACAGUUCGGGACCCCCUACCCGAGAUCCGCCGGUUUUGACAUCGACAUUGGUGCUUUCAUUGAGAGUUCCUCUGUGUCGUCACCGAUAGGAAGGAUGCCUCCACCCUUCUUCAAAGACGGUGUUUUCGCCAAAGGGGCCUUGGCCGCCGGCCAAACUAUCCGGCUAGGUGGUUUUCUCAUGACCGCCUGUCCGGCCACCGCUUCGACAAUGACUUCUCAAGUCGUCAGAAGCAAUCUUCACGUCAGCUCGAAAUCUGCCGAACAGUUGGAUCCAAUAGAGCUCUCGUCUGUUAACGAGCUCUUGGAUCGCAUCGCCACCCUGGGAGUCGCUACAGACUACAAUCAGAUUGGGCGUAAAACCGAUCUGAGAGAGAUUAACUCUCCCCAGGCCACCCACCACGUCGUAGUGGUAGAGGAGAAAUACGGCAACUCUUCGCCUAUAUUGAAAACUAGUCACGUCCGGAUUCCCGAACCCUCCAUGCCGGAUUUCCGCGGAGGGGCGGACUUCGAUUGAGCAUUGAACUUAAAACCAUGCGUCGCUCCGGACUCGCUGGAUCGUGUCCAGCAACCCAAGCUUCCGAAUUCGGAAACUCCUCGGCCGUUGAGCCCCAAGAUGGGCAGGGAUCUAGAUUUUAGUCCACCCACCCGCCCAGACAUAUGCGAUCUAUCUCUAAUACGGCAAGAGCCCGCUGAAACAGUACAUCACUACUGGGCCAGAUUCCUCCUGGUUAUGGAUAGGAUAAAGGACUGCCGAGAGGAAAACGCAAUCUCAAUCUUCUGCAAUAAUUGCACGGACAAGGGAAUAUUGAACGCCAUCGAUCGUCGUAAAAUUACACGCUUCACCGAUCUGGCGUCCAUAGUACAAAAGUACUGUGCAAUGGAGAGUUUUCGGAAAACCAAAAACCAAUUUUGGGAUAAUCCGGCCCCAACCCCACUCUGCAACAAAAGGGUGCCUCACACUCAGGCCCCAGAUGAAAAAACGAAAAAGCAAAAACCCAAUAAAGGGCACGGAACCAUACUGGAGGGAUGGCUCAAUGGACCCUGUAAGCUUCAUAGUACAGAGGGAGGCGUCCCAACACAUAGCCUUCGAGCAUGUUGGAUAUUACGGCAGGUGGCCAAAAGUGGCGAGGAGCUUCUAGCCCCGACAAACCACUCCAACAAUACCGGUAUGGUAUCAACAGUCUUCGAGAUCUUCGCAUCAAACAAUAUGCGAAGACGAACAAUCCGCGGACUUGCUGAAGUCUACCAAGUAGCAACAGCAAAUCCAUGGAGUGACACAGCCAUGACCUUCAAUGCUAGCGACGAACCUAAAUUCCGAACAGCUCAAGGACCAGCCGCACUGGUGCUUAGUGCCAUAGUGGACGGCUUUCGGCUUACAAAGGUCUUCAUGGAUGGCGGCAGCGGACUAAACCUCAUAUAUGAGGAAACUCUUCAAAAAAUGGAAAUAGACUGGAGCCGUAUUGAGCGAAGCAGCACAACCUUCAGAGGAAUAAUCCCUAGCCGGGAAACGCGUUGCACCGGAAAAAUCACACUCGAUGUGGUGUUCGGCUCGCCGGACAAUUAUAGAUCCGAAGAAGUCACGUUCCAAGUGGCCCCGUUCAACAGCGGAUAUCACGCUAUAUUAGGACGGGAGGCAUUCACAAUUUUUCAAGCAGUACCUCAUUAUGGGUACAUGAAGCUCAAAAUGCCUGGGCCCGGCGGAAUAAUCACUCUCGCUAGUGAUCCGGACAUAGCACUCUGCGCCGAAAACAAGACACCCACACUAGCCCUGGAGGCACUAUCCGAAGCCUUAGCAGCAGAAGAACUCACUGCGCUACGCUCUACGGUGAACAGGGAUGAUGUGAUACUCGAUAAAAGAUCCAAGUCCACCUCCUUCAAACCAGCAGAUGAAAUAAUAAAAUUUCAGGUCCAUCCAACGGACCAAACAAAGAUGGCCUCCAUUGGGGCACAAUUGAACCCCGAAGUAGACGCCGCACUGCGUGAAUUCCUUCGGGAAAAUUGGGACAUCUUCGCCUGGCAUCCUUCGGAUAUGCCCGGAAUCCCACGCAGGUUGGCAGAACACAGCCUAAACAUCCUAAAAGGAUUUAAGCCAGUCAAACAGGCUCUUCGACGAUUUUCCGAACCCAAAAGACAGGCAGUGGGAGAAGAGCUAGCCAAACUAUUGGAAGCCGGAUUCAUCAGAGAUAUCAAACAUCCGGAUUGGCUAGCAAAUCUGGUAAUGGUACCAAAGAAGGACAAAUCCUGGCGCCUCUGUGUCGAUUUUAAAGACCUCCAUAAGGCUUGCCCAAAGGACCCCUUCCCUCUCCCCCGCAUCGACCAAAUUAUCGAUGCUACCGCAGGGCACGAUUCGUUGUGCUUCCUUGAUGCAUACUCUGGCUAUCAUCAAAUCAAGAUGGCGGAAGCGGACCAAGCCGCAACGGCAUUCAUCACUCCAUACGGACCAUUCUACUUCAAUACGAUGCCCUUCGGACUUAAAAAUGCCGGCGCAACAUAACAGCGCAUGAUUCAAACAUGUCUGGCUACCUAGAUCGGCAAAACAAUCGAGGCAUACGUAGACGACGUAGUCGUCAAAACAAAACACGUCGAAACUCUAGUAGAUGAUUUGAGGCUCACAUUCGACAACCUCAGAGCAUAUGACAUCAAGCUGAAUCCGGAAAAAUGCGUUUUCGGCGUACCAGCCGGAAAGCUGCUGGGCUUCAUUGUAUCCGGUAGAGGAAUUGAAGCAAACCCGGCUAAAAUCCGAGCUCUGUCACAGUUGGAUAUUCCAAAAGACCUCAAACAAAUACAAAAACUAACAGGAUGCGUGGCAGCUUUAAGCCGCUUUAUCUCCCGUCUAGGAGAAAAGGCAUUGCCCCUCUAUCGCCUCCUCAGACGCACCGAACACUUCGAGUGGACGGAUGCUGCCACUGCCGGACUUGAAGAAAUAAAGGCCAUAUUGGCAACAAAUCCGGUCCUGGCUGCGCCCAAUCUAGGCGAACCAAUGUUGUUAUACAUCGCAGCAACCCAUCAAGUCGUAAGCGCGGUACUCGUCGUCGAACGAGAGACAGAAGGGCAUAAAUUCCCUCUUCAAAAACCAGUGUAUUAUGUAUCCACUGUGUUAACUCCCUGCAAAUCCCGUUACCCACACUAUCAUAAGAUAGCGUAUGCGGUGUUCAUGGCAUCCCGGAAGCUCCGACACUACUUUCAAGAGUGUUCGAUAACAGUGGCCUCCGAAGUACCACUCAAUGACAUCAUGAAUAACCGUGACGCAACGGGCAGGAUUGCAAAAUGGGCCAUUGAGCUAUUACCAUUCGAUAUAACUUACAAACCUCGGCGAGCUAUAAAGUCACAAGUUUUGGCUGACUUCGUCGCUGAAUGGACCGAAGCCGAACUCCCUAAAGAGUACGGCGCAUACUCCAAUUGGGUUAUGCACUUCGACGGCUCUAAAAUGUUGGCCGGACUGGGGGCUGGCGUCGUAUUGACGUCCCCAACCGGGGACACAGUCCAGUAUGUACUCCAAAUAAUGUACACCGACUCCAACAACGCAGCCGAAUACGAGGACCAGUUACAUGGUCUCUGGAUGGCAGUCUCCAUGGGCAUUCAACGCCUAGAGGUGCGCGGGGAUUCAAACCUUGCAAUAUCCUAAAUAAAUGGAGACUUUAACGCCAAGGAUCCGAAAAUGGCAGCAUAUCGCAACGCUGUCCUAAAAAUGUCAGCUCGGUUUGAAGGACUCGAAUUCCAUCACAUAGCCCGAGAUAAUAACCACGCGGCCGACGUACUGGCACGCAUCGGUGCAAAACGUGAUGCCGUCCCUCCAAAUAUCUUCCUGGAACGGCUCUUCAAGCCAUCCGUACUAUGGGAAGAGGAGCCCGGAAGUGACAAACUAGAAAAAAUCGCGCCAAUCGGCGAUUCAGCCGAUGACAUAACGCCUUCAGCCCACGACAUAAUGGCAGUAAUCGCACCGUGGACAGAACCAUUCCUAGCCUACUUGCUUAGGCAGGAACUUCCCGAAGACCAAAACGAGGCCCGCUGCAUAGUCCGGCAGUCGAAAGCCUACAAGGUCCAUGAGGGAGAACUUUAUAAGAAAAGUACAACCGGAGUCCUUUAAAGGUGUAUCUCCGAAGAGGAAGGGCGAAACCUCCUGGCUGAAAUCCAUGCCGGACUAGGCGGACACCAUGCAGCAGCCCGGGCCCUUGUAGGAAAGGCAUUCCGUAUAGGAUUUUAUUGGCCGACGGCCCGGGCAGAUGCCCAGGACUUGGUCCAGAGAUGCGUUGGUUGUCAGCUCUUUGCUAAUCAGAGCCAUAUGCCGCCCACCGCCCUCAAAACUAUACCCAUUACCUGGCCGUUCGCGGUCUGGGGGCUUGAUAUGGUUGGACCCCUUAAAGGGGGAACCCACAAGCAAAGGUACCUAUUGGUCAUGGUGGAUAAAUUCACCAAAUGGAUAGAGGCCAAACCGGUCAAGACGGCAGAGUCCGGACCAGUGAUAGACUUUAUAUCUGGGGUAGUACACCGUUACGGAGUCCCCCACAGCAUCAUCACCGACAACGGCACGAACUUCACAACCGACGAGGUUAAGUCAUGGUGCAAAAAUAUGGGCAUCAAGCUCGACUACGCUUCAGUCUAUCACCCUCAAACCAACGGUCAAGUGGAACGAGUAAAUGGUCUAAUGAUGAGCGGCAUUAAACCCAGACUAGUGCGGUCACUUACUAAAUCUGACACGCACUGGGUCGAGGAGCUCGACUCCGUACUCUGGGGGCUGCGGACAACGCCUAACCGCACUACCGGAUUCACACCAUUCUUUAUGGUCUACGGCGCAGAGGCAGUCUUGCCCUGCGACAUUAUUCAUGACUCACCUCGAGUGCGCAUGUACGAAGAAAGAGAGGCCGAGCUGGAUCGGCAGGACAGCUUGGACACAUUGGAGGAAGAACGCGACGUCUCCAAGGCUCGUUCCGCAUUCUAUCAGCAGCAGGCCCGAAGAUACCAAAGCAGAGAAGUACGGGCUUACAACGUUGGUAAACUAGUUCUACGCCUGCCGGACAAGAAAAAGGACAAGCUCAAGCCCAAAUGGGAGGGCCCCUUCAUUAUCGAUCAAGUCCUGACCGGCGGAGCGUACCAUCUACGAAAUGCGUCAGAUAACCGACUCGAGCCAAACCCAUGGAACGCAGCCCGCCUCCGAAGAUUCUAUGCCUAGCGCCGGACUAAGAGUUCGUCCCCUUCCUCCAUCCAAAUUUUUACACUUCGGCUGUCUUUUGUUUCUCUUUUCAUUACCUUUUUACUACAAAGCCCGGAAGGGACUACUUUCGCAUUGUUCGCAUACACUUGAUAUGCCAUCCGCACUCAUUAUACCUGGGGGCUUCUUUUACAGAAGCUCAAUUAUAAGGGUCUCAUGCCCAGCACAUGUGUCAAGCUUCCACAUGUACCUUUUACUCACCAUUAUAUGCAUCGAUAUGACUUAACUUUUGGCCAAGCUGAGUUGCCUGGCUCAUGUGCUUACCCCUACGUUCCUGAUUGUUCGGCUAGGAGGUAAAGGGAGCACCUCUGCGAUUGUUACUACCGGGUCAGCCGGAUGUGUACCUCAGACUGGGUGAAGCCGAAAGCUAGCGUUCUUAAGGGAAUAUUCGGUCGGUGACUUAAAAGAUGAUUUUUACCUACUCAUUUAUCCGCCCCCAGAUGUUUUUUCUGCUCUUUUCGCAGUCUGGACAUGCACUGUAGGGCAUGCCUCCCAGGGAAAGGAACCCUUAACGGAACUAUUCUCUCUGGAAGAUGUUUCUUACUAACCAUGUAAUAUAACAUAACUAGUUGGGCACUUGUCUGAUAAAGCACUAAUGACCCCUACGCCUGGUCUCCAUUCAUACCCCGGUUGUUUCUUAACCAAAAAGGUAUUCGGACACACUCCGGACUCUAGGGUCCCGAGGUCGAAGCGAAAAGGUCGGCAAAGACAAACGAUCUACAAUCCGGCUAGAAGGCAUUUCACAUGUCAAUUUAAAGGAAAACAUACAUUGUCAAAAUUACUGAUUGUAUUCCUCCUCAAUCCCGUCUAACAGGCUAUCUAACUUACAGUCCCGUUGGGAAAAUUUAGCAGCCAACUCUACUUGGCCGUAUACUAAACACACAGGGAUCUCCUUCCCAUCGGGCCCCACCGGUCCAACUUCCGCCAUGUGGUUGGGAUCCGCCCUCUUGUAACACGUCUUCACCAUGGCCCAAGCCUCCCUGGCACCUUGGCGGCAGGCCAAAAUCUUCCAUAGACGGAAGCAUUGCCGCACUCCCUGAAGCUUCUCCGCAAGCUCCCCAAGGCCCUCGGGUAGGGAGAGGGCUGGCCAUAAAGCCUGGACGACGCCGCUCAUUGCCUGCCGAACUCGUUCGAGCAGCUGCAACAGCUCGGGAAGUUGAUCACCCGUUGAUAAGGGCAUCUCCUCCGCGGGGCGACCUGUGAGUAUACCUACAAGACAUAAUCUGUCAAUUGACUUCCUCGCCGAACUCUUCCUUUCAAAGGAGUCCGCUCAAGCACUUACUAUAGAUGCCGCGACGAAGCCGCUUAGUCUCCUUAACAGAGCCGGACAGCUCGGCCCGAACACCUUUCCGCUCUUCUCCGAGCUGGGCGUGGGCAUCCUGGAGCUUGUUCCUUUCUUGCUGCACCCUAGUCAGCACCCUCUCGCCGGCCUUUAGCUGGCAUAGUAAUUCUUGCCUAUCCGGAUCUUGUCCGGCGGCACCUGCAAUGUCACUAUUAGACUUGCGCGCAUGCCGCACAGCGCUUAUAUUUAUUAAUAAAAAUGUGUUUCCAGGAGGGGACUCUGCGUCUCCUCCUGCGGCAGCAAGUGUGGCCUCAAGUUGGGCCUUGCAUUCUUGCAGCUCCUGAGACAGCUGGGCAUUCUUCUUGGUAAGAGCCUGCGUUUUAAAUGAUCCUUAAAUCAGUUAAUAUAACUACUUUAAGUACAACUAGGUGCUUGCCUCCCCAUAUGGACAGUCUGUCGGUGUCCUCUGUUGGAGGAGGAUCCGGCCCAUGUCUUGCGCUUGCCUCCCCCUCUAGGCCGGGCGCUGGAGCCUGGCCGGUAUAGGUUGGAUCGGCAACUUCCGCGCCCGCAGUCCGGCGAGCGCUUUUUCUCCUAUAAAGAUCAUGAGCACUCAGACGCUUCCUAGGAACGUUGCUCUGAAAAUUUAAAUACGAGCUGUACCUUUGUGGCGACGUUUCAGUCCGUGCCGCACUCCUUUUCCGCCUGCUGGUCCGGACUGACCUUUGUUGGUCAGCCGCCGCGGGCUUGGCUUCCCGCCCUGAGGGCGCUUCCUGUAAAACACCAUCGUUUGCGAAGGUCAGAAAUAGGCAAGGAAGAGAUAAUGGUGUCCGGACCUCGGUCACAGUCACCUAGGAAGCCGGAUACAGUCCGGGGUAGUCCGCCGUAAUGGCGACCAAAGCAUUGUCCAUGCUGAGUUGGUGAAACACCCCGUCGAUCAGCUCCACCUUGAUGUCCGGAUCCUCUUCGGAGGCCGGAUCCAGGGAUCUUUCUGGAUCCUCGGGUUGCGGAGCGGGACUUACCAUGUCCUCCACAGUCCGGCGUAGAUCCUGCGCCGAAGACAUAAUGUAAGAAGCCUAAACUUCGAAAGCAUGAGUUGAGCCCUUAAAAGUGUUUGCUUACCCAGCCCCUAGGGUUGUUCAUGGAAAACCCAUUCAAAGGGUUCGUUUGAAGGAAGUCCUCCUUCUCCCCCUUGUAUAGGCUGGACAGGAUCUGCACUAGAUCCUCGGUCGAAUCCGGCCCUUUGCGGCCAUGACGGGUGGCAUCGUCUUCCCCGUUGAAAUCCCACAUGGGGUGGCCUCUAUAUUGUAAUGGCUGUACCCCACACAUGAUGCAUGUCGCCUUGACUCCGAUCAUGGUCAAACCAGAAUGGGCCAUUAAUCUUAUUUGGCCCAUCAAGUAAUGGACGCUCUUGUUUUCCUCCAAUCGGGGGCUCCGUGGGCGCCAGCUGAGGCGUUUCUUCAAAGGAGCAGCACUAAACUCCGGGAGGCCAAUCCAGACUGGAUCCGGCAGCGGAGCGUCUCCUAUAUAAAACCACUCUGAAGGCCAGUCUUCGGACGCCUUCUUGGGAGUACCGGAUGGGUAUCCGGUCCCGGCAAUGCGCCAUAUUUCGGCGCCGCCCACUUGAUAUAUGGAACCCUCGUGAGAACGGGGUACGAGGCAGAAUAGCCUCUUCCACAAUGCAAAAUGGGGCUCAAUGCCUAGGAAUAGCUCGCAAAGAGCUACGUAGCCCGCGAUAUGCAGGACAGAGGCGGGCGUGAGGUGGUGGAGCUGGAGUCCGUAGAACUCCAGGAGCCCGCGGAGGAACGAAUGUAUUGGGAAUCUGAGUCCCCUUAUCAGAUAAGGGACGAAGCAUACUCGCUCCCCUUUAUUGGGGCUUGGGGUAGCCUCCGCUUGCCUCCCACCUUGAUAAGUGACCAGUCCGGCUCGGACUGGGACCAUGAAGGCCGGAGGGAGAUAUCCCCCCGCUUGGAGCUUCGCUAGCUCAUUGUGCAGAACAGAGCACCUCCUCCAAUCCCCUGGCGGUGGGCUGGGAGCGCGAGAAGAGGAGCCGCGUCGACGGUCCAUGAUGGAAUGGAUUUUUAGAUCAAGGGCGCUCCGAUGAACUGUUCGCGGGAGGAAGAUGGUGUGGUUUGGAUCUGGAUUUUUGCCUCUUUUGUAGGCGAACGACUCGCACGACUAGGGGGUGAAACAUAAAAAGACACCCUGGCUUUUCGCAUUCGUGCGACGCGUGGAAAAAGGCCAUUAUUGGGCGUAGAAGCCGAGGAACAUAGUAUUUAUGAUAAAGCCGGACACUGUUCGGCAGGUACAUGGAACUUGAAGGGAGAACCCGCCAUGCAACGCCGAAGACUAUAUACGCGCUGGACUUAUCGUCAUUGAAGCUUGGUUCGGGGGCUACUGAGGGAGUCCUGGACUAGGGGGUGUCCGGACAGCCGGACUAUCAUCGUCCGCCGGACUCCAAGACUAUGAAGAUACAAGAUUGAUGACUCCGUCCCAUGUCCGGAUGGGACUUUCCUUGGCGUGGAAGGCAAGCUUGGCGAUACGGAUAUGUAGAUCUCCUACCAUUGUAACCGACUCUGUGUAACCCUAGCCUCCUCCGGUGUCUAUAUAAACCGGAGGGCUUUAGUCCGUAGGACACAACAUACAUUACAACAAUCAUACCAUAGGCUAGCUUUAGGGUUUAGCCUCCUUGAUCUCGUGGUAGAUCCACUCUUGUACUACCCAUAUCAUCAAUAUUAAUCAAGCAGGACGUAGGGUUUUACCUCCAUCGAGAGGGCCCGAACCUGGGUAAAACAUCGUGUCCCUUGUCUCCUGUUACCAUCCGCCUAGACGCACAGUUCGGGACCCCCUACCCGAGAUCCGCCGGUUUUGAAACCGACACUAACCUUCUCUGCACAAGCCAUAAACUUCCUCCCACUAUCCACAGAUGCAAACGCAACUAGCUUCACACAUGGAGAUUGAUGGUGACAACAAGCAGACAGAUCUUCAGCCACCCCGCUCCAUUCGUUACAACUGAUGGUCCCAGGGAGCUACAAGAGAAAGAAAUGACUCAAAUCGACCACCGCGUAAAAAUCCUUCAUUCCAAGUCAUAGCCCGAGAGAGAGAAGAGAGGCAUACCCGGGUGGUGAAAGAGUCGUCGUCGAAGGAGGAACCGCUGGAGAGGUCUUUGAAGAAGACCAUGGUGAGCCCGGCGGUAGGAUGCGAGACGGCGAGAGCGAGGAAGCAAGCGAGGAAGCGGCUAUAGCUUAGGAAGGAAGGAAGGAAGGAGGAAACAGGGAAAAUGUGACUUGUGGUCGGGGAAAAGGGGGCGGGGAAGGGGGUAGAUAUUUCGGCGGCAGGCCAGAAAUGUGCAGGGAAACUUUGCGCGCGGUGCCGCCGGACACCAUUUACUUUGAACGAUUGUGUGCAUCACAAACGAUUCUUCUGCUUUACGCGCAUGGGAUGAGUUUGGUAAUUCAAAAUUUGGUGGAAAUUCCCCCAGGUACGUCAUUGCAUAAUUUAAUAUUGCUUGCUAAAUUGGGCACACAAAAGCGCAUACAUCACACAUACCACACUUACUGAAUCGAGCAAUUUAGUAAUUAAGCAGAGCUAGUUGACCUAAACAUUGCUCUAACAAAAGACCAGCAUUAAAAACAAAGUGUAAGUACGCAUAUUUUAAUAAAUCCGUUGCCGCGCCAGCCUAUGCAUCACCGGUGUGAGAUGAGACAUCGAUAACUUGUCCUGGCGACAUGCCGCCGUUGGUGGACUCCGUGCCCCCUACUGAAGUUGACCGCGUCCUCGUCCUCGUCCUCGGCGCCGCCCUUAAGGUUGUAGUACUCGUAGUAGUGGUUGCGCUAGAGCUCACGUUGGUACUCCACCAUAGAUUACUCGACGGACAUACUCUUCUCUACCUCGACGUCGGCCACGCGCAACUCCUCCUCCCAGCGCUCCUCGAUCUCCGCCGCCUCCUGCAUCUCUAGCUUCCGCUCGGCGAUCUCAUGAGGAAGCAGGUGCUCCUUGGCCACCGCCGCCUUUUUUGACGUGGGUUGCAUGCUGGAUUCCGAGGUGGCCUGGAAUAUCUUGGCGUGUGCGUCCUCGAUCUUGGUGUGGAUGGCCUUGACCCGGGCCAGGGCGACAUCGGCGGCACGGACGGCAUCUCGAGCGCUCUCGGUGUUUGCAGCCGUUAUCGCUGCAGCAGCUGCAGCCAUCUCGGGUGCUGCAGCUGCCCUGUCGGCUACCGCAGACGCCCUCUCGGUGGAUGCGGCCGCGCUUAAUGCGGAUGUUGCGGCACUCUCAGCGUAAGCGGCCACACUCUUGGCACAGGCGGCGACACUCGGGAAGGACGCGGCCAUCGUAUGAGCCUUCAUGAACAUUUCCAUGGCAUCAUCUUUGCAAGAAGGGGUAUGGGAAUGGGGACCGAGAUUCAUGGAUUCGGGGGUUGCCGGCCAUAGGAGAAGGUGAGCCGGAAAAGCUUAAGGAGGAAGACUUAAAUAGACCCAGAAAUUUUCAUCACAAACGGUUCCUACCAAAAAACUGUGUGUGAUGUUGUGGAUCUUUUUAUUAGCUGUGAAAGACGAAUUUAGAGUGAAGUGGCAACAAAUGGUGUUUUAAAUGUAUGAGAAAAUUGGUAGUACUAAUACAACUGUCAUGUCAAAUUUUGGAAAAUUUCAGGGGUCAUUUAACCUUUUAAGACAUUUAUAAGUGAUUUUCUAUCCAUUUAAUGACCGUAAUUCAAAUUUGAACUACAUGUACAUGCAACAUCUAACCAUAACAGUUUGAAAAGUCAUUUUAUGUAGUUGUGUGCGAUUUAAUUUCAUGUGCAGUGAAUUUGAAUGAAUUUUCAAACAUAUUGGUCUAAUGGCUAUGACACAAUUAAGCAUGGAGUGCCAUGGCAUUUAAAUUCCAAAAAAUUAAAAAAAGAUCAGAAACACAUGAAACCUUGUUUGAUGUAAUGUCAUGCCACCAAAAUGAUGUGGUAAAAAAUUUGGCAUGUUUGACGAAAGUUUGGACACACACCCCUCACAAACCGAAGCAACUCACUAGAAGGCUCGUGGUUCCGAGAGGGAACAAUGCAUGUUUGAUGAAGAACGGGAGAUAGCUUCCCCUUAUGGCCUUUAAAUUUUUUCUACAUUUAACGUGCACUAAUACAACUGUCAUGUAAAAUUUGGAAAGUUUUAGGGGCAAUUUGAUCUUUUAAAGACAUUUAUGUGAUUUUCUAGACAUUUAAUGACCGUAAUUCAAAUUUGAACUAUAUAUACAUGCAAUAGCUAACCAUAACGGUUUGAAAAAUUAUAUUUUUGUAAUUGUGUGCGAGAUAAAUCCAUCUAUAGUAAACUAGAAGAAAUUUUCAAACAUAUUGGUCUCACGACAUGGACACAUGCACGGAGUGCCAUGGCAUUUUAAUUCCAAAAAAAUAAAAAAUGAUCAGAAAAAUAUGAAACCUUGCUUGAUGUAAUGUCAUGCCACCAAGACCAUGUGGUAAAAAAUGGCUUGUUUCACAAAAGUUGGACACACACCCCUCACAAACCAGAGAAACUCAUUAGAAGGCUGGUGGUUGCUGAUGUCUACUAAACAACCUUCUUCUUGUAGAUGUUGUUGGGCCUGCAAGUGCACAGGUUUAUAGGACAGUAGCAAAUUUCCCUCAAGUGUAUGACCUAAGGUUUAUCAAUCCGUAGGAGGCGUAGGAUGAAGAUGGUCUCUCUCAAACAACCCUGCAACCAAAUAACAAAGAGUCUCUUGUGUCCCCAACACACCCAGUACAAUGGUAAAUUGUAUAGGUGCACUAGUUCGGCGAAGAGAUGGUGAUACAAGUGCAAAAUAGAUAGUAGAUAUAGGUUUUUGUAAUCUGAAAUAAUAAAAACAGCAAGGUAACUAAUGAUAAAAGUGAGCGUAAACGGUAUUGCAAUGAUAGGAAACAAGGCCUAGGGUUCAUACUUUCACUAGUGCAAGUUCUCUCAACAAUAGAUAGAUCAUAUAUCAAGCCCUCAACUUGCAACAAAGAGUCACUCCGAAGCCACUAAUAGCGGAGAACAAACGUAGAGAUUAUGGUAGGGUACGAAACCACCUCAAAGUUAUUCUUUCGGAUCGAUCUAUAAAGAGCUCAUACUAGAAUAACACCUUAAGAUAGAAAUCAACCAAAACCCUAAUGUCACCUAGAUACUCCAUUGUCACCUCAAGUAUCCGUGAGCAUGAUUAUACGAUAUGCAUAUCACAAUCUCAGAUUCAUCCAACCAACAAAAAAGUACUUCAAAGAGUGCCCCAAAGCUACAACCGGAGAGUCAAGAACGUGUGCCAACCCCUAUGCAUAGGUUCAUGGGUGGAACCCGCAAGUUGGUCACCAAAAACAUACAUCAAGUGGCACAUGAUAUCCCAUUGUCACCACAGAUAAUCACGGCAAGACAUACAUCAAGUGUUCAUAAAAGACUCAAUCCGAUAAGAUAACUUCAAAGGGGAAACUCAAUUCAUCACAAGAGAGUAGAGGGGGAGAAACAUCAUAAGAUCCAACUACAAUAGCAAAGCUCGGGAUACAUCAAGAUCGUGCCAUAGAGGGAACACGAGAGAGAACACGAGAGAGAGAGAGAGAGAGAGAGAGAGAGAGAGAUCAAACACAUAGCUACUGGUACUUUCCCUCAGCCCCGAGGGUGAACUACUCCCUCCUCGUCAUGGAUAGCGCCGGGAUGAUGAAGAUGGCCACCGAUGAUGGGAUCCCCCUCCGGAAGGGUGCCGAAACAAGGUCCCGAUUGGUUUUUGGUGGCUACAGAGGCUUGCGGCGGUGGAACUCCCGAUCUAUCUUCUGUUCUGGAAGUUUUAGGGUACGUAGGUAUAUAUGGGUGCAGGGGGUACGUCGGUGGAGCUACGGGGGCCCUACGAGGUAGGGGGGCACGCCCGAGGGGGGGGUGGGGGUGGGCGAGCCCCCACCCUCGUGGGCAGCCCAUAUCUCCCCUGACGUGCACUCCAAGUUCCCUGGGUUGCUUUCCUUCUAAAAUUAACUUCUCUAGUUGAUUUCGUUCCGUUUUGACUCCGUCUGAUAUUCCUUUUCCUCGAAACACUGAAAUAGGCAUAAAACAGCAAAUCUGGGCUGGGCCUCAAGUUAAUAGGUUAGUCCCAAAAAUAAUAUAAAAGUGGAUAAUAAAGCCCAAUAUUGCCUAAAACAGUAGAUAAAGUAGCAUGGAGCAAUCAAAAAUCAUAGAUACGUUGGAGACGUAUCAAGCAUCCCCAAGCUUAAUUCCUGCUCGUCCUCGAGUAGGUAAAUGAUAAAAAAGAAUUUUUGAUGCGGAGUGAUACUUUGGCAUAAUUUCAAUGUAAAUCUUCUUAAUUGUGGUAUGAAUAUUCAGAUCCGAAAGAUUCAAGACAAAAGUUCAUAUUGACACAAAAAUAAUAAUACUUCAAGCAUACUAAUCAAAGUAAUCAUGUCUUCUCAAAAUAGCAUGGCAAAAGAAAGUUCAUCCCUAGAAAAUCAUAUAGUUAGGCUAUGCUUCAUUUUUGUCACACAAAGAUGUUCCCAACUUCCAUACCCCCGAUGACAAGCCAAGCAAUUGUUUCAUACUUAAAUAAUCUCAAACUUUUUCAACCUUCACGCAAUACAUGAGCGUGAGCCAUGGAUAUAGCACUAUGGGUGGAAUAGAAUAUGAUGAUGGGGAUUGUGUGGAGAAGACAAAAAAGGAGAAAGUCUCACAUUGACGAGGCUAAUGAACGGGCUAUGGAGAUGCCCAUCAAUUGAUGUCAACAUGAGGAGUAGGGAUUGCCAUGCAACGGAUGCACUAGAGCUAUGAAUGCUCAACAAAAGAAAACUAGUGGGUGUGCAUCCAACUUGCUUGCUCAUUAAGACCUAGGGCAUUUGAGGAAGCCCAUCGUAGGAAUAUACAAGCCAAGUUCUAUAAUGAAAAAUUCCCACUAGUAUAAAAAGGACAACUUAUGAGACUCACUACAUGAAGAACAAGGUGCUACUUUGAAGCACAAUAUAUGAGACUCACUACAUGAAGAACAAGGUGCUACUUUGAAGCACAAGUGUGGAAAAAGAGAUACUAGCAUUGACCUUAUAUUUUCUUUUUUUUGGGCAAUGCUCUAAUAAUGAUGAUCAUCACACUUCUAUUGAUUACAACAUAAGGAUUACAACUCGAAACUUAGAACAAGAUAUGACUCUAUAUGAAUGCCUUCGGCGGUGUACCAGGAUGGUGCAAUGAAUCAAGAGUGACAUGUAUGAAAAAUGGUGCAUGGUGGCUUUGCCACAAAUACGAUGCCAACUACAUGAUCAUGCAAUGGCAAUAUGACAAAAGUAAUGUAUGUCAUGAUGAUGAUGAUGGAAGUUGCAUGGCAAUAUAUCUCGGAAUGGCUAUGGAAAUGCCAUGAUAGGUAGGUAUGGUGGCUGUUUUGAGGAAGAUAUAAGGAGGUUUAUAUGUGAUAGAGCAUAUCGUAUCACAGGGUUUGGAUGCACCGACGAAGUUUGCACCAACUCUCAAGGUGAGAAAGGGCAAUGCACGGUACCGAAGAGGCUAGCAAAGGCGCAAAGGUGAGAGUGUGUAUAAUCCAUGGACUCAACAUUAGUCAAAAGAACUCAUAUACUUAUUGCAAAAAUUUAGAAGUCAUCAAAAAUCAAGUACUACGCGCAUGGUCCUAGGGGGAUAGAUUGGUAGGAAAAGACCAUCGCUCGUUCCCGACCGCCACUCAUAAGGAUGCACAAUCCAGGUACACUUCAUGUUUCAAAUUUGUUACACAACUUUAACCAUACAUGCAUGCUACGGGACUUGCAAACUUCAACACAAGCAUUCUUUGAAUUCAUAAUCACCCAACUAGCAUGACUUUGAUAUUAUCACCUCCAUAUCUCAAAACAAUUAUCAAGCAUAAAACUUAUCUUAGUAUUCAACACACUCAUAAGAAAGUUUCACAUAUCUUGAAUACCAAGUAUAUUAAUAUUAAGCAAAUUAUCAUGCUAUUAACGACUCUCAAAAUAAUCUAAGUGAAGUAUGAGAGUUCAUCUAUUUCUUCGAAAUAAAACUACCACCAUGCUCUAAAAGAUAUAAGUGAAGUACUAGAGCAAUAACAAAAACUACUCCGAAAGAUAUAAGUGAAGAUCAAUAAGUAGUCAAAUAAUUAUGCAACUAUGUGAAGACUCUCCCAUUUAAUAAUUUCAGAUCUUGAUACUUAAUUCAAACAGCAAGCAAAUCUAAAGAAAAUUACAUUGCAAGGAUAGCACAACUCGUGUGAAGAAGCAAAAACUUAGGCUCAAUCGAUACUAAUCGAUAGUUGUUGAAGAAGAAAGGUGGGAUGCCUACCGGGGUAUCCCCAAGCUUAGAUGCUCGAGACUUCUUGAAAUAUUAUCUUGGGGUGCCUUGGGCAUCCCCAAGCUUGAACUUUUGUGUCUCCUUAAUUCCUCUCAUAUCAUGGUUUCUCUUUUUAUCAAAAGCUUCAUUCACAACAAACUCAACAAGAACUCGUGAGAUAGGUUAGUAUAAACCAAUGCAAAACCAUAUCAUUUUCUACUGUAACAAAUCACUAAAAUUAUUAUUCAACAUUUAAUACUAAAUGCCUCUGCAUAUUUAAUACUCCUAUCCUCAAAUAGAAUCAUUAAACAAACAAACAUAUGCAAACAAUGCAACCAUAACAGCAAUCUGCCAAAACAGUACAGUCUGUAAAGAAUGCAAGAAUAUCAAUACUUACCUGACUCCGAAAAUUAUGAACUAAAAUUCCCAAUGUAAUAAAUUUAUCAGAGCUCAAUAUGCAAAAGGUUUCAACAUUAUACCGUUCGCUGACUAUUCUAGGGAAUUUUUGCAACAGCGGUAAACUAUCUGUUUUCAAACAGCAACAUGUAUACUAGCAAAAUAAGCAUGGCAAAGGCUAUCCUUGACUUCUUUAUUGAAACUAAAGAUGCAAAACAUUAUUCUAAUUAAAAGCAAGCAAAAACUAACAAAAGGAAAAUGACGCUCCAAGAAAAACACAUAUCAUGUGGUGAAUUAAAAUAUAUCUCCAAGUAAAGUUACCGAUGAACGAAGACGAAAGAGGGGAUGCCUUCCGGGGCAUCCCCAAGCUUAGGCUCUUGGUUAUCCUUGAAUAUUACCUUGGGUUCCUUGGGAAUCCCUAAGCUUAGUCUCUUACCACUCCUUAUUCCAUAGUCCAUCGAAUCUUUACCCAAAACUUGAAAACUUCACAACACAAAACUUAACAGAAAACUCGUAAGCUCCGUUAGUAUAAGAAAACAAAAGACCACUUCAAGGUACUGUAAUGAAAUCAUUCUAAAUUCAUAUUAGUGUAAUAUCUACUGUAAUCCAACUUAUCUAUGGUUCAUACCCUCCGAUACUACUCAUAGAUUCAUCAAAAUAAGCAAACAACACAUAGAAAACAGAAUCUGUCAAAAACAGAACAGUCUGUAGUAAUCUGUAUCAAACGUAUACUUAUGGAACUCCAAAAAUUCUACCAAAUUAGGAAGUCCGACGAAAUUCGUGUACUAAUCCAGAGCAAAAGGAAUCAGAUCAGAAGCCCGGCCCUGUGAAUUAACAAAACUAAAUUACUGGGUGCAAAAGUUUCUGAUUUUCAGCAGGAUCAACACAACUAUCACCGUAAGCUAUCCUAAAGGUCUUACUUGGCACUUUAUUGAAACAAAAGCUAUAAAACAUGAUUACUACAGUAGCAUAAUCAUGUGAACACACAAAAACAGUAAGGAUAAGUAUUGGGUUGUCUCCCAACAAGCGCUUUUCUUUAAUGCCUUUCUAGCUAGGCAUGAUGAUGACAAUGAUGCUCACAUAAAAGAUAAGAAUUGAAACAUAACGGGAGCAUCAUGAAGCAUAUGACUAGCACAUUUAAGCCUAACCCACUUCCUAUGCAUAGGGAUUUUGUGAGAAAAUAACUUAUGGGAACAAUAGUCAACAAGCAUAGGAAGGUAACAUAAGUAUAGCUUCAAAACUUGAAGCACAUAGAGAGGAAACUUGAUAUUAUUGCAAUUCCUACAAGCAUAUGUUCCUCCCUCAAAAUAAUUUUCAGUAGUAUCAUGAAUGAAUUCAGCAAUGUAACCAGCACCUAAAGCAUUAUUUUCAUGAUCUACUAGCAUAGAACAUUUACUACUCUCCUCAUAAGCAAAAUUCUUCUCAUGAAUAGUAGUGGGAGCAAACUCAACAAAAUAACUAUCAUAUGAUUUAAAAUUAGGAUCAAGAUGACAAGUUUCAUGGUUAUCAUUAUUCUUUAAAGAAUACGUGUCAUCACAAUAAUCAUCAUAGAUAGGAGGCAUGCUUUCAUCAUAGUAAAUUUGCUCAUCAAAGCUUGGGGGACAAAAAAUAUCAUCUUCAUCAAACAUAGCUUCCCCAAGCUUGUGGCUUUGCAUAUCAUUAGCAUCAUGGAUAUUCAAGGAAUUCGUACUAACAACAUUGCAAUCAUGCUCAUCAUUCACAUAUUUUAUGCUAAGCAUUCUAUGUAAUUCUUCUUCUAGUACUUGAGCACAAUUUUCCUUUCCAUCAUACUCACGAAAGAUAUUAAAAAGAUGAAGCGUAUGAGACUCAAUUCCAUUUUUUCUGUAGUUUUCUUUUAUAGACUAACUAGUGCUAAAACAAGAAACAAAAAGAUUCAAUUGCAAGAUCUAAAGAUAUACCUUCACUUACCUAGCCUCCCCGGCAACGGCGCCAGAAAAGAGCUUGAUGUGUACUACACAACCUUCUUCUUGUAGACGUUGUUGGGCCUGCAAGUGCACAGGUUUUUGUAGGACAGUAGCAAAUUUCCCUCAAGUAGAUGACCUAAGGUUUAUUAAUCUGUAGGAGGCGUAGGAUGAAGAUGGUCUCUCUCAAACAACCCUGCAACCAAAUAACAAAGAGUCUCUUGUGUCCCCAACACACCCAAUACAAUGGUAAAUUAUAUAGGUGCACUAGUUCGGCGAAGAGAUGGUGAUACAAGUGCAAAAUAGAUAGUAGAUAUAGGUUUUUGUAAUCUGAAAUAAUAAAAACAGCAACGUAACUAAUGAUAAAAGUGAGUGUAAAUGGUAUUGCAAUGAUAGGAAACAAGGCCUAGGGUUCAUAUUUUCACUAGUGCAAGUUCUCUCAACAAUAAUAACAUAGAUAGAUCAUAUAAAAAGCCCUCAAUAUGCAACAAAGAGUCACUCCGAAGCCACUAAUAGCGGAGAACAAAUGUAGAGAUUAUGGUAGGGUACGAAACCACCUCAAAGUUAUUCUUUCGGAUCGAUCUAUAAAAGAGUUCGUACUAGAAUGACACCUUAAGAUACAAAUCAACCAAAACACUAAUGUCACCUAGAUACUCCAUUGUCACCUCAAGUAUCCGUGGGCAUGAUUAUACGAUAUGCAUCACACAAUCUCAGAUUCAUCCAACCAACAUAAAAGUACUUCAAAGAGUGCCCCACAGCUACAACCGGAGAGUCAAGAACGUGUGCCAACCCCUAUGCAUAGGUUCAUGGGUGGAACCCGCAAGUUGGUCAUCAAAAACAUACAUCAAGUGGCACAUGAUAUCCCAUUGUCACCAAAGAUAAUCACGGGAAUACAUACAUCAAGUGUUCAUAAAAGACUCAAUCCGAUAAGAUAACUUCAAAGGGGAAACUCAACUCAUCACAAGAGAGUAGAGGGGGAGAAACAUCAUAAGAUCCAACUACAAUAGCAAAGCUCGGGGUACAUCAAGAUCGUGCCAUAGAGGGAACACGAGAGAGAGAGAGAUCAAACACAUAGCUACUGGUACAUACCCUCAGCCCCGAGGGUGAACUACUCCCUCCUCAUCAUGGAUAGCGCCGGGGUGAUGAAGAUGGCCACCGGUGAUGGGAUCCGCCUCCGGCAGGGUGCCGGAACAGGGUCCCGAUUCGUUUUUGGUGGCUACAGAGGCUUGCGGCGGCGGAACUCCCAAUCUAUCUUCUGUUCUGGAAGUUUUAGGGUACGUAGGUAUAUAUGGGUGCAUGGUGUACGUCGGUGGAGCUACGGGGGCUCCNNNNNNNNNNNNNNNNNNNNNNNNNNNNNNNNNNNNNNNNNNNNNNNNNNNNNNNNNNNNNNNNNNNNNNNNNNNNNNNNNNNNNNNNNNNNNNNNNNNNNNNNNNNNNNNNNNNNNNNNNNNNNNNNNNNNNNNNNNNNNNNNNNNNNNNNNNNNNNNNNNNNNNNNNNNNNNNNNNNNNNNNNNNNNNNNNNNNNNNNNNNNNNNNNNNNNNNNNNNNNNNNNNNNNNNNNNNNNNNNNNNNNNNNNNNNNNNNNNNNNNNNNNNNNNNNNNNNNNNNNNNNNNNNNNNNNNNNNNNNNNNNNNNNNNNNNNNNNNNNNNNNNNNNNNNNNNNNNNNNNNNNNNNNNNNNNNNNNNNNNNNNNNNNNNNNNNNNNNNNNNNNNNUAACUUCUCCAGUUGAUUUCGUUCCAUUUUGACUCCGUCUGAUAUUCCUUUUCCUCGAAACACUGAAAUAGGCAUAAAACAGCAAAUCUGGGCUGGGCCUCCGGUUAAUAGGUUAGUCCCAAAAAUAAUAUAAAAGUGGAUAAUAAAGCCCAAUAUUGCCUAAAACAGUAGAUAAAGUAGCAUGGAGCAAUCAAAAAUUAUAGAUACGUUGGAGACGUAUCAGUUGCGAGAGGGAGCAAUGCAUGUUUGAUGACGAACGGAAAAGAUAGCUUCUUCUUACGGCCUUCAAUUUUUUUCUAUGUUUAACAUGCACUAAUACACCUGUCAUGUGAAAAUCUUGAAAAUUUCAGGGGUCAUUUGACCUUUUAAAGACAUUUUAGUGAUUUUCUAGCCAUUUAAUGACAGUAAUUCAAAUUUGAACUAUAAGUACAUGCAACGGCUAACCAUAACGGUUUGAAAACUCAUAUUUGUGUACUUGUCUGCAAGUUUAUUCCAUGUGCAGUAAAUUAUAAGGAAUUUUCAAACAUAUUGGUCUCACGGCAUGGGCACAUGCAUGGAGUGCCAUGGCAUUUUAAUUCCAAAAAAUUAAAAAAUGAUCAAAAAAACAUGAAACCUUGCUUGAUGUAAUGUCAUGCCACCAAGAUGAUGUGGUAAAAAAAUUGGCCUCUUUGACGAAAGUUUGGACACACACCCCUCAGAAACCGGAGCAACUCACUAGAAGGCUCAUGGUUGCGAGAGGGAACAAUGCAUGUUUGACGACGAACUGGAGAUAGCUUCCUCUUACGACCUUCAAUUUUUUUGUACGUUUAACAUGCACUAAUACAAUUCUCAUGUGAAAAUUUGAAAAAUUUCAGGGGUCAUUUGACCUUUUAAAGACAUUUAAGUGAUUUUCUAGUCAUUUAAUGAUAGUAAUUCAAAUUUGAACUACAUGUACAUGCAACGGCUAACCAUAACGGUUUGAAAAAUCAUACUUAUGUACUUGUGUGCGAGUUUAUUUCAUGUGCAGUAAAUUAUAAGGAAUUAUCAAACAUAUUGGUCUCACGACAUUGACACAUGCAUGGAGUGCCAUGGCAUUUUAAUUCCAAAAAAAUUAAAAAAUGGUCAGAAAAACAUGAAACCUUGCUUGAUGUAAUGUCAUGCCACCAAGAUGAUGUGGUAAAAAAAUUGGCCUGAUUGACGAAAGUUUGGAGACACCCCUCACAAACCGGAGCAACUCACUAGAAGGCUCGUGGUUUCGAGAGGGAACAAUGCAUGUUUGAGGACGAGCGGGAGAUAGAUUCCUUUUACGGCCUUCAAUUUUUUUCUAAGUUUAACGUGCACUAAUAACACUGUCAUGUGAAAAUUUAGAAAAUUUCAGGGGUCAUUUGACCUUUUAAAGACAUUUAAGGUAUUUUCUAGCCAUUUAAUGACCAUAAUUCAAAUUUGAACUACAUGUACAUGCCACGGCUAACCAUAACGGUUUGAAAAAUCAUAUUUGUGUACUUGUGUGCGAGUUAAUUCCAUGUGGAGUAAAUUAGAAGGAAUUUUCAAACAUAUUGGUCUCACGGCAUGGACACAUGCAUGUAGUGCCAUGACAUUUUAAUUCCAAAAAAUUAAAAAAUGAUCAGAAAAAUAUGAAACCUUGCUUGAUGUAAUGUCAUUCCACCAAGAUGAUGUGGUUAAAAAUUGGCCUGUGUGACGAAAGUUUGGACACACAACCCUCACAAACCGGAGCAACUCACUAGAAGGCUCAUGGUUCCGAGAGGGAACAAUGCAUGUUUGAUGACGAACGGGAGAUAGCUUCCUCUUACAGCCUUCAAUUUUUUAUACAUUUAACGUGCACUAAUACAAUUUUCAUGUGAAAAUUUGGAAUAUUUCAGGGGUCAUUUGACCUUUUAAGAACAUUUAAGUGAUUUUCUAGACAUUUAAUGACCAUAAUUCAAAUUUGAGCUACAUGUACAUGCAAAAGCUAACCAUAAUUGUUUGAAAAAUCAUAUUUGUGUAUUUGUGUGCGAGUUAAUUCCAUGUGCAGUAAAUUAUAAGGAAUUUUCAAAUAUAUUGGUCUCACGGCAUGGACACAUGCAUGGACUACCAUGGCAUUUUAAUUCGAAAAAAAUAAAAAAUGAUCAGAAAAACCUAAAAUCUUGCUUGAUGUAUGUAACACCCCGGAUGUAACUUUCCAUAAUUGUAACUCCAACUCUUGCCAUUUCCGGCUAUGUGUUGUGAUAUUUCCUUCGUGGUUGGGUUAUUACCUUUUGUUUUGUAUUUUGUUCAUGUCAUGCAUCUCAUCUCAUAGCAUCAUGCGCAUUGCAUCUGCAUGUUUUCAUAAAGCUUGCAUUCGUUCGUAGUUGCCGAGUUCCCCCUUGCCUUCGUUGACCGAUUCGAGUCCAACCGGGUUUUCGAUUCCCUCUUGUCUGACCGUAUGACCAUCUCUACACUUUACUCAGACCCCUCGCGCGCGUCCGAAAGUUGUCCCGAACCCGACCCGGGCUGUUGUGACCGAUGAGUCCGGAUCAUCCCUAAAAUAUCUUCGGUUCUUUGUUUGGGCUUCCUAACCUAUUUAUCUAGACCGUCUGAUUUCGGUCGGAGGGACUAGGUAGCCCCUAACCUAAUCCCACCUGCUAUGUAAGCAACCUAACCCUAGAUGUUAGGCAGGAUGUCCCAUCCAUCUCAUCGCCGCCGCCACUCCACAAAAUCCCCCUUGGGAUCUGAUGUCUACUACACAACCUUCUUCUUGUAGACGUUGUUGGGCCUGCAAGUGCACAAGUUUGUAGGACAGUAGCAAAUUUCCCUCAAGUGGAUGACCUAAGGUUUAUCAAUCCGUAGGAGGCGUAGGAUGAAGAUGGUCUCUCUCAAGCAACCCUGCAACCAAAUAACAAAGAGUCUCUUGUGUCCCCAACACACCCAAUAAAAUGGUAAAUUGUAUAGGUGCACUAGUUCGGCGAAGAGAUGGUGAUACAAGCGCAAAAUAGAUAGUAGAUAUUGGUUUUUGUAAUCUGAAAAUAUAAAAACAGCAACGUAACAAGUGGUAAAAGUGAGCGUAAACGGUAUUGCAAUGAUAGGAAACAAGGCCUACGGUUCAUACUUUCACUAGUGCAAGUUCUCUCAACAAUAAUAACAUAGAUAGAACAUAUGACAAGCCCUCAACAUGCAACAAAGAGUCACUCCAAAGACACUAAUAGCGGAGAACAAACAUAGAUAUUAUGGUCAGGUACGAAACCACCACAAAGCUAUUCUUUCGGAUCGAUCUAUAAAAGAGUUCGUACUAGAAUAACACCUUAAGAUACAAAUCAACCAAAACCCUAAUGUCACCUAGUUACUCCAUUAUCACCUCAAGUAUCCGUGGGCAUGAUUAUACGAUAUGCAUCACACAAUCUCAGAUUCAUUCAACCAACAUAAAAGUACUUCAAAGAGUGCCCCAAAGUUUCUACCGGAGAGUCAAGAACGUGUGCCAACCCCUAUGCAUAGGUUCCCAAGUGUCACGAAACCCGCAAGUUGAUCACCAAAACAUACAUCAAGUGGAUCAAUAGAAUAACCCAUUGUCACCACGGUUAUCCCACGCAAGACAUACAUCAAGUGUUCAUAAAAGACUCAAUCCAAUAAGAUAACUUCAAAAGGGGAAACUCAAUUCAUCACAAGAGAGUAGAGGGGGAUGAACAUCAUAAGAUUCAACUACAAUAGCAAAGCUCGGGAUACAUCAAGAUCAUGCCAUAGAGGAACACGAGAGAGAACACGAGAGAGAGAGAGAGAGAUCAAACACAUAGCUACUAGUACAUACCCUCAGCCCCGAGGGUGAACUACUCCCUCCUCGUCAUGGGUAGCACCGGGAUGAUGAAGAUGGCCUCCGGUGAUGGGAUCCCCCUCCAGCAGGGUGCUGGAACGGGGUCCCGAUUGGUUUUUGGUGGCUACAGAGGCUUGCGGCGGCGGAACUCCCGAUCUAUUUUCUGUUCUGGAAGUUUUAGGGUACGUAGGUAUAUAUGGGUGCAGGCAGAACGUCGGUGGAGCUACGGGGGUCCCACGAGGCAGGGGGCGCGCCCAGGGGGGAGGGCGCGCCUCCCACCCUCGUGAGCACCUCACGUAUCUUUUGAUGUGGGGUCUAAGUCCAUCAGGUGGGUUUCCUUCCAAAAAUAACUUCUCCAGUUGAUUUCGUUCCGUUUUGACUCCGUCUGAUAUUCAUUUUCCUCGAAACACUGAAAUAGGCAUAAAACAGCAAAUCUGGGCUGGGCCUCCGGUUAAUAGAUUAGUCCCAAAAAUAAUAUAAAAGUGGAUAAUAAAGCCCAAUAUUGCCUAAAACAGUAGAUAAAGUAGCAUGGAGCGAUCAAAAAUUAUAGAUACGUUGGAGACGUAUCAAGCAUCCCCAAGCUUAAUUCCUGCUCAUCCUCGAGUAGGUAAAUGAUAAAAAAGAAUUUUUGAUGCGGAGUGAUACUUCGGUGUAAUUUCGAUGUAAAUCUUCUUAAUCAUGGUAUGAAUAUUCAGAUCCGAAAGAUUCAAGAUCAAAGUUCAUAUUGACAUAAAAAUAAUAAUACUUCAAGCAUACUAAUCAAACAAAUCAUGUCUUCUCAAAAUAACAUGGCAAAAGAAAGUUCAUCCCUACAAAAUCAUAUGGUUAGGCUAUGCUUCGUUUUCGUCAUACAAAGAUGUUCCCAACUUCUAUACCCCCGAUGACAAGCCAAGCAAUUGUUUCAUACUCAAAUAAUCUCAAACUUUUUCAACCUUUACGCAAUACAUGAGCAUGAGCCAUGGAUAUAGCACUAUGGGUGGAAUAGAAUAUGAUGAUGGGGAUUGUGUGGAGAAGACAAAAAAGGAGAAAGUCUCACGUUGACGAGGCUAAUCAACGGGCUAUGGAGAUGCCCAUCAAUUGAUGUCAACAUGAGGAGUAGGGGUUGCCAUGCAACGGAUGCACUAGAGCUACGAAUGCUCAACAAAAGAAAACUAGUGGGUGUGCAUCCAACUUGCUUGCUCACGAAGACCUAGGGCAUUUGAGGAAGCCCAUCGUAGGAAUAUACAAGCCAAGUUCUAUAAUCAAAAAUUCCCACUAGUAUAAAAAAAAGACAACUUAUGAGACUCACUACAUGAAGAACAAGGUGCUACUUUGAAGCACAAUAUAUGAGACUCACUACAUGAAGAACAAGGUGCUACUUUGAAGCACAAGUGUGGAAAAAGAGAUAGUAGCAUUGCCCUUUAUUUUUUUUAUUUUUUUUAUUUUCUUUUUUUGGGCCCUUUUUUUUAUUUUGGCCUUUCUCUUUUCUUUUUUUUGGGCCUUUCCUUUUUUUCUUUUCUUGGCCUUUCUUUUUUUUAUUUGGGCAAUGCUCUAAUAAUGAUGAUCAUCACACUUCUAUUGAUUACAACACAAGGAUUACAACUCGAAACUUAGAACAAGAUAUGACUCUAUAUGAAUGCCUCCGGCGGUGUACCGGGAUGGUGCAAUGAAUCAAGAGUGACAUGUAUGGAAAAUAAUGCAUGGUAGCUUUGCCACAAAUACGAUGUCAACUACAAGAUCAUGCAAUGGCAAUAUGACAAAAGUAAUGCAUGUCACGAUGGAUGGUGGAAGUUGCAUGGCAAUAUAUCUCGGAAUGGCUAUGGAAAUGCCAUGAUAGGUAGGUAUGGUGGCUGUUUUGAGGAAGAUAUAAGGAGGUUUAUGUGUGAUAGAGCGUAUCGUAUCAUGGGGUUUGGAUGCACCGGCGAUGUUUGUGCCAACUCUCAAGGUGAGAAAGGGCAAUGCACGGUACCGAAGAGGCUAGCAAGGGCGGAAAGGUGGGAGUGCGUAUAAUCCAUGGACUCAACAUUAGUCAAAAGAACUCAUAUACUUAUUGCAAAAAUUUAGAAGUCAUCAAAAAUCAAGUACUACGCGCAUGGUCCUAGGGGGAUAGAUUGGUAGGAAAAGACCAUCGCUCGUUCCCGACCGCCACUCAUAACGAUGCACAAUCCAGGUACACUUCAUGUUUCAAAUUUGUUACACAACUUUAACCAUACAUGCAUGCUACGGGACUUGCAAACUUCAACACAAGCAUUCUUUGAAUUCAUAAUCACCCAACUAGCAUGACUUUUAUAUUAUCACCUCCAUAUCUCAAAACAAUUAUCAAGCAUCAAACUUAUCUUAGUAUUCAACACACUCAUAAGAAAGUUUCACAUAUCUUGAAUACCAAGUAUAUUAACAUUAAGCAAAUUACCAUGCUAUUAACGACUCUCAAAAUAAUCUAAGUAAAGCAUGAGAGAUCAAUAGUUUCUUUAAAACAAAUCCACCACCAUGCUCUAAAAGAUAUAAGUGAAGCACUAGAGCAAAAUUAUCAUGCUCAAAAGAUAUAAGUGGAGCACUAGAGCAAAACUAUCAAGCUCAAAAGAUAUAAGUGAAGCACAAAGAGUAUUCUAGCAAAUUCCAAUUCAUGUAUGGCUCUCUCUCAUUAAAGGAUUUCAGAUCUUGAUACUUAUUCAAAUAGCAAGCAAAGAUAAAGAAAACUACAUUGCAAGGAUAGCACAACUCAUGUGAAGAAGCAAAAACUUAGGCUCAACUGAUACUAACCGAUAGUUGUCGAAGAAGAAAGGUGGGAUGCCUACCGGGGCAUCCCCAAGCUUAGAUGCUUGAGACUUCUUGAAAUAUUAUCUUGGGGUGCCUUGGGCAUCCCCAAGCUUGAACUUUUGUGUCUCCUUAAUUCCUCUCAUAUCAUGGUUUCUCUUUUUAUCAAAAGCUUCAUUCACAAUAAACUCAACAAGAACUCAUGAGAUAGGUUAGUAUAAACCAAUGCAAAACCUUGUCAUUUUCUACUGUAACAAAUCACUAAAAUUAUUAUUCAACAUUGAAUACUAAAUGCUUCUGCAUAUUUAAUACUCCUAUCCUCAAAUAGAAUCAUUAAACAAGCAAACAUAUGCAAACAAUGCAACCAUAACAGCAAUCUGUCAAAACAGUACAGUCUGUAAAGAAUGCAAGAGUAUCAAUACUUCCCUGACUCCAAAAAUUAUGAACUAAACUUCCCACAGUAAUAAAUUUGCCAGAUCUCAAUAUGCAAAAAGAUUCAAUGUUAGACCAUGCUCUGACUUUUCUAGGGAAUUUUUGCAACAGCGGUAAACUUUCUGUUUUCAAACAGCAACAUGCAAACUAGCAAAAUAAGCAUGGGAAAGGCUAUCCUUGACUUUUUUAUUGAAACUAAAGAGGAAAAACACUUCUAACUAACAGCAAGAAAAAACUAACAAAAGAAAUUGACACUCCAAGCAAAACACAUAUCAUGUGGCGAAUAAAAAUAUAGCUCCAAGUAAAGUUACCGAUGAACGAAGACGAAAGAGGGGAUGCCUUCCGGGGCAUCCCCAAGCUUAGGCUCUUGUUUGUCCUUGAAUAUUACCUUGGGGUGCCUUGGGCAUCCCCAAGCUUAGGCUCUUGCCACUCCUUAUUCCAUAGUCCAUCGAAUCUUUACCCAAAACUUGAAAACUUCAACCACACAAAACUCAAAACAAAACUCGUAAGCUCCAUUAGUAUAAGAAAAUAAAACCACCACUUAGGUACUGUAAUGAACUCAUUCUAAAUUCAUAUUGGUGCAAUAUCUACUGUAUUCUAACUUAUCUAUGGUUCAUACCCUCAAUACUAGCCAUAGAUGCAUCAAAAUAAGCAAACAACACAUAGAAAACAGAAUCUGUCAAAAACAGAACAGUCUGCAGUAAUCUGUAUAAAACGUAUACUUCUGGAACCCCAAAAAUUAUGAAAUAAAUUGCUGAACCUGAUAAAUUUGUCUAUUAAUCAUCUGAAAAAAGAAUCAACCUAAAAUCAUUCUCCAGUAAAAAAUGGCAGCUAAUCGCGUGAGCGCUAAACUUUCUGUUUUUCACAGCAAGAUCACAUAAACUUCACCCAAGUCUUCCCAAAGGUUUUACUUGGCACUUUAUUGAAACAAAAGCUAUAAAACAUGAUUACUAAAUUAGCAUAAUCAUGUGGACACACAAAAACAGUAAGGAUAAAUAUUGGGUUGUCUCCCAACAAGCGCUUUUCUUUAAUGCCUUUUAGCUAGGCAUGAUGAUGACAAUGAUGCUCACAUAAAAGAUAAGAAUUGAAACAUAACGGGAGCAUCAUGAAGCAUAUGACUAGCACUUUUAAGUCUAACCCACUUCCUAUGCAUAGGGAUUUUCUGAGCAAACAACUUAUGGGAACAAUAAUCAACAAGCAUAGGAAGGUAACGCAAGCAUAGCUUCAAGAAUUUAAGCACAUAGAGAGGAAACUUGAUAUUAUUGCAAUUCCUACAAGCAUAUGUUCCUCUCUCAUAAUAAUUUUCAGUAGCAUCAUGAAUGAAUUCAACAAUCUAACCAGCACCUAAAGCAUUUUUUUCAUGAUCUACUAGCAUGGAAAAUUCACUACUCUCCACAUAAACAAAUUUCUUCUUUAUAGCAUAUGUAUCAUCACAAUAAUCAUCAUAAAUAGGAGGCAUGCUUUCAUCAUACUAAAUUUUAUCAUCAAAGCUUGGGGGACAAAAAAUAUCAUCUCCAUCAAACAUAGCUUCCCCAAGCUUGUGGCUUUGCAUAUCAUUGGCAUCAUGGAUAUUCAAAGAAUUCGUACUAACAACAUUGCAAUCAUGCUCAUCAUUCAAAAAUUUAGUACCAAACAUUCUAUAGAUUUCUUCUUCAAGCACUUGAGCACAAUUAUCCUUUCCAUCAUACUCGCGAAAGAUAUUAAAAAGGUGAAGUGUAUGAGAUAAACUCAACACCAUUUUUUUUGUAAUUUUCUUUUAUAAACUAGACUAGUGCUAAAACAAGAAACAAAAAGAUUCGAUUGCAAGAUCUAAAGAUAUACCUUCACUUACCUAGCCUCCCCGGCAACGGCGCCAGAAAAGAGCUUGAUGUCUACUACACAACCUUCUUCUUGUAGACGUUGUUGGGCCUGCAAGUGCACAGGUUUGUUGGACAAUAGCAAAUUUCCCUCAAGUGGAUGACCUAAGGUUUAUCAAUCCGUAGGAGGCGUAGGAUGAAGAUGGUCUCUCUCAAGCAACCCUGCAACCAAAUAACAAAGAGUCUCUUGUGUCCCCAACACACCCAAUACAAUGGUAAAUUCUAUAGGUGCACUAGUUCGGCGAAGAGAUGGUGAUACAAGUGCAAAACAGAUAGUAGAUAUCGGUUUUUGUAAUCUGAAAAUAUAAAAACAGCAAGGUAACAAGUGGUAAAAGUGAGCGUAAACGGUAUUGCAAUGAUUGGAAAUAAGGCCUAGGGUUCAUACUUUCACUAGUGCAAGUUCUCUCAAAAAUAAUAACAUAGAUAGAACAUAUGACAAGCCCUCAACAUGCAACAAAGAGUCACUCCAAAGACACUAAUAGCGGAGAACAAACGUAGAGAUUAUGGUCGGGUACGAAACCACCACAAAACUAUUCUUUCGGAUCGAUCUAUAAAAGAGUUCGUACUAGAAUAACACCUUAAGAUACAAAUCAACCAAAACCCUAAUGUCACCUAGUUACUCCAUUAUCACCUCAAGUAUCCGUGGGCAUGAUUAUACGAUAUGCAUCACACAAUCUCAGAUUCAUUCAACCAACAUAAAAGUACUUCAAAGAGUGCCCCAAAGUUUCUACCGGAGAGUCAAGAACGUGUGCCAACCCCUAUGCAUAGGUUCCCAAGUGUCACGAAACCCGCAAGUUGAUCACCAAAACAUACAUCAAGUGGAUCAAUAGAAUAACCCAUUGUCACCACGGUUAUCCCACGCAAGACAUACAUCAAGUGUUCAUAAAAGACUCAAUCCAAUAAGAUAACUUCAAAAGGGGAAACUCAAUUCAUCACAAGAGAGUAGAGGGGGAUGAACAUCAUAAGAUUCAACUACAAUAGCAAACCUCGGGAUACAUCAAGAUCAUGCCAUAGAGGAACACGAGAGAGAACACGAGAGAGAGAGAGAGAGAUCAAACACAUAGCUACUAGUACAUACCCUCAGCCCCGAGGGUGAACUACUCCCUCCUCGUCAUGGGUAGCGCCGAGAUGAUGAAGAUGGCCUCCGGUGAUGGGAUCCCCCUCCGGCAGGGUGCCGGAACGGGGUCCCGAUUGGUUUUUGGUGGCUACAGAGGCUUGCGGCGGUGGAACUCCCGAUCUAUUUUCUAUUCUGGAAGUUUUAGUGUACGUAGGUAUAUAUGGGUGCAGGGAGAACAUCGGUGGAGCUACGGGGGUCCCACGAGGCAAGGGGGCGCGCCCAGGGGGGAGGGCGCGCCUCCCACCCUCGUGAGCACCUCACGUAUCUUCUGACGUGGGGUCCAAGUCCAUCAGGUGGGUUUCCUUCCAAAAAUAACUUUGUCUCCAGUUGAUUUCGUUCCGUUUUGACUUCGUCUGAUAUUCCUUUUCCUCGAAACACUAAAAUAGGCAUAAAACAGCAAAUCUGGGCUGGGCCUCCGGUUAAUAGGUGUCACAUCCCUAGUUCUGGUAUGACCUAGACUAGCUAGUCAUUUGUGCAUCAUGUUUAUAUUCCAUUUAAAUUUGAAAUGAGGAUUGGUGGAACCCUCAGAAUCAUUUUUGAAAAUGACCCAAAUAAAAAUUUCUCCAAAAGGGUCCAAGAAAAUGCUCAUGUUGCUCUCUGAAAAUAUUGGGCAGAGAUAAAAAAAUCAAACCAAUAUUUCUAGGAUCUCAUAAGUAUUUAAUUUUGGCCAUUUGGAUUAAUCCGAUAAUUAUUUGCCUUGGAUAUAUAUUGUUAUAUAUAUAUAAUAUGGUCCAAAAACUAUGCCAUUUAUUAAGGGGCUCUGGAAUAAUAUAAUUAGCUCCUGCAAAAAUUGGCAUAGGGUAAUAAAUUGAUUUAGUAUUAUUACUAAAUCAAAACAAAUGUCAGAGAAAGUAGAAAACAGAAAAACAGAAAAAAAAACCUUACCUGGGCUUCUUACCUGGCGCCUCUGGGCCAGCAAGCCAGCCCAGCCCACCACCGCCGUCGUCCUCCUGGCGCCAGUCGGCCAGGCGUGUGGCUGACGUGCGCGCAUGGGCGGAGCGCCACGCCACCAGCUCGCCUGCCUGCCUACCCUGCCAGCGCGACGCCGCGACGCUUCUUCUCGGUGCCGCCCCGAUCCCCUGGCCUUACCCCCCUCUCUCCCGUGCUUUUCCCCUUCUCUCUCUCUCUCACCCGAAGCACCGCCGUCGCCGCAGCUCACCACCGACGCGCUCCCUGCCGUCCCCUCGCCCCUUCGUAGAGUCCACGAGCUCCGCCACGACCCCCUCCACCUCCUCGUCGAGCCACGCACCUCCGGAUGGCCUCCAUCAUCGCCACCCUCGUCGUCUCCAUCACCGGCUGCCCGAGAUUGCCGACGACGCCCCGGCCGCACUAGUGCUUCCCCGAGCCCACUGACGCCUUCGCUGGAUCCACCGUGAGCAUCGCCACCGUUCCCCUCUCUUCUCCCCCUCAUCUCCGCGCCGUAGCUCCGUUCCCCACCAUGGCCGAAGCCAUCGCCGCCGCAGCUCCUCGCCGUCGUGGCCACAGCCACUGCAGGCCGCAGCCGAGCUCGCCGUUGCACUCAGUGCACUCUGGCAAGUCGCGCGGACCCACUCGCAGCCUCCCUAGCGCCCUGCAGCGCCUAACCCGCAUAGACCGAACUCCAGCAGCCGCAGCCGAGCUCGCCGCCGUCGACUCCGGCCAUCCCAGGCCCAGCCACGGCCACCGCCCGACGCGCCAUCGAGCUAGCUUUCCAACGCACCUAGCCGCGCGCCAUUUGGAGCACCACAGAGGAAACCCGAGGCACAUGUACGCCGCGGACCUCGCCGGCGACUAACCGUCGGCGGGUUUGACUUGUUCGACCUGGGGUUUGACCCCCCCAGGGUCACUGACGCGUGGGCCCCGUCGGCCAGGCGAUUAGCUUAGUGCUAAUCACCGUUAACUAACCCCCUGACACUGACAGUGGGCCCCAGCACCACUAACCUUUUUAAUUAAGUUAAUCUAACCCUGUUUAACCCCCUGACACUGACGUGUGGACCCCACACGUCAGGUUUGACCCUAGCCAGCCGCAGUUGACCUGCUGACGUCAUGCUUACUCAAUGCUGACGCAAUAAAAUGAUUUCUGGAUUUAAAUUAAAUCAGGAAAUUCCAGAAAUUGAUUUAAACUUCAAAAAUUCAUAUCAAUUCAACCGUAGCUCAGAUUAAAAUAAUUUAUAUAUGAAAAAUUAUCAGAAAAAUGCAAUCUUUCCAUCUGUACUAGUUUCAUGCAUGACAAACCAACUUAUACUUGCUGUAUAGGUGAAAACACAUUAUGGCAUAUAUAGGAGCUUAAUUUGGAGAUGCAUUUGAACCUUUGGUUCAAAUGGACUUCAAACCAAAUGGAUACCAGUUGCAUUAGCUCAAACAACAUCACAUCUUCAUGCCAUGUUCAUGCAUCAUAUUGUUGCAUAUGUUUGUGUAUUGAUUGCCGACACUGUUCCUUCUCGAUAGGUCCUGCUCUAGAGUCCGUUCCAGAGUGCCUGUCUAUGAAGCAGUGCCUCCCUUGUUGAUCUACCAGGCAAGCAAAACCCCUUGUUCAUUCCGAUAAAAUCCUACUCUCUCGCUCCUGCUCUCAGUUAUUGCAUUAGGACAACAACGAUUCAUCUGCUACUUUGUGCUGCGGUAGUUGAACCCAUUCCUCUGCAUGACCUGUCAUUGUCACAGUAAAUAGUUGAAACCCACUAGCAUGUGUAGGAGUUGAUUGAAGCCAUUGUUGUGUUCCUACCAUGCUAUGCCUGCUAUUGCUUAGAGUUGUGUCAGGUCUGAUUCAUUGGGAAUGAAUUGGAGUGUUACGAUAUGUUCUGGUGCUGAGAGUUAAGUGUGUGAACACGAUUUGGUAAAGGUAGCGGUGAGAGGCCAUGUAGGAGUACAUGGUGGGUUGUCUCACUGGAACCGCCCUUAAGCACUGAGUUCUAUGUAUGUUGUCCAAUGACUCGAUACUACCACACAUUGGGUUCCGGUAACUCGACCCCUCUCGACUUAUUAACCAACUUGAUCUCUGUCCAGGAGUCGCAACUAGUUUCUGGUGUUUGUAGGUAGUGUUAGUAGUCUACCAAGUGGCACCCGGCCAGGUGGGCUUGGGACAGACUAGGCACCAGUGGCACGGUGUACCAAGCGUAGAUCCAUCCGGUGAGGUGGGCUUGGGAACCCUGCACACAUCGUUUGGGGCCGUGAGUGAAACCCCGGCCGGAUCUCCUUGCGGAUGGAACCCGAAUAGGCGAUAAACCUGGAUUGGAGUCUUGUGUGGUUAGUCAGGUCGUGGCCGACACCCUCGCCAGGCUUCCGCUUGAAGGUUGCCGAGAUACAUGACGUGUACAUGGCGGUAAGUGGCGAGAGCGUGUGUGAAGAAGUACACCCCUGCAGGGUUAACAUGAUCUAUUCGAAUAGCCGGGUCCGCGGUUAUGGACUUCUUGGAUGCCUACAUGGUACAUAGACAACUUGAAGUGGAUACUCUAAAAUGCUCAAGACAAGUGUGAGUGCUAUGGAUGGCCUUCUCGUAGGGAGACGGGGAUGAAUCCAUAGUAGUGUAUUGUGUGGUGAUUAGUGGACUCGUGUACGUUGUCUCACCUCAAGAUUUUCUGGUAGUCGUAGAACAGGAUAGCCACAGAGUCAAAGCUGGCUUGCUGCAACUAAACCCCACAUUACCCUCUUGAUACAAAUGCAUGUAUGAUAGGAUCUGAUGUAAGUCUUGCAGAGUACCUCUGUACUCAUGUUGCUUUAUUUAUGUUUUUGCAGCGGAGACUUUGGUCUUAUUAGUGUUCUCAUGGACUUCGACGAGUAGCUUGUACCUCAGCUACGAUCUUGAUCGGACGUUGUAGAUAGUCAGGCUUUCAGCCUUUUUCAUUUAUAAAUGUCUGUACUCAGACAUGUAAUGCUUCCGUUUGUUGCUUGAUUGCUCUGACUGUUGGGUCAUGUGACCCCUGUUUGUAAUAAUGCUAUGAUGGCUCUUCUGAGCCUUUAUCUAUAUGAGUUGUUGAGUAAUGCUGUGAUGCCAUGUUGUACAGCACAUACUUGCAUGUUAUGCGUACGUGUAAUGUGUAUUGCUAUGUGUGGGAUCUGACUAUCUAGUUGUUUAUCCUUAGUAGUCUCUCUUACCGGGAAAUGUCUCCUAGUGCUUCCACUGAGCCCUGGUAGCUUGCUACUGCUCCAGAACACUUAGGCUGGCCGGCAUGUGUCCUUCUUCGUUCCUGUAUCUGUCCCUUUGGGGAAAUGUCACGCGAUGAAUACCGGAGUCCUAAUAGCCCGCUACAGUCCGGGUCACCGGAGUCCUGUUAGCCCAGUGCUACAGCCUGGAUUCACUCGCUGAUGACCGACACGUUCGAUGCUGGGUCAUGGAUGCCCGUCCCUGUAAGUUAGUGCCACUUUGGGUUUACGACUAGCCAUGUCAGCCCGGGCUCUUUAUCAUAUGGAUGCUAGCGACACCAUCAUAUACGUGUGCCAAAAGACGCAAACGGUCCCGGGCAAAGGUAAGGCGACACCCGUGGGGAUACCGUGCGUGAGGCCGCAAAGUGAUAUGAGGUGUUACAUGCUAGAUCGAUGUGGCAUUGAGUCGGGGUCCUUAAAGCGUUGGUAUCAGAGCCUGACUGCCUGUAGGAUUACCAAGCCAAUCUGGUCGAAGUUGAGUCUAGAAAAUCCUUAGUUAUGUAAGGGAAUUGAUUGUGGGAAGGAACGUAAGGCUCUUUUUACUUCUUAUACCUCAUGGCCUUCUGAUCUGAGUCAUCCUAUCUUUCCGACGGGGUUAAGGAACUAGGCUUCUCUUCCCUCUAUCAGGAUCACGUGUUACCACUCCGUAGUCCCAUAGGAUUGGUUGAUCAGAGUCAUACCCCAGUUUCGAGUACUCCCGGUGUAGUCUGUUUAGUAUGAUCUCAGAACCUUGAGUGAUGAUGUUGAGCAUGUACCACACCAUUUUAGUAGGUUGUCUCAUUCUGAGCAUUUUACUGCCGUUAUGCUGCCGGAAUUUCCUUAGGAGUUCGGGAGAUACUAAUUCCUUGUCCUACAUUCUACAGUCCAUAGUUGUUGCUGAUUCCGUCCUUGGUUCGUUUCUCAGGAUGUCAUCAGCUAAGCGAAGUUCCGUUGCUCGUAGCCAGAACCACGGAGAUGGUAGGGAUGAGGAUCCUCCCGACUAGCCUUUGUUGACAGAGUUCAUGUUAGAGAUGGAGAGGAACAAGCAUGAGUCUAACCGUUUGUUGGCACGUAUCAAGGAGAACACCGCACAUCAGUUCAAAGGAUCUGUGACCAUUCAUGACUUUAUCCGCUUGCACCCACCCACCUUUCAUCAUUCCAUUGAGCCACUCGAUGCAGAUGACUGGCUCCGUAGCAUCACCCAUAAGCUGCGUUCCGCGAACGUAGCUGAAGAUGACAAGGUCACUUAUGCCACAUGUCACCUGGAAGGUCCUGCUAGUCUUUGGUGGCAGAACUAUGAGGCUAUGCUUCCAGCUGGCCAGAUUCCUACUUGGAGGGAUUUCGUUGAGGCUUUUCGCGAGCAUCACAUUCCUGAAGCCCUCAUCGAUCGCAAGAGAGAAGAGUUCUGUAGUUUCACCCAGGGUAAGAUGGUUGUUGAUGCCUAUAGUAGAGAGUUUGAGAACCUCGCCCGUUAUGCCACAGAAGAGGUGUCCACGGACGCCAAGAGGCAGGCUAGGUUCCGCAAGGGUCUCAACCCCAAGUUGCGUCGUGAUCUCCACCUGCAUCAUUGUGAUACAUUCCAAGCCCUUGUGAACAAGGCCAUUAAUGCAGAGACAACUCAACUCACUUACGAGGAGUCUCGUAAGCACACUCAUGAUUUGGGAUCUUCCUCCGGUUGUAGCUCUCAGAAGCGCCGGAUUUGGGUUCCAAAUUCCGCUCUUCCUUCCGGUUAUGCACCGAGGCUAUCCCAUGUGGUGCCUCCUCCAGCUCAGUCAUAUGUUCCACCCAGGCCUACUGGUAGACCGCUUGUUAAUGCGGGUCCACAUCCUACCUCCAAGAUUUGUUACAAGUGCGGAGAGCCAGGCCACAUUGCCCGUAUUUGCACUCAGACCAGAGUUGCUCCACCCCAGCCCGAGAAGUCUAUUGGCCAUGGUAAGCCAUCACGCAAGAUGAUCAGUGCCAAGACAGCUCCCACUGAACAUGGACGUGUGCAUCACGUCUCAGCUACAGCCGCUCAUGAUGAUCCAUAUGUCGUUCUUGGUACACUCCUUGUCAACUGUCAUCCGGCAUCGGUUUUGUUCGAUACUGGAGCGUCUCAUUCCUUCAUUUCUGAAAGCUAUGCCUGCUUGCACGACAUGUCAUUUUGUGAUAUGCCCUCCCCAUUACUUAUUCAAACUCCUGGAUCCAAAUGGCAAACUUCUAGGAUAAGUUAUGGCAAUGAAAUUCUUGUUGACAGACUUGUAUUCCUUGCUUCCUUGAUAUCUCUCAAGUCUUCGGAUAUUAACAUCAUCUUGGGUAUGGACUGGAUGACAGCUCAUCAUGCCAAGAUUGAUUGUUUCACCAGGUCUGUUCAGCUCACACACCCAUCUGGCAAGAUAGUCACUGUCUCCACUAGAGUUGCAAAGCGUCAGCUCUAUUCCCUUAAUGCCAGCCCUCUUCCAGACCUUGAAGAUAUCCCGAUAGUCCGUGACUUUCCGGAUGUCUUUCCAGAGGAACUGCCAGGUGUUCUGCCUGACAGAGAUGUAGAGUUCGUCAUAGAUCUUAUCCCAGGAACUGCUCCAAUCUCUAGGAGACUCUACAAGAUGGCACCCUUAGAACUAGCCGAGCUUAAGAAACAACUUGAUGAGUCCUUGCAAAAGGGUUUCAUCUGUCCCAGUUCUUCUCCUUGGGCUUGCCCCAUCCUCUUCGUCAAGAAGAAGGAUGGUACGGACCGGAUGGUUGUAGAUUAUCGUCCCGUUAAUUUGGUCACGAUAAAGAACAAAUAUCCGCUCCCCAGGAUCAACGAUCUGUAUGAUCAGCUCGCUGGAUCCUCAGUUUUCUCCAAGAUGGAUUUGAGGUUAGGAUACCACCAAAUUAAGAUCAGAAACGAGGACAUUCCCAAGACAGCUUUUGUCACUCGUUAUGGCCAGUACGAGUACACCGUCAUGUCCUUUGGCCUAACCAACGCCCCAGCCACAUUCUCCCGCUUGAUGAACUCGAUCUUCAUGGAGUACUUAGAUAAGUUCGUCGUGGUUUACCUCGAUGAUAUUCUUAUCUACUCGAAGAACGAGGAAGAGCAUGCCGAACAUCUUAGACUUGUGUUAGAAAAACUCAGAGAGCACCGCCUUUAUGCCAAGUUCUCCAAGUGUGAAUUUUGGUUGCCAGAAGUGACCUACCUAGGCCACGUAAUCUCUGGUAAGGGCAUUGCUGUCAAUCCCGAGAGAGUUCAGGCUGUUCUCGAUUGGACUCCACCUGAGACCGUUAAACAAGUUAGGAGUUUCCUUGGUCUAGCCAGCUAUUGUCACCGCUUUGUUGAAAACUUCUCCAAAGUAGCCAAACCCCUCACGGAACUUCUCAAGAAAGAUAAAAAGUUUGAGUGGUCCCCAUAGUGUGAGUACAGUUUUCAGGAACUGAAAAGGCGCCUGACUUCUGCCCCCAUACUUGUGCCACCGGAUUUCACAAAGGACUUUGUUAUCUAUUGUGACGCCUCACGACAGGGACUAGGUUGCAUUCUUAUGCAGGAUCGUCAUGUGAUUGCCUAUGCAUCUCGACAGUUGCAUCCACAUGAGGAGAAUUAUCCUACGCAUGAUCUAGAGCUUGCAGCCGUAGUCUAUGCACUCAAGACCUGGCGACAUUACCUCCUUGGUAAACGUUGCGAGAUCUACACUGAUCACCAGAGCCUCAAGUAUAUGUUCACCCAACCGGAUCUGAACCUUAGGCAAAGACGUUGGUUGGAGUUAAUCACAGAUUAUGAUCUAGGGAUUACCUACACCCCAGGCAAAGCCAAUGUCAUGGCUGAUGCUCUAAGCCGUAAAUCCUAUUGCAACAAUCUCAUGUUGCAGCAAGGCCAACCACUUCUCCAUGAGGAAUUCUGUAAGCUUAAUCUUCACAUAGCUCCUCGCGGAUUUCUUUCUACCUUGGUGGCGAAACCUACCCUUGUGGAUCUUAUCAUAGAAGCCCAGAAGCAUGAUAAGGGGAUUACCCGGAUCAAGAGAAACAUUGCCAAGGGUAUUGCUGGUAGUUUCUCUAUAGAUGAUCGAGGUGUUGUUUUCUUUGGGAACCGCCUGGUGGUCCCCAAGAAGCAACAUCUUCGACAAUUGAUUCUCAAGGAGGCGCAUGAAUCUCCUCUCACGAUUCAUCCCGGUAGUACUAAGUUGUAUCAGGACCUACACCAGAGGUUCUGGUGGACUAGGAUGAAGAGAGAAAUCGCUGAGUUCAUUGCUAAAUGUGACGUUUGUCGUCGCGUUAAGGCAGAGCAUCAAAGACCUGCUGGCACCCUUCAGCCUUUAGCUAUUCCUGAAUGGAAAUGGGAUAAAGUUGGUAUGGACUUCAUCACCGGCUUUCCCAGGACCAAAAGAGGGAAUAACGCUAUCUUCGUAGUCGUUGAUCGUCUUUCCAAAGUGGCUCACUUCCUACCUGUUCGAGAGAGUAUCACUGCUAGUCAGCUUGCUGACUUAUACAUUUCUCGAAUAGUGUCACUCCAUGGUGUUCCACUAGAGAUCAAUUCAGACCGUGGCAGUCUUUUCACUUCUCAUUUCUGGGAGAGUUUCCAAACUGCCAUGGGAACCCAUCUUUCCUUCAGUACCGCUUUCCACCCUCAGUCGAGUGGUCAGGUGGAACGGGUCAAUCAAAUUCUCGAAGACAUGCUCAGAGCUUGCGUUAUCUCAUUCGGUAUGGAUUGGGAGAAAUGUCUUCCUUUUGCCGAGUUUGCUUAAAACAAUAGCUAUCAAUCCAGCCUCAAGAAAGCUCCUUUUGAGGUUCUCUAUGGACGAAGAUGUCGAACACCUUUGAACUGGUCAGAAACCGGUGAAAGAAAAUUCUUUGGACCGGACAUGAUCCAGGAGGCAGAAGAGCAAGUUCGCAUCAUUCGUGAGAAUUUGAAAACAUCCCAAUCUCGUCAAAAGAGCCAGUAUGACUGUCGUCAUAAGGAAGUGGCUUACGAAAUUGGUGACAAGGCUUACCUUCGGGUUACUCCUUUGAAGGGUACCCAUCGUUUCGGUAUCAAGGGCAAGUUGGCUCCUCGUUACAUUGGUCCUUUUCGUAUUCUCGCUAAACGAGGAGAGGUUGCCUACCAAUUGGAACUACCCCCACAUCUUUCUCGAGUUCAUGAUGUCUUCCACGUCUCUCAACUCAGGCGUUGCUUCUCGGAUCCCAUCCGCGGAGUGGACCACGAAACGCUUGAUCUCCAAGAUAACCUCACAUACCGAGAGUACCCGGUUCGCAUUCUUGAUCAAGCAGAGCGUGUCACUCGACGUCAGAACAUCAAGUUUCUCAAAGUUCAGUGGUCUCAUCAUUCCGAGAGAGAAGCUACUUGGGAGCGAGAAGAUCGUCUUCGACUGGAGUAUCCCGCUUUCUUUCCGUCGACCCCUGAAUCUCGCGACGAGAUUCUUUCAAGUGGGGGCGAGUUGUCACAUCCCUAGUUCUGGUAUGACCUAGACUAGCUAGUCAUUUGUGCAUCAUGUUUAUAUUCCAUUUAAAUUUGAAAUGAGGAUUGGUGGAACCCUCAGAAUCAUUUUUGAAAAUGACCCAAAUAAAAAUUUCUCCAAAAGGGUCCAAGAAAAUGCUCAUGUUGCUCUCUGAAAAUAUUGGGCAGAGAUAAAAAAAUCAAACCAAUAUUUCUAGGAUCUCAUAAGUAUUUAAUUUUGGCCAUUUGGAUUAAUCCGAUAAUUAUUUGCCUUGGAUAUAUAUUGUUAUAUAUAUAAAAUAUGGUCCAAAAACUAUGCCAUUUAUUAAGGAGCUCUGGAAUAAUAUAAUUAGCUCCUGCAAAAAUUGGCAUAGGGUAAUAAAUUGAUUUAGUAUUAUUACUAAAUCAAAACAAAUGUCAGAGAAAAUAGAAAACAGAAAAACAGAAAAAAAAACCUUACCUGGGCUUCUUACCUGGCGCCUCUGGGCCAGCAAGCCAGCCCAGCCCACCACCGUCAUCGUCCUCCUGGCGCCAGUCGGCCAGGCGUGUGGCCGACGCGCGCGCACGGGCGGAGCGCCACGCCACCAGCUCGCCUGCCUGCCUACCCUGCCAGCGCGACGCCGCGACGCUUCUUCUCGGUGCCGCCCCGAUCCCCUGGCCUCACCCCCCUCUCUCCCGUGCUUUUCCCCUUCUCUCUCUCUCUCUCACCCGAAGCACCGCCGCCACCGCAGCUCACCACCGACGCGCUCCCCGCCGUCCCCUCGCCCCUCCGUAGAGUCCACGGGCUCCGCCACGACCCCCUCCACCUCCUCGUCGAGCCACGCACCUCCGGACGGCCUCCAUCGUCACCACCCUCGUCGUCUCCAUCGCCGGCUGCCCGAGAUCGCCGACGACGCUCCGACCGCACCAGUGCUUCCCCGAGCCCAAUGACGCCUUCGCUGGAUCCACCGUGAGCAUCGCCACCGUUCCCCUCUCUUCUCCCCCUCGUCUCCGCGCCGUAGCUCCGUUCCCCACCAUGGCCGAAGCCAUCGCCGCCGCAGCACCUCGCCGUCGUGGCCACAGCCGCUGCAGGCCGCAACCGAGCUCGCCGUUGCACUCAGUGCACUCUAGCGAGUCGCGCGGACACGCUCGCAGCCUCCGUAGCGCCCUGCAGCGCCUAACCCGCAUAGACCGAACUCCGGCAGCCGCAGCCGAGCUCGCCACCGUCGACUCCGGCCAUCCCAGGCCCAGCCACGGCCACCGCCCGACGCGCCAUCGAGCUAGCUUUCCAACGCACCUAGCCGCGCGCCAUUUGGAGCACCACAGAGGAAACCCGGGGCACAUGUACGCCGCGGACCUCGCCGGCGACUAACCGCCAGCGGGUUUGACUUGUUUGACCUGGGGUUUGACCCCCCAGGGUCACUGACGCGUGAGCCCCGUCGGCCAGGUGAUUAGCUUAGUGCUAAUCACCGUUAACUAACCCCCUGACACUGACAGUGGGCCCCAGCGCCACUAACCUUUUUAAUUAAGUUAAUCUAACCCUGUUUAACCCCCUGACACUGACGUGUGGACCCCACACGUCAGGUUUGACCCUAGCCAGCCGCAGUUGACCUGCUGACAUCAUGCUUACUCAAUGCUGACGCAAUAAAAUGAUUUCUGGAUUUAAAUUAAAUCAGGAAAUUCCAGAAAUUGAUUUAAACUUCAAAAAUUCAUAUCAAUUCAACCGUAGCUCAGAUUAAAAUAAUUUAUAUAUGAAAAAUUAUCAGAAAAAUGCAAUCUUUCGAUCUGUACUAGUUUCAUGCAUGACAAACCAACUUAUAAUUGCUGUAUAGGUGAAAACACAUUAUGGCAUAUAUAGGAGCUUAAUUUGGAGAUGCAUUUGAACCUUUGGUUCAAAUGGACUUCAAACCAAAUGGAUACCAGUUGCAUUAGCUCAAACAACAUCACAUCUUCAUGCCAUGUUCAUGCAUCAUAUUGUUGCAUAUGUUUGUGUAUUGAUUGCCGACACUGUUCCUUCUCGAUAGGUCCUGCUCCGGAGUCCGUUCCAGAGUGCCUGUCUAUGAAGCAGUGCCUCCCUUGUUGAUCUACCAGGCAAGCAAAACCCCUUGUUCAUUCCGAUAAAAUCCUACUCUCUCGCUCCUUCUCUCAGUUAUUGCAUUAGGACAACAACGAUUCAUCUGCUACUUUGUGCUGCGGUAGUUGAACCCAUUCCUCUGCAUGACCUGUCAUUGUCACAGUAAAUAGUUGAAACCCACUAGCAUGUGUAGGAGUUGAUUGAAGCCAUUGUUGUGUUCCUACCAUGCUAUGCCUGCUAUUGCUUAGAGUUGUGUCAGGUCUGAUUCAUUGGGAAUGAAUUGGAGUGUUACGAUAUGUUCUGGUGCUGAGAGUUAAGUGUGUGAACACGAUUUGGUAAAGGUAGCGGUGAGAGGCCAUGUAGGAGUACAUGGUGGGUUGUCUCACUGGAACCGCCCUUAAGCAUUGAGUUCUAUGUAUGUUGUCCAAUGACUCGAUACUCCACACAUUGGGUUCCGGUGACUCGACCCCUCUCGACUUAUUAACCAAUUUGAUCUUUGUCCAGGAGUCGCAACUAGUUUCUGGUGUUUGUAGGUAGUGUUAGUAGUCUACCAAGUGGCACCCGGCCAGGUGGGUUUGGGACAGACUAGGCACCAGUGGCACGGUGUACCAAGCGUAGAUCCAUCCGGUGAGGUGGGCUUGGGAACCCUGCACACAUCUUUUGGGGCCGUGAGUGAAACCCCGGCCGGAUCUCCUUGCGGAUGGAACCCGAAUAGGCGAUAAACCUGGAUUGGAGUCUUGUGUGGUUAGUCAGGUCGUGGCCGACACCCUCGCCAGGCUUCCGCUUGAAGGUUGCCGAGAUACAUGACGUGUACAUGGCGGUAAGUGGCGAGAGCGUGUGUGAAGAAGUACACCCCUGCAGGGUUAACAUGAUCUAUUCGAAUAGCCGGGUCCGCGGUUAUGGACUUCUUGGAUGCCUACAUGGUACAUAGACAACUUGAAGUGGAUACUCUAAAAUGCUCAAGACAAGUGUGAGUGCUAUGGAUGGCCUUCUCGUAGGGAGACGGGGAUGAAUCCAUAGUAGUGUAUUGUGUGGUGAUUAGUGGACUCGUGUACGUUGUCUCACCUCAAGAUUUUCUGGUAGUCGUAGAACAGGAUAGCCAUAGAGUCAAAGUUGGCUUGCUGCAACUAAACCCCACAUUACCCUCUUGAUACAAAUGCAUGUAUGAUAGGAUCUGAUGUAAGUCUUGCUGAGUACCUUUGUACUCAUGUUGCUUUAUUUAUGUUUUUGCAGCGGAGACUUCGGUCUUAUUAGUGUUCUCGUGGACUUCGACGAGUAGCUUGUACCUCAGCUACGAUCUUGAUCGGACGUUGUAGAUAGUCAGGCUUUCAGCCUUUUUCAUUUAUAAAUGUCUGUACUUAGACAUAUAAUGCUUCCGUUUGUUGCUUGAUUGCUCUGACUGUUGGGUCAUGUGACCCCUGUUUGUAAUAAUGCUAUGAUGGCUCUUCUGAGCCUUUAUCUAUAUGAGUUGUUGAGUUAUGCUGUGAUGCCAUGUUGUACAGCACAUACUUGCAUGUUAUGCGUACGUGUAAUGUGUAUUGCUAUGUGUGGGAUCUGACUAUCUAGUUGUUUAUCCUUAGUAGUCUCUCUUACCGGGAAAUGUCUCCUAGUGCUUCCACUGAGCCCUGGUAGCUUGCUACUGCUCCGGAACACUUAGGCUGGCCGGCAUGUGUCCUUCUUCGUUCCUGUGUCUGUCCCUUUGGGGAAAUGUCACGCGAUGAAUACCGGAGUGCUGUUAGCCCGCUACAGUCCGGUUCACCGGAGUCCUGUUAGCCCAGUGCUACAGCCUGGAUUCACUCGCUGAUGACCGACACGUUCGAUGCUGGGUCAUGGAUGCCUGUCCCUGUAAGUUAGUGCCACUUUGGGUUUACGACUAGCCAUGUCAGCCCGGGCUCUUUAUCAUAUGGAUGCUAGCGACACCAUCAUAUACGUGUGCCAAAAGACGCAAACGGUCCCGGGCAAAGGUAAGGCGACACCCGUGGGGAUACCGUGCGUGAGGCCGCAAAGUGAUAUGAGGUGUUACAUGCUAGAUCGAUGUGGCAUUGAGUCGGGGUCCUGACAAUAGGUUAGUCCCAAAAAUAAUAUAAAAGUGGAUAAUAAAGCCCAAUAUUACCUAAAACAGUAGAUAAAGUAGCAUGGAGCAACCAAAAAUUAUAGAUAUGUUGGAGACAUAUCAGGAUCCCUCCCGAUCCACCUCGUCUUCAGUCAGCCACCAGCCAGAGCAUCGCCCGAUCCUCUCUGUCACAUCUAUCCCAAUCGAUCCACUCGGCCCUCCCCCGCAAGCAGCCUCCCAGGCACCCCUUUCAUCCCUCACCGUGCCCCAUUUCUCCUGCCCGAGGCCCCAUGAGUUUUCACCGCCUCCAGCAACACCGCCAUCCCCGCCGAUGACCAAGACCAGCUGCAGGUCGUCGCCCCAUUCGUCCUCGACCUCGUGCCUCCCCGAGCGGAGGGGCUCAUCCUCGAGCUCGAACGAGCCCCUCUCCCACGAGCGUCCGAGACCUUGCCUCGUCCCCAAGUUCCAGUGUCGUGUCGUCUCCUCCCGUGCAGGAGCCCGCGCCCGCCUCCGUUCGCCUCCGGCAGCCGCGUCGAUGAGCGUCACCACCAGAGACUCGCCGCCGAGCAGCAGAUCCAGGCCGUGCCCUUGCUUCCUCUCUAUCUCUCCCUCUCUCUCUCUCUCUCCCUCUCUCUCUCUCUCUCUCUCUCUCUUUCCCUCCUCGUUUUCGCUCUCUCUCCCUCUCGCGAUCUUCAUUUCUCUCUGUACUCUCAUAGGGAGCUCCGCCACCCGAACUCCGGCCAAGAUCUGGCCGUCGCAGCUCCGCCCCAUCCUUGCCUUGCCAGGAGAGGCUCCGCCUUCGCCAAGUCCCCCACCAAGCCGCUGCCGUUGCCUCUGUUUCCCGCCGCUGCAUCGCGCUGCAACGAGUGCCUGCUCGAUCCAGCUCCGCCCCGUUCGGCCUCCUCACCGAUGCUGGGCUAGGCCCAUGGUGAGCACCAAAUCUAGCCCCUCCUCUCUUUUCAGCCCAGCAGUGCACCAGAUGCAGCCCAUGUUGUUUUUUCCCUGCGCUGCAAUUUUCUCUAUUAUCCAGUGAAUUAUAGUUUUGCAGAAAAAUCCUCUAACUUCAUGCAUAUAAUAACUCAUGAACUAUGCAGCAUAUUUAAAAACUUCAUAUAUGUAAAGUGCUUAGAAUUUCAUCUAGUUUCAUAUUUUCCAACUUUCAUCCAUGUUAAGAAUGUUUAACUUGCCGUUUGCUACUAUUUUGCAUAAAUCGCAUGCUAAAAUGCUUAUUUCAUAACUAAUUAACCGUAGCUCCUAAUUUAAUAAACUUUAUAUGUAAAUGGUCUACAAAAAUGCAUAGAUUAACAUGGUGCACUUUUUUUACUGUUUAAUAAUAUUAAAAUAUGUUUUAAGGCAGAACCGUAGCAAAUUCAAAAUAUGCACAUGGGGAUUUUCCGGAAUUGUUGCUUGUUGUUCCGGCCUCAUUUAAACUUGCCUAGAUACGUAGUUUUCAUAUGCUUCACCCCUUGCCAUGUUUAAUAACAUUUAAUAUUGUUGGGUACUGAUAACCCGCAAGUAUACGGGAUAGUUGUAGCCUCUUUCGGUAAGUAAGAGUGUCGAACCCAACGAGGAGCUAAAGGUAGAACAAAUACUCUCUCAAGUCCUAUCGGCCACUGAUACGAUUGUACGGACGCUUGACGUUCGCUUUACCUAGAACAAGUAUGAAACUAGAAGUACUUUGUAGGUGUGAUAGGACAGGUUUGCAAGAUAAUAAAGAACACAUAAAUAAAAAGUAGGGGAUGUUUAGAUAAAGAUGCAAUGAAGUAAAUAUAGCGAGUGUGGAAAAUUGGUGGUAGGAGUUGUGAAAUUUUCCCUAAGCAAUUGACUAUGUUACUAGACCGGUAAUCACUAUUGCAAUUCUAUUUGAGGGAGAGGCAUAAGCUAACAUACUUUCUCUACUUGGAUCAUAUGCACUUAUGAUUGGAACUCUAGCAAGCAUCCGCAACUACUAAAGAUUCAUUAAGGUAAAACCCAAUCAUAGCAUUAAAGCAUCAAGUCCCCUUUAUCCCCUACGCAACAAUCCCCUUACUAGGGUUUGUGUUUCAGUCACUCACGCAACCCACUAUAAGCGAAUCAUGAAUGCAUUGCAACACCCUACAGCGGGAAUCCCUCAUGCUUGCGCGACACGGAGGGCACCAUAGGAUAGCACCAAUAACAAAACAUGCAACUCAAACCAAUCAUAGCAAUUCAUCAAUCACUGAUAGGACAAUGGAAAUCUACUCAGACAUCAUAGGAUGGCAACACAUCAUUGGAUAAUAAUAUGAAGCAUAAAGCACCAUGUUCAAGUAGAGGGUACAGAGGGUUGCGGGAGAGUGGACCGCUCAAUAUAGAAGGGGGAAGGUGAUGGAGAUGUUGGUGAAGAUGGCGGAGGUGUUGGUGAAGAUCGCGGUGAUGAUGAUGGCCCCCGGCGGUGUUCCGGCGCCACCGGAAUCAAGGGGGAGAGAGCCCACCUUCUUCUUCUUCUUCCUUGACCUCCUCCCUAGAUGGGAGAAGGGUUUCCCCUCUGGUCCUUGGUUCCCAUGGCGUGGGAGGGGCGAGAGCCCCUUCGAGAUUGGAUCUAUCUCUCUAUUUCUGCGUUCUCAGAUUCUAUCCCUUCACCGUUUCUUUUAUAUACGGAGAUCCGUAACUCCGAUUGGGGUGAAUCUUUCGCCCAGAUCUUUCUCAUAAAAUUAGCUUUCUUGCGGCAAAAGAAGAGCGUCAACCGCCUUAGGGGCGGCCCACGAGAGUCCAGGGUGCGCCUGCCUCCCUGGGUCCGCCCCUAUCUCCUGGCCCCCUCAGGCACCGUCUCGCGUUGAUUUUACUUCUCAAAAAUCACAAAUAUUCCAAAAUAAUUCUCCGUCCGUUUUUAUCCCGUUAGGACUCCAUUUGAUAUUGGGUUUCUGCGAAACAAAAAACAUGCAACAGACAAGAACUGGCACUGGGCACUGGAUCAAUAUGUUAGUCCCAAAAAAUAGUAUAAAAAGUUGCCAAAAGUAUAUAAAAGUUGAAUAAUAUUGCCAUGGAACAAUCAAAAAUUAUAGAUACGGCGGAGACGUAUCAGCAUCCCCAAGCUUAAUUCCUCCUCGUCCUUGAGUAGGUAAAUGAUAAAAAAGAUAAUUUUUUAUAUGGAAUGCUACCUACCAUAAUCUUGAUCAUAUAUCUAAUCAUGGCAUGAAUAUUGGAGACACGAGUGAUUCAAAGCAAUAGUCUAUCAUUUGACAUAAAAAACAAUAUUACUUCGAGCAUACUAAUAAAGCAAUCAUGUCUUUUCAAAACAACAAGGCCAAAGCAAGCUUAUCCCUACAAAAUCAUAUAGUUUGGCCAUGCUUCAUUUUCGUCACACAAAAUGCCCCCAUCAUGCACAACCCCGAUGACAAGCCGAGCAAUUGGUUCAUACUUUUUAACGCGCUUCAGCUUUUUCAACCCUCAUGCAAUACAUGAGCGCAAGCCAUGGAUAUAGCACUAUAGGUGGAAUAGAAUAUAAUGAUGGAGGUUAUGUGGAGAAGAUAAAAAGGAGAAAGUCUCACAUCGACGCGGCUAAUCAACGGGCUAUGGAGAUGCCCAUCAAUUGAUGUCAAUGCGAGGAGUAGGGAUUGCCAUGCAACAGAUGCACUAAGAGCUAUAAGUGUAUGAAAGCUCAACAAAAGAAACUAAGUGGGUGUGCAUCCAACUUGCUUGCUCAUGAAGGCCUAGGGCAUUUGAGGAAGCCCAUUGUUGGAAUAUACAAGCCAAGUUCUAUAAUGAAAAUUCCCACUAGUACAUGAAAGUGAUAACAUAGGAGACUCUCUAUAUGAAGAACAUGGUGCUACUCUGAAGCACAAGUGUGGAAAAAGGAUAGUAACAUUUCCCCUUUUCUUUUUCUUUUUUUCUUUUUUUCCUCUUUUUUUUCUUUUUGGGUGGGCUUCUUUGGCCCCUUUUUUCAUUUAGGCUUCUUUGGCCUUUCCUUUUUUUCUUUUUUUCUUUUUCUUUUUUUCAUGGGGCAAUGUUCUAUAAUGAUGAUCAUCACACUUUUCUUUACUUACAACUCAAUAUUACAACUCGAUACUUGAACAAAGAUAUGACUCUAUAUGAAUGCUUCCGGCGGUGUACCAGGAUGUGCAAUGAUCUAGCGUAGCAAUGACAUCAAAAAACGGACAAGCCAUGAAAACAUCAUGCUAGCUAUCUUACGAUCAUGCAAAGUAAUAUGACAAUGAAUGCUCAAGUCAUGUAUAUGAUGAUGAUGAAAGUUGCAUGGCAAUAUAUCUCGGAAUGGCUAUGGAAAUGCCAUGAUAGGUAGGUAUGGUGGCUGUUUUGAGGAAGAUAUAAUGAGGCUUAUGUGUGAUAGAGCGUAUCGUAUCACGGGGUUUGGAUGCACCGGCGAAGUUUGCACCAACUCUCUAGGUGAGAAAGGGCAAUGCACGGUACCGAAGAGGCUAGCAAUGAUGGAAAGGUAAAAGUGUGUAUAAUCCAUGGACUCACAUUAGUCAUAAAGAACUCAUAUACUUAUUGAAAAAGUUUAUUAGCCCUCGAAGCAAAGUACUACUACGCAUGCCCCUAGGGGGAUAGAUUGGUAGGAAAAGACCAUCGCUUGUCCCCGACCGCCACUCAUAAGGAAGACAAUCAAAGAAACACCCCAUGCUUCAAAUUUGUCACACAACGGUUACCAUACGUGCAUGCUACGGGACUUGCAAACCUCAACACAAGUGUCUCUACAAUCCAAAACCACCCACUAUCAUGACUCUAAUAUCACCACCUUUAUAUCGCAAAACUAUUGCAAGGAAUCAAACAUAUCAUAUUCAGUGAUCUACAAGUUUAUGUAGGAUUUUAUGACUAACCAUGUGAUUGACCAAUUCCUGUCAUCUCUCUAAAAUAGAUAUAAGUGAAGCAAGAGAGUUUAAUUCUUUCUACAAAAGAUAUGCCCACGCUCUAACAAAUAUGAGUGAAGCAAAAGAGCAUUCUAUAAAUGGCGGUUUUCUAUGUGAAGAAAAACAGGCAAUCCAAACUUCAAAUGAAAUAAGUGAAGCACAUGAAGCAUUCUAUAAAGCCAUACUCAAAAGAUUUAAGUGAAGUGCAAUGAGCAUUCUAUAAAUCAACCAAGGACUAUCUAAUACCAGCAUGGUGCAUAAAAUAAAAAUGAAAACUAAAUGCAAAAGACGCUCCGAGACUUGCACAUAAUGCAUGAACGAAAUGAAUUCGAAAACAUACCGAUACUUGUUGAAGAAAGAGGGGAUGUCUUCCGGGGCAUCCCCAAGCUUAGAUGCUUGAGUCUACUUGAAUAUUUACUUGGGGUGCCUCAGGCAUCCCCAAGCUUGAUCUCUUGCCUCUCUUCCUUUUCCUCAUAUCGAGACAUCCUCGAUUAGACACUACAUCCACACAAAACUUCAAUAGAAAACUCGGUAAGAUCCGUUAGUAUAAUAAAGCAAGUCACCACUCUAAGUACUGUUGCAAACCAAUUCAUAUUUUGUUUUUUCAUUGUGUCUACUGUAAUAUAGCUUUUCCAUGGCUUAAUCCACUAUUAUAAAUAGAUAGAUUCAUCAAAACAAGCAAACUAUGCAUCAAAAACAGAAUCUGUCAAAAACAGAACAGUCUAUAGCAAUCUGAACAUUCACCAUACUUCUGUUACCCCAAAAAUUCUACCAAAAUUAGGAAAACUAAACAAGUUAUACAGCAAGACAAUGAAAAAGGAAUCAGAACUAUUUGACGUUUCAGCUAAAAAUGUAAAAUCGCGCACUACAGCCCAAGUUUCUGUCCUGCACCGUACAAACCAACACGCAUUGUAAACAUCCUAAAGGCAAACCUUGGCAAAUUAUUUUUAUAAUACAAUGGAAUUGUAUAAGGGGAUAAUUAUUUUUUUUGAAAAGUUUCUGUAAUUAAGAUUCACAAAGUUUCCGUGAGCAUGAACAAAGUUCAAGGACUCUCCCACUUCAACAAUGCUUGUCUUUCUCACUCUCACUUUCCUUUUUGAAAAGUUUUUUAGGUUCCCCUCUUUAUUUUUUUGUUUUUAAACUAUAUAAAAGCACACAACAGAAAUAAAUGACUCCCUAAAACAUCCGGGUUGUCUCCCUGGCGGCGCUUUCUUUAAAGCCAUUAAGCUAGGCAUUUAGUGCUCAAGUAAUGAAUCCACCCGGAUCCCAUGGCACCCGGAUCCCAUGCACACCAAGUAAAGGCCAAUGCAUAGUAUAAGCAGUUUCUUGCAAUUUCAUCAUGUUGGAAACAUAAAGAGGCGGAGAUGUAGUCCUCUCUCAUAAUAAUUGCAAGUAGGAGCAGCAAGCACAUGCUUAUUAAAUCUAUCAAAAUCAUCAUGCGCAAUGGUAAAAGGCAACCCAUCAAUAUAAUCCUUAAUAAGCACAAACUUCUCCGAUAAAGUGUAGUAGGGAGAAUUCGAAAAGAUAAUAGGACUAUUAUGCGUGGGUGCAAUAGCAACAAUUUCAUGUUUAACAUAAGGUACUAUAGCAAGUUCAUCUCCAUAAGCAUAAUUCAUAUUGGCAUCUUGGCCAAAAGCAUAGCAAGCAUCAUCAAAAAGGGAUAUUUCGAGAGAAUCAACCGGAUCAUAGCAAUAAUCAUCAUAGCAAUCAUCCUUCGGUAAGCACGAAGGGGAAUUGACCAAUGUAUGAGUUGAAGAGUUACUCUCAUUAGAAGGUGGGCACGGGUGAUCAAUCCGCUCUUCCUCCUUUUGUUCUUCACUCUCCUCAUCAUCUUUUUCAUCUAAUGAGCUCACAGUUUCAUCAAUUUCUUCUUCCAUAGCUUCCUGCAAAAUAUUAGUCUCUUCUUGGACAGCGGAGACUUUCUCAAUAAAUGCAUUAAUAUAGUAAUUGUAUUCAUAAUUUUCAUAGCAAUAUCUAAGUAUAGGAAGAUUUUCUGGUCUAUAAACUGAAUCAUCAAAAUCAUCAAACGCUUUAAACAUAGAUUCAACCUCAUAAGCACCCAUAAAAGCAACAAAUUCUUCUAUUUGUUCCACAUCAUAGUAAUCAUAGAUACCAUUAGCAUAAGAAGCUAAGGUUUCAUUAUCAUUGAAUUUGCAUGAAAAGGGAAGGUGUGGAGCCUUCAUCCUAGAGCAACAAGUAUAAUCAUGUAUCACGCAUAGUUGACGAGCAUACCAACGCAACAUAGAAAUUUGAUCCCAUAAUAGUUUCCCUUUUUGUGUCAAGCGAUAAUCCCUAAAGUAUUCACGUUGAUCCAACGUGUCUCCCAUAACAUAACGGAAUGGGGUUUUCUCAGGAUUAUUAAAGUAGUACAUAAUUUCUUUCACAUAACGAGCAUCAAGGGUUUUAGGAGGUUCCCCAUCUCCAUGAGUACCAUAUACACCUAAUUUUUUUGGUAUUUCGUGUUCCAUAUCCAUAACUAAAGAUAGAGAACAACUAGGAACAUCAAAUAAAAAUUACUUAGUGAUAAAGCAAACAAGCACACACGAGAAUAUUCACCCCACGCUAUGACUCCCCAGCAACGGCGCCAGAAAAAGGUCUUGAUAACCCGCAAGUAUACGGGAUAGUUGUAGCCUCUUUCGAUAAGUAAGAGUGUCGAACCAAAUGAGGAGCUAAAGGUAGAACAAAUACUCUCUCAAGUCCUAUCGACCACUGAUACGAUUCUACGCACGCUUGACGUUCGCUUUACCUAGAACAAGUAUGAAACUAGAAGUACUUUGUAGGUGUGAUAGGAUAGGUUUGCAAGAUAAUAAAGAACACGUAAAUAAAAAGUAGGGGCUGUUUAGAUAAAGAUGCAAUAAAGUAAAUAUAGCGAGUGUGGAAAAGUGGUAGUAGGAGAUGUGAAAUUGUCCCUAAGCAAUUGACUAUGUUACUAGACCGGUAAUCACUAUUGCAAUUCUAUUUGAGGGAGAGGCAUAAGCUAACAUACUUUCUCUACUUGGAUCAUAUGCACUUAUCAUUGGAACUCUAGCAAGCUUGCGCAACUACUAAAGAUUCAUUAAGGUAAAAUCCAACCAUAGUUGAUGCGGAGCAUCCUUCCAUCAUCCCCAUGGACUCUACAUCAACACAUCCAACCCCACAAGGACCCAUGACUCGAGCACGUGCAAGAGCUCUUGAAACCGAGGUGACAUCACUCCUCUCACAUUUCCCUUUCGAUUCACAUGAGACAUGGUUACUACCUCAAACGGAAAUGCUAUGCAUACUCAGGUACCAAGGAGUCAACCAUGAAGAGGCUAGGAAGCAAGGAGAACCGGAAGCGGAAGACAUGCGAGAAGACGGAGAGGAAAAAGCACCAAGGACCAGGGUGGCCGGACGAUCCGGACGGCGGCCCGGACGAUCCGGACCCCGGUCCGGACGAUCCGGCUAAAUCGACCGAAGCCUACAGAAGCUCCACCCUGAAGCCGGAUCAUCCGGACCCCGUCCCGGAUCAUCCGGACCCGGCCCGGACAUCCGGACCUCCAGCCGGACAUCCGGCCCUGCGCGACCACCAGCCGACCCUCCGGCUCAUCCGGGCCUCCACCCGGAUCAUCCGUACCAGCCCGGAUCAUCCGGACCCUCAUCCGGAUCAUCCGGCCAGCGCCUGCGCGCGCGUGUUGGGCUGAGCCCAUGUACCCCUUCGCCCCCCAACUCUAUAUAUAGGACCCCAUCUCCUCACUUUGAGACUUAGCGUUGAUUUAGCUCGUUUUUGAGAUAGAGCCUCACUCAUCCAUCGGAUCUCCUCCUCGUGAGAGACCGCGGCCUCUUCGGAGAAGAUCCUCUCAGAUUCAAGACCCCUUUAUGGGAAGAUCCCCUCGUGGAUUCAAGACCUCCUCUCGGAGAAGAACGGCUACCUUUGUAUCUUUCCUUUGUUGAUUUUGGACCAUGUGUUACUCGUGCUUCGAUGAUCUAGACCUUGUGUGAUUGAUCUCUUGUCGAUUGAGUGUCUCUCUCGUUCUUCCCCGUGAUUUCCUCGUGCGUUCUUCGUGUUUCUCCCAUAGUAUCCACUCCAAACGUGAAAGAUCGUCGCUAUAGGGUUCCACCCUACAUCAUAUGGUAUCAUGAGCCAGGUUGAUCACGUUUUUGGAGCCCCUACCCCUCUUUUUCUAGCUUGAUUUUGUUGUUUUUGUCCUAAAUCCGAAAAUCCCCACCAAAAAUAACCCCCAAAUUUUUUUGUGAUUUGUUAGUUUUGAUGAUGUUUUGUUGUUUUUGAUCCGUGGAUUCGGUGUGUAACUCGUGGAUCUUGCUUUUCCCCACCUUCUCCCCCUCGAAAUCCAUCCAAAAUCCCCGAAAUCGUCAAAUUUCUCCCUGUUUUCAUGUUCUUCCUGAGUAGUUCCCGUGCGAGGUUGACCUGCCCGGAUCAUCCGGACUCCGACCCGGAUCAUCCGGACGUGCCUGGAUCAUCCGGCUCCUGGCCCGGAUCAUCCGGCUUCCUCUGCCGAAACUGCACUUGUGCAGUCCCCCUCCACCACCAUCACCACCUACACCUACAUACCACCUCCCCACUCCAACCACCACCACUUCCACUUGCCAAAACCCCACAACACAACCUCCGUACUACCAUUCGAAUUUGAGUUCGAGAAUUUGAGUUAAGAUUUCUGUGUCCUAUUGUGUUUCGGCUAUUUAGGUGCGGUGAGACAUCAACAACAAACGCUCAUUUUUGUCGACUACUCAUCUUCGCUACGGACGGUAACUUCGACGACAUCUUUGUCAUACCUUGCAAUUGCAUUGAUAACCAUCAUAGACCAUCUUUUGCGUUGCUUACCCAUCGACACUAGCCAUUGAGUAUUGCCGGCAAUGUGACUUCUGCACAUUAGUUGCAUAAACCAUAUCAUACAUACCAUCGUGGUGCAUAUCUCGGAAUCAACUUGUGUGUCACAAAGUUGUCAUCGCAUACACAAUUGCUAUCUUGGUUCUUCAAGUUUGCAUAAGAAAAGAGCUCAAAAGAGAAAGAGCCACUCAAGCUUUUAAGCAAAGAGGAAAGAUAAUCAAAGAGCUUAUAAGCAACAAGCAUAGCAUCAUACAACAUUAAGAUUGUCAUAUAAAAUCAUCUUGGAUCAUUGCACCGAAAUACCAUACAUAUAGCAUACUUGGGAUAGAGAUCGUCGUAUUUUUGCCUAGUAGGUUGUGCACAAGCUCCGUAUCCGCCUAUUGUGCAAUCGUGCUAGCGUCUCUCUAGUAUUGUGCAACAAGAGCAUUUUCGUGGAUUCCACAUUUUGGCUCACUUUUGGUUUGCACAAUCCCAUUUAUCUAUUUGCGUGUGUGUUUCCGUGUACCACUACUUGCUUGGUCUACUUGUUGCAUAUGCGAAUUUGCGAAUCUUCUUCAACAUUUUUGAGUCAAGCUAACGAUUGCAAUCAAUUUUGUGCCACCAUCCUAACCAAGCUCCACCAAAAGCUUUUACUUGUGUAGGUGUGAGAAUCGACAAGGAUCGGUACCAAUAGUGCUAUUUCAUUGUCCGCAUUUCAGUGAACUUGAUUCAUCUUCAACUUCAGUCAAAGGUACAUUGGUAUUUGUUCUUCUCCUUCUACCACUCACAAUUUGCUUGAAAUGAUGGAUAGGCCAAGUUCUUCUACAAAUCCACUCUUCAUCGAGCAAGACGAUGACAUGUCAUCAUACGUCACCAAGAGCCACCUCUUUGGCGCACAACGAGCUCUCCAUCAAGAGCAACAAGCAAUGAGCGAACGCAUCGACAACCUCGCCACCGACUUGCGACUCUCCGAGCAACGUACAAGAGACUACUUCGACAACAAGCUCGACGCGCACAAGAAAGAGAACGAUGCAAGAAUGGACGAGAUCCGCGCCUUGUUGGUGAACCGGCGUCCUUCUACUUCCUCACACUCAAGACGGAGCCACUCAAGUCGCCACUUCGACGACUCCUUCUCCGACACAAGUACACCAUCAUCGAACACUCUUCGACGAGCCGCGCGUCAAGACCGUCAUGCAUCUCGCAACCCGCUACACGACAAGAAUUCCCAAGAGCAAGUUGAUGAACAAGUUCCUCGUCCUCAAUCAAACCAAGUAGCGUUUGCUCAAGCUCAAGAACGACAACGUCUUCGUCGCCAACAAGAACAAGAACGAGCGCGCCUACACCAAGAGCAACAAGAUGCCGAGGCUCAACAUCUUCAACAACAACAACGAGAAGCACAAGCUCUUGAGGCGGAACGUGCCCUUCAAGCAUCAAGUCGCGCUAUCGCCAACCGCAAUCGCGAAAGGCGCAAUCAAGAGGAAGCCCUUCGAGAAGAAAUACAUGAGAGGAACUACCAUCCGCAUGCGCAACGUCAAGCCCCACAAGCUCCUCCGCAAGUUCCUCAAGCUCAUCCCCAACCUCAAGGUCAACAAGAACAAGUUGAUAAUGGACUUCCUCCUCGACAAGAGCAACAUGAGGAUGAUUACCCUCCACGUCAAGAACGUCAUCAUCAACAUCGACCUCAACACAAUGAAGAACAACGCUAUGGCAAGCUCAAGUUCACAAUGCCCAAGUUCAAUGGAACCAAUGAUCCCGAAGAGUACCUCUCAUGGGCAUUGAAGGUCGACAAAAUCUUUCAUUUGCACAACUAUGAGGAAGAGAAGAAGAUCGCUAUGGCAUCACUUGAGUUCCAAGACUAUGUGCUCAUAUGGUGGGAACAAGUACUUGAGCGCCGACGAGCAAGAGGUGACCCUCCAAUCACCACUUGGGCUCAAAUGAAGGAUGUCAUGCGAGCACGCUUUGUGCCCACCUACUACAACCGUGAUCUUUUCAAGAAGCUACAACUCCUCAAGCAAGGAACAAAGAGUGUUGAAGAAUACUACAAAGAAAUGGAGAUUGCCAUGAUUCGAGCCAAUGUCACAGAGGAUGAUGAGAAAACAAUGGCACGAUUCUUGAAUGGACUCAACCAUCCCAUCAAGAAGAUCGCCGACUUCCAACCCUACUCCAACCUCAUUGAGCUCGUGCAUCAAUCUACAAAGGCGGAACGACAAGGGCAAGAUGACUUCAAGUACGCCAAGUAAUCAUCCAAGACAUACGGCUUCUCCAACAACCAAGCUUCAACAACUACUCCAACUUCGACAUCAACCAAGCCCUCUCCAAGCAACGACGACAAGUCAAGUUACAAGAAAACUUCUACAAGUUCAAGUCGUCCUCCUCCUAUUACAAGAAACUCCAAGCCGCGUGCUUCAUCAUCCACUCCAACCGAUGAGGCCGUCAAGACAAUCUCCUUCAAGUGCUUCACUUGCGGCGGCCGAGGCCACAAGUCCUAUGAAUGCACCAACAAGCGCACCAUGAUACUCAACGACGAUGGCACAUAUGACUCAAUGAGUGAAGAUGAAAUGGAAGCUAUUGAGAAAGUGGCCAUGCACCGGCGCAUCAACGAGAAUGAAGAUGAUCAAGUCUUUUGUGAUGAAGAUACGAGCCCCGCUCUUGUUGUUUCCAAGGUCUUGACACUUCAACAUCAACAAGAAGAAGAUCAAAGAUUCCACAUCUUCCACAAAAAGGCCGGCAUCAAUGGACGCUCCGUCAAGGUCAUCAUCGAUGGAGGUAGUUGCCACAACUUGGCAAGCGAAGAACUAUGCUCCAAGCUCCAAUUGGUCAAGAAGAAGCAUCCGCAACCCUACAAGGUUCAAUGGCUAAGUGACUCCGGCACUAUAGGAGUUGAGCAUACGGUCCAAGUAUCCUUCAAAAUCGGUGCAUAUGAAGACACUUUGGAGUGUGAUGUGGUCCCAAUGACCGUUUGCCACCUCCUCCUUGGUCGGCCAUGGCAAUUUGACCGUGGUGUCUACCACAAUGGGCGUACAAACCACUAUAGCUUCAAGAUGAAAGGCAAAGAAUAUAUCCUACGACCCAUGUCUCCUAGUCAAGUGAUAGCCGACAAACAAGCCACCAACCAAAGAGAGAAGAGUGAGAAAGUGAGCCACCAAAAAGUGAAUGAGAGCCACAAGCCAAAUUUGAGCGCCUCUUCGCCUAGAGAGAAAAACCUCAUACUAUUCGCCACCAAACAUGAGAUGAGAGAAGUGUGUGAGAACUCAUCGAGUGUGAUGGACUUUGUCCUUGUGUGCAAGGAUGGAGAACCAAAAGCUAACACCACUCAUGAGCUACCUUUGGUGUUUCAAUCUCUUUUGCAGGAAUUUCAAGAUGUUUUCCCCGAUGAGCUACCUCCGGGUCUACCUCCUCUAUGAGGCAUUGAGCAUCGAAUCGACCUCAUCCCCGGAGCGCCACUUCCAAACAAAGCUCCAUACCGUGUCAAUCCCGAAGAAACCAAGGAGAUUCAACGGCAAGUACAACAACUAAUCGACAACGGUCAUGUACGUGAAAGCUUAAGCCCUUGUGCCGUACCCGUUAUACUUGUGCCUAAGCCCGAUGGAAGUUUCCGCUUGUGCUCCGAUUGUAGACCUAUAAAUGCUAUCACCGUGCGCUAUAGGCAUCCCAUUCCUCGCUUAGAUGAUAUGCUUGAUGAACUUAGUGGAGCCAAUUUUUUCUCAAAAAUUGAUCUUAAAAGUGGAUAUUAUCAAAUCCACAUUCAUGAGGGCGAUGAAUGGAAAACUGCUUUCAAAACAAAAUUUGGCUUAUAUGAAUGGUUGGUCAUGCCUAUGGGUUUGUCGGAAGCACCCGGAACUUUUGUGCGUCUCAUGCAUCAUGUACUUCGACCCUACAUUGGAAUCUUUGUUGUGGUUUACUUCAAUGAUAUUCUUGUGUUUAGCAAAACCAUGAAAGAACAUCUUGAUCAUGUUAAGCUUGUUUUACAAACACUUCGAAAAGAAAGUCUUUAUGCCAACUUGAAAAAAUGCACUUUUGGCAUUGACAAAGUGGUUUUCUUGGGUUUCGUUGUCUCUUCCAAGGGUGUCCAUGUUGAUGAAACUAAGAUCAAAGCAAUUAAAACUUGGCCCCAACCCACCAAUUGGCAACAAGUGCGAAGUUUCCUUGGUCUUGCAGGUUUUUAUCGUUGCUUUGUGAAAAUCUUUAGCACUAUCGCAGCUCCUUUGCAUGCUUUGAGUAAGAAGAAUACUCCUUUUGUUUGGGGACCUUUGCAAUCCAAGACUUUCGAUGAGCUCAAGUCUUUGCUUACUCAUGCUCCGAUUCUUGCUUUGCCCAAUUUUGACAAAACUUUUGAGGUUCAUUGUGAUGCAAGUGGUACCGGAAUUGGCGGAGUUUUAAUGCAAGAAAAACGAGUCAUUGCCUAUUUUAGUGAAAAACUCUCCGGUGCUCAACUUAACUACCCCAUCUAUGACAAAGAAUUGUAUGCCUUAGUGCGUGUCCUACAUGUUUGGGAACAUUAUCUUAGACCUCAUGAGUUUGUCAUCCAUACCGAUCAUGAAACGCUUAAAUACUUAAAAGGUCAAACUAAAUUGAACAAGCAUCAUGCCAAAUGGAGUGAAUUUAUUGAAUCUUUCCCAUAUGUGAUCAAGUACAUUAAGGGCAAGGAAAAUGUAGUUGCCGAUGCACUUUCACGCAUAUGUACGCUUGUCACCCAACUUGAGUUGAAUGUUAUUGGCUUUGAGCACAUCAAAGAUUUAUAUGCUAGUGAUCCAUCUUUUGCACCUCAUUAUGCUAAAUGUUUGACGCAUACAUCUUGGGAACAAUAUUACCUCAAGAAUGGUUAUCUUAUGAGAGCUAACAAACUAUGCAUUCCCGAGUCUUCUCUUCAUUUGCUACUUUUGCAAGAGGCUCAUGGAGGUGGACUCAUGGGACACUUUGGACACGACAAGACCUUCGCCACGCUCUCCAAGAACUACUUUUGGCCAAAGAUGUUUCGAGACGUCUCACGCUUCACCACCCGAUGCUCUACAUGCUGCAAAGCUAAGUCAAAAGCCCAAUCUCAUGGUCUUUACAUGCCUCUUCCAAUUCCAUAUCAACCUUGGGAAGACAUUAGCAUGGACUUUGUACUUGGUUUGCCUAGAACUCAAAAUGGAAAGGAUUCCGUGUUUGUUGUUGUGGAUAGAUUUUCUAAGAUGGCACAUUUUAUUCCUUGCAACAAGGUAGACGAUGCUUCACAUAUUGCAAAUCUCUUUUGUACGGAAAUCUUGCGCCUCCAUGGAGUACUAAAGACAAUCGUCUCCGACCGCGACGUCAAGUUCUUGAGUUACUUUUGGAAGACCCUAUGUGCCAAGCUCGGAAUCAAGCUCUUGUUCUCAUCCGCAUACCAUCCUCAAACCGACGGCCAAACGGAGGUGACGAACCGGACGCUCUCCACUCUACUUCGCUAGUUGAUCAAGAAGAACAUCAAGGAGUGGGAGGCGUGUCUACCCAUCGCCGAGUAUGCCUACAACCGCGCAAGACAUUCGACGACCGGCAAGUCCCCCUUCGAGGUCGUCUACGGCUUCAACCCAUUGUCCCCAUUGGACAUUCUACCUCUACCUCUACAAGAGCACACCAACCUCGACGCAAGUGCCCGUGCAAGCUACAUCAAAAAGAUGCAUGAAGAUACAAGAAACACCAUCGAGCGCCAUGUACAACGACUAGCGACCAAGCUCAACAUCAACAAGCAACCCAUGAUCUUCAACAUAGGCGAUCUCGUGUGGCUACACCUUCGCAAGGAACGCUUCCCCAACGAACGCAAGUCCAAACUUAUACCUCGAGCCGAUGGACCCUUCAAGGUGUUAGCACGCUACAACAACAACGCCUACAAGCUCGACCUACCAAGCGACAAGUACAACGUGAGCGACACCUUCAACGUCAAAGACCUCUCGCCUUUCCAUGGUGAUGAAGAUCUAGAUCCGAGGUCGGAUCCUUUCGAAGGGAGGGGAUAUGAUGCGGAGCAUCCUUCCAUCAUCCCCAUGGACUCUACAUCAACACAUCCAACCCCACAAGGACCCAUGACUCGAGCAUGUGCAAGAGCUCUUGAAACCGAGGUGACAUCACUCCUCUCACAUUUCCCUUUCGAUUCACAUGAGACAUGGUUACUACCUCAAACGGAAAUGCUAUGCAUACUCAGGUACCAAGGAGUCAACCAUGAAGAGGCUAGGAAGCAAGGAGAACCGGAAGCGGAAGACAUGCAAGAAGACGGAGAGGAAAAAGCACCAAGGACCAGGGUGGCCGGACGAUCCGGACGGCGGCCUGGACGAUCCGGACAGAGCCCGGACGAUCCGGACCCCGGUCCGGACGAUCCGGCUAAAUCUACCGAAGCCUACAGAAGCUCCACCCUGAAGCCGGAUCAUCCGGACCCCGUCCCGGAUCAUCCGGACCCGGCCAGGACAUCUAGACCUCCAGCCGGACAUCCGGCCCUGCGCGACCACCAGCCGACCCUCCGGCUCAUCCGGGCCUCCACCCGGAUCAUCCGGACCAGCCCGGAUCAUCCAGACCCUCGUCCGGAUCAUCCGGCCAGCGCCUACGCGCGCGUGUUGGGCUGAGCCCAUGUACCCCUUCGCCCCCCAACUCUAUAUAUAGGACCCCAUCUCCUCACUUUGAGACAUAUCGUUGAUUUAGCUCGUUUUUGAGAUAGAGCCUCACUCAUCCAUCGGAUCUCCUCCUCGUGAGAGACCGCGGCCUCUUCGGAGAAGAUCCUCUCGGAUUCAAGACCCCUUUACGGGAAGAUCCCCUCGUGGAUUCAAGACCUCCUCUCGGAGAAGAACGGCUACCUUUGUAUCUUUCCUUUGUUGAUUUUGGACCAUGUGUUACUCGUGCUUCGAUGAUCUAGACCUUGUGUGAUUGAUCUCUUGUCGAUUGAGUGUCUCUCUCGUUCUUCCCCGUGAUUUCCUCGUGCGUUCUUCGUGUUUCUCCCGUAGGAUCCACUCCAAACGUGAAAGAUCGUUGCUAUAGGGUUCCACCCAACAUCAAUAGCAUUAAAGCUUCAAGUCCCCUUUAUCCCCUAUGCAACAAUCCCCUUACUCGGGUUUGUGUUUCAGUCACUCAUGCAACCCACUAUAAGCGAAUCAUGAACGCAUUGCAACACCCUACAGCGAGAAUCCCUCACGCUUGCGUGACACGGAGGGCACCAUAGGACAGAACCAAUAAUAAAACAUGCAACUCAAACCAAUAUAGCAAUUCAUCAAUCACCAAUAGGACAAUGGAAAUCUACUCAGACAUCAUAGGAUGGCAACACAUCAUUGGAUAAUAAUAUGAAGCAUAAAGCACCAUGUUCAAGUAGAGGGUACAGCGGGUUGCGAGAGAGUGGGCCACUGAAUAUAGAAGGGGGAAGGUGAUGGAGAUGUUGGUGAAGAUGGUGGAGGUAUUGGUGAAGAUCGCGGUGAUGAUGAUGGCCCCCGGCGGCGUUCCGGCGCCACCAGAAGCAAGGGGGAGAGAGCCCCCUUCUUCUUCUUCUUCCUUGACCUCCUCCCUAGAUGGGAGAAGGGUUUCCCCUCUGGUCCUUGGUUCCCAUGGCGUGGGACGGGCGAGAGCCCCUCCGAGAUUGGAUCUAUCUCUCUAUUUCUGCAUUCUCAGAUUCUAUCCCUUCACCAUUUCUUUUAUAUCUGGAUAUCCGUAACUCCAAUUGGGGUGAAUCUUUCGCCCAGAUCUUUCUCAUAAAAUUAGCUUUCUUGCGGCAAAAGAAGAGCAUCAACCGCCUUACGGGAGGCCCACGAGAGUCCAGGGCGCGCCUGCCUCCCUGGGACGCGCCCCUAUCUCCUGGCCCCCUCGGGCAUCGUCUCGCAUUGAUUUUACUUCCCAAAAAUCACAAAUAUUCCAAAAUAAUUCUCCGUAUGUUUUUAUCCCGUCUGGACGCUGUUUGAUAUUGGGUUUCUACGAAACAACAAACAUGCAACAGACAGGAACUGGCACUGGGCACUGGAUCAAUAUGUUAGUCCCAAAAAAUAGUAUAAAAAGUUGCCAAAAGUAUAUAAAAGUUGAAUAAUAUUGGCAUGGAACAAUCAAAAAAUAUAGAUACAACGGAGACGUAUCAGGUACAUAAACGAGAGAGAACUAAAUAAUUGAUGUGGUGUUUUGUCAAUAGGCAACUCGUUGCAUAUUGAGCUCCACUUAAUUUGUAGUAUUGAUUGUGCACUUUGCCAUGCCAUGCCUCAUUAAAUCGGACAUGCAUCAUACUUGAUUUUGCAUCAUGCCAUGUUUAUGUGAUGGUUGUUUACCAUGUUGUUUGCUUCUUUCCGGUUGCACUUCUCCUUGAUAGUUCCAAUAACGUUGCGUUUGUGAGGUUUCGUUCGACUACGUUGGUUCGUCUACUUCAUGGAUUCAGUCUUCUUCCUAGCGGAAUUUCAUGCAAGAUGACCAUUACCCUCGAUAUCACUUCUAUCUUUUCUUGCUAUUUGUUUGUUCUAUCGCUAUGUCGCACUUCCUAUCACUGGUUUAUCAUGCCUCCCAUAUUGCCAUGUCAAGCCUCUAACCCACCUUCCUAGCAAACCUUGUUUGGCUAUGUUACUGCUUUUGCUCAUCCCCCUCUUAUAGCGUUCUUAGUUGCAGGUGAAGUUGAAGAUUGUUCUAUGUUGGAACAUGAACAUGUUGGGAUAUCACAAUAUCUCUUAAUUUUAAUUAAUGCAUCUAUAUACUUGGUAAAGGGUGGAAGGCUCGGCCUUAUGCCUGGUGUUUUGUUCCACUCUUGCGGCCCUAGUUUCCGUCAUACCGGUGUUAUGUUCCUUGAUUUUGCGUUCCUUACGUGGUUGGGGUUAUGGGCCCCCCUUGACAGUUCGCCUUGAAUGAAACUCCUCUAGCAAGGCCCAAUCUUGGUUUUAACAUUUGCCGACCUACCACCUAUACCUUUCCCUUGGGUUCUGCAGACUCAAGGGUCAUCUUUAUUUUAACCCCCCCCCCAGGCCAGUGCUCCUCUGUGUGUUGGUCCGAACCGGGCAACCUGCGGGGCCACCUCGGGGAAACUUGAGGGCUAGUUUUACUCAUAGAUUGACCUAUCCGGUGUGCCGUGAGAAUGAGAUAUGUGCCGCUCCUAUCGGGAUUUGUCGGCACAUUCGAGCGGACUUGCUGGUCUUGUUUUACCAUUGUCGAAAUGUCUUGUAACCGGGAUUCCGAGUCUGAUCGGUGAUUCCGGGAGAAGGAAUAUCCUUCGUUGAUCAUGAGAGCUUGUGAUGGGCUAAGUUGGGACACCCCUGUAGGGUAUAAACUUUUGAGAGCCGUGCCCGAGGUUAUGUGGCAGAUGUGAAUUUGUUAAUAUCCGGUUGUAGAGAACUUGACACUUGACUUAAUUAAAAUGCAUCAACCGUGUGUGUAGCCGUGAUGGUCUCUUUUCGGUGGAGUCCGGGAAGUGAACACGAAUUGGGUUAUGAUUGAACGUAAGUAGUUUCAGGACCACUUCUUGAUCACUUCUAGCUUCACGACCGUUGCGUAGUUUCUCAUCUUACUCUUAUUUGCGUAUGUUAGCCACCAUAUUUGCUUAGCACUUGCUGCAACUCCACCUCAUUACCUUAUCCUACUCGUAAGCUUAAAUAGUCUUGAUCUCGCGGGUUUUGAGAUUGUUGAGUCCUCGUGACUCACAGAUACUACCAAAAGAUUUGCAGGUGCCGAUGAUACCAGUGCAGGCGAUGCUACCGAACUCAAGUGGGAGUUCGACGAGGACCUUGGUCAUUACUAUGUUUUGUUUCCUGAUGAUCAGUAGUGGAGCCUAGUUGGGACGAUCGGGGAUCUAGCCUUUGGGGUUAUCUUCUUUUCAUUUGGAUUUGUCUGUAGUCGGACUAUGUGUGUACUCUGAAUGAUGUAUGAAUUAUUUUUUCAUUGUGUGAAGUGGCCAUUGUAAGCCAACUACUUAUCUAUCCUUGUUCUUGUACUUGGGAUUGUCUGAAGAUGACCCUUCUUGCGACAAAACCACAAUGUGGUUAUGCCUUUAAGUCAUGCCUCGACACGUGGGCGAUAUAGCCGCAUCGUGGGCGUUACAAGUUGGUAAUCAGAGCCAUCCCCGACUUAGGAGCCCUCUGCUUGAUCGAAUCACUGACGUUGUCGAGUCUAGAAAAAAAUGUUUUGAGUCUUAAGAUUAUAUAUAUCGAAGAGUAGGAUUCUUUUUACUCCUCAGUCCCUUUGUCGCUCUGGUGAGGUCUCCCGACGUAGAUGUUUUGUCUUUCCUCUCCUCAAAUUUCACUAUUUUUUUAGGAUGACACGGGUAUCUCGGGAUCAUUCUGAUAUUCUUAUGACGAGAACAUUGUUCUUGGUGCCUCCUGACAUCUAGGGGUUGUGGCAGUGUCCCGGGGAGUUGAGCUCCGAGGUGUUGUCGUCACAAUUUUAUCAUUGCAGUUCUGGAAUACCUGAGUUUCACCGACAUCGAGAAUCUCUUUUAUGAAGUUGUUGGUGAGAUAACCUCGAUGCCACCUGGUACUGGGGCGGGAGUUCGGCAGUAUUGCCAUAGCUCGUAUAACGGAUGCUUUUCGAAGGUUGAGGUACAUGAUUUCCAGAGUUUUGUUGGUUAUGUGUUGACGGAUGGAUACAACUGGAUGUAGGGAUUGUGUAGUUGGGUGAGAUAUAUUGCUUCCCUUGUAUCCCCAACACCAGAUUGCAUAACCACAAGGUUUCAGGAGUUUUAUAGGUGGAAAUUCAAGUAGCUCCUAGAAUAUCUGUUUGACAGAUGCAUGAUAUGGGAUUGGGUAAAUCUCUAUCAUAUGUAUUUGUUCCGGCUUAUCCUGCAAGCCAAAUCCUUUGUUUUGUUUUGAGUUGUGGUAUUCGAGUUGCUUUGAUGUCAAGUGUUGAUCCAUACCUUCUCUAAAUGGUGUUCUCAUAUUUCUGUUGGAGUGCUAAUCCUUUUUUAUCAUUGAGGUUGUCAUGUUAAUUCUUUUCCAACCGGCGUGCUUCUCUUCAAGUGGAUCCGAUCAUUUCAACAUCCACAAGAUCAAUUCUAAGUUUCCUCAACGGUAUCCAUUCCAUCUGCCCCAAGUUGCCUUUGUUUUCCCGCCCUCCCACCCCUUUUCUUCAAGGACUCGGAUUUCUUAAUCAUGUAUCCUUUUAUUUGUGAGAAGUAUCUUCAUUCUUUUCUUUCAAUGUUCUAAUCCGGUGAUUUCCUUGAAGAUGCUCAACACUUUCAGGUUCAUCAUCCUUCGUUGUUGUUUCUUAUCCGGUGGAUCCAAUUCAAGCUUUUGGGGUUGAUCAUAUUCCUUUCCUUUUUGCAAAUGCUUUCUCAUGCCGAUGCACCUCUUAAUCAUUCACUUCUCGCUAUUCAUUUGUUCUAGAGUGCUGAAGAUAUCUCAGAAGGCUCGUCUUUUCAUUCAAGAUCCGUUCAAGCUAUUUGGAGAUUAUUAUCUCAUUCAAGUCAUUUAAUUCAACAGCUGCAAUCUCUCUUUAAAAUCAUUUCAAUGGUGUUUCUCUUGAGUGGGCCCUAACCCAUAGGUCUUUUCCGAGGAUCUUACCUGGCUCUUUUAUUUUUUCGGAGCUAUUCUCAAAUCUUUUGAAGUUUGAGGUAAGAAUGAAUUUUUGAUUAGUCACAUGCCUUCUCCAAGGUCGCUUUCAAAUUCUUUUCAUCUUUGGCUCAACCUUUCCUCUUUUAAUCCUUCCGGAGUGUCUCAACAAUUCAUGGUGGUGUUUCUCAUCAUCAUUCUCAGAUUUUGAAGACCGAAGAAGAGUUCCUCUUAAAUCCUUACCCAUUCUUCCAGUUCAUGGUUCUAGCUUUAUACCAUCCUCUCAUAAUUGUUUUCGAUUGUGAGAAUUCUUUUGACCCAUCCGACACAUUUCAGGAGUUUCUUUCCUUUCUCUAUCACCCGAAGGCCAUCAUUUUUGAAUAUUAUUCAUUCUCAACUUUCAGCUCUCGUUCUCGAAUUCUUCUGGUGCAUCGCUCAAAUAUCCUCUAAUCAGUUCAUUAUCUCUUUGUUCUCUUGUAUCUAAAUUCUCUUAAGAAUCUUUGUUCAUUUUCCAAUUCGUCCUGGUGAUGUGUUCGUUUUCUUCGUUCAUUCUUUUAAUCCUUAUGGUGGUUCGUCCAAUAUUCCUCUCCUAUUGUUAUCAUACCAAUUCAUUCGUUCUUCCAAAUCCCACCGGUGGUUCCAUCAAUACCUUCUCAAGUUUGCACUAUAUCUCUCUUAAUCCUUUCUACGAGUAUAAGUAGUAUACUAAAUCCGUUGCUUGUCAUCAAUUCAAAUUGGUAAAGGAUAUGCAUAAUGUAAUUCUUAUUAUUGUUUCAUCCAAGUGAUCUAGUUUCUUCUUUCCAGAGUUGUUCAUCAUGUCACAUUUCUUGGUUCCAGAUGCUCCAUCUUUUCUUUUCCGGAGUUCCAAGUUUUCCGCAUUAUCUCGUCGCGAAGCUUCAUCUAAAUCAUCGCAAGGCUUCACCUUGUGUUCUCAACUUAUUUUUUUUAUCAUCCUUUUAUUACCGGAGUUCUUCAUGGAGACUCUACAUGGUGGUUCGUCAAGGAUUCUUUUUAUUCUUCAAUUGUUCUUCAAGAUUUCUCUCGAAGCUAAGAUCCGCCAAGCUAUACUCAAAAAUAAACAUGGUGCCCAACACAUGUUUUUCUCUGAGGAGUUCAAGCAUUCUUCAUCUUGCAUUCCAAAGUGCGAUUCUCCUACCUUAUCUUUUGAGAUGGUGUUAUAUCAUUCUUGACAAUUUCCAUUCAUGUUCGUGAUUCACAUGUUGUCAAGAAUGAGGUAUUUUAAAUCCAUCAAUCUCUUCGUUGGAGUUAUCUUGGUAUAGAUUUCACUUAAAGCCUUCCCUAAGGAAUGUUGCUAAUUGUGGUGUCUAUCGAUUAUCCAAGUUUCCACCUAUUCUCGCGGUGAAAGAAGUUUUUCAUCUCUUUGGUGCUCUCAAUCAAAUCAAUGGUUUCCAUUAGUGGCCGGUUGUCACCACAUAGUCUUGAGAUGUUUUCCAUAAGCCCAUAACAAGCUUGUGCUUUCGUUGUUGAUUUUCCAACAUUGCGUUCAACCCUUCUCCGUAAGGAUGUUUUUCAAAUUCGUCUGUGGUAGAAGUUGUUGUUCUCUUCUCCGUUCUUUUAAUACCACUCUUUUGUUCCAGAGGCGUUGUGAUGUUGCUCUCUUCACCCAUCAUAUAUUCAUAUCGCUUUGUCAAGAUCAUGUUCUCUUCUUGCUUACCCAUUUAACCAGAGUGUUGCGUCCUAUUUUCAAGCUCUUUCUGUCUUAUUAAUUUCCUUCUAUUUUCAAUUGGAGUGUUGCCCGGAUUAUUCUUUUCUCAUCUCGUUUUAACCACAAUGGUUUCAAACUCUAUUUUGCCCCUUAAGCUCUUGGUUCUCGUCAUAUUCGUUGUUACUCUUGUCCAACGUACUGUUUGUAAUCUCAUUCAUCACUGUUGUAUUCUUUCUUUCAAGUUGUUCAACCUCUCGAGGUUCGUGGUUUCACUCGUUUGUCAAAGAAACAACUUUGUUUUACCUCUUCCUCUUCCGCUUUUCUCCGGUGCCAUCCUUAGAUCUCGGGACGAGAUCUCUUGUAGUGGUGGAGUGUUGUAACACCCCGGAUGUAACUUUCCAUAAUUGUAACUCCAACUCUUGCCAUUUCCACCUAUGUGUUGUGAUAUUUCUUUCGUGGUGGGCUUUUGUCUUUCAUUUUGCAUUUUGUUCAUGCCAUGCAUCUCAUCUCAUAGCAUCAUGCACAUUGCAUCUGCAUGUUUUCAUAAAGCUUGCAUCCGUUCGUAGUUGCCGUGUUCCCCCCUUGCCUUCGUUGACCGAUCCGAGUCCAACCGGGUUUUCGAUUCCCUCUUGUCUGACCGUUUGACCCUCUCUACACUUUACUUAGACGCCUCGCGCGCAUCCGAAAGUUGUCCCGAACCCGAUCCGGUCUGUUGUGACCGAUGAGUCCGGAUCAUCCCCAAACAUCCCUAAAAUAUCUUCGGUUCUUUGUUUGAGCUUCCUAACCUAUUUAUCUAGACGGUAUGAUUUUGAUCGGAGGGACUAGGUAGCCCCUAACCUAAUCCCACCUGCUAUAUAAGUAGCCUAACCCUAGAUUUUAGGCAGGCUGUCCCAUCCAUCUCAUCCCCGCCGCCACUCCAUCAAAUCCCCCUCGGGAUCCCUCCCGAUCCACCAUGUCUUUAGCCACCCACCAACCAGAGCAUUGCCCCAUCCUCUCUAUCCCAUCCAUCCCAAUCUAUCCACUCGGCCCUCCCCCGCAAGCAGCCUCCCAGGCGCCCCUUGCAUCCCUCGCAGUGCCCCGUUUCUCCUGCCCGAGGCCCCAUGAGUCUUCCGCUCAUUUGUGUCCCUGCCUUCGGCAACACCGCCAUCCCUGCCGACGACCAAGACCAACUGCAGGUCAUCGCCCCAGUCGUCCUCGACCUCGUGCCUCCCCGAGCGGAGGGGCUCAUCCCCGAGCUCGACCGAGCACCUCGCCCGCGAGCGUUCAAGACCCUGCCUCGUCCCCAAGUUCCAGCGCCGUGCCCUCUCCUCCCGCACAAGAGCCCGCACUCGCCUCCAUUCGCCUUCAGCAGCCGCGUCGACGAGCAUCACCACCAGAGACUCGCCACCGAGCAGCAGCUCCAGCCCGUGCCCGCGCUUCCCCUGUCUCUCUCUCUCUCUCUCUCUCUCUCUCUCUCUCUCUCUCUCUCUCUCUCUCUCUUUCUCUCUCUUUCCCUCCUCGUUUUCCCUCUCUCCUCUCACAGGUAGCUCCGCCGCCCGAACUCCGGCAAAGAUCCGGCCAUCGCAGCUCCGUCCCGUCCUUGCCUUGCCAGGAGAGGCUCCGCCUUUGCCAAGUCCCCCGCCAAGGCGCCGCUGCAUCGUGCUGCAACGAGUGCCUGCUCGACCCAGAUCCGCCCCGCUGGGCCUCCUCACCGACGCUGAGCUAGGCCCAUGGUGAGCACCAAAUCCAGCCCCUCAUCUCUGUUCGUCCCAGCAGUGCACCAGAUGCGGCCUGUGUUUUUUUUCCUGCACUGCGGUUUUCUCUAUUAUCAAGUGAAUUACAGUUUUGCAGAAAAACCCUCUAACUUCAUGCAUAUAAUAACUCAUGAACUAUGCAUCAUAUGUAAAAACUUCAUAUAUGUAAAGUGCUAAGAAUUUCAUCUUGUUUCAUACUUUCCAACUUUCAUCCAAGUUAAAAAUGUUUAACUUGUUGUUUGCUACUAUUUUGCAUAAAUCGCAUGCUAAAAUUCUUUAUUUCAUAACUAAUUAACCGUAGCUCUGAAUUUAAUAAACUUUAUAUGUAAAUGGUAUAGAAAAAUGCAUAGGUUAACAUGGCGCACUUUGUUUUACUAUUUAAUAAUAUUAAAAUAUGUUUUAAGGAAGAACAGUAGCAAAUUCAAAAUAUGCACAUGGGGAUUUUCCAGAAUUGUUGUUUGUUGUUCCGGCCUCAUUUAAACUUGCCUAGAUAGGUAGUUUUCAUAUGCUUCACCCCUUGCCAUGUUUAAUAACAUUCAAUAUUUUUUGGUACAUAAAUGAGAGAGAACUAAAUAAUUGAUGUGGUGUUUCGUCAAUAUGCAACUCCUUGCAUAUUGAGCUCCACUUUAUUUGUAGUAUUGUUUGUGCACUUUGCCAUGCCAUGCCUCAUUAAACCGGACAUGCAUCAUACUUGAUUUUGCAUCAUGCCAUGUUUAUGUGAUGGUUGUUUGCCAUGUUGUUUUCUUCUUUCCAGUUAUGCUUCUUUCCGGUAACAUUGCGUUCGUGAGUUUUCAUUCGACUACGUUGGUUCGUCUACUUCAUGGAUUCGGUCUUCUUCCUAGCAGAAUUUUAGGCAAGAUGACCAUUACCCUCGAUAUCACUUCUAUCUUUGCUUGAUAGUUAUUCAUUCUAUCGCUAUGUCGUGCUGCCUACCACUUGUUUAUCAUGCCUCCCAUAUUGCCAUGUCAAGCCUCUUACCCACCUUCCUAGCAAACCGUUGUUUUGCUAUGUUACCGCUUUUGCUCAGCCCCCUCUUUUAGCGUUGUUAGUUGCAGGUGAAGUUGAAGAUUGCUCCAUGUUGGAACAUGAACAUGUUGGGAUAUCACAAAAUCUCUUAAUUUUAAUUAAUGCAUCUAUAUAAUUGGUAAAGGGUGGAAGGCUCGGCCUUAUGCCUGGUGUUUUGUUCCACUCUUGCCGCCCUAGUUUCCGUCAUACCGGUGUUAUGUUCCUUGAUUUUGCGUUCCUUACGCGGUUGGGGUUAUGGGACCCCCUUGACAGUUCGCCUUGAAUAAAACUCCUCCAGCAAGGCCAAUCUUGGUUUUAACAUUUGCCUACCUACCACCUAUACCUUUCCCUUGGGUUCUGCAGACUCAAGGGUCAUCUUUAUUUUACCCCCCCCCCCCCGGGGGGGCCAGUGCUCCUCUGUGUGUUGGUCCGAACCGGGCAACCUGCGGGGCCACCUCAGGGAAACUUGAGGGCUGGUUUUACUCGUAGCUUGACCUAUCUGGUGUUCCCUGAGAACGAGAUAUGUGCAGCUCCUAUCCGGAUUUGUCGGCACAUUCGGGCGGACUUGCUGGACUUAUUUUACCAUUGUCGAAAUGUUUUGUAACCGAGAUUCUGAGUCUGAUCGGGUGAUUCCGAGAGAAGGAAUAUCCUUCCUUGAUCGUGAGAGCUUGUGAUGAGCUAAGUUGGGACACCCCUGCAGGGUAUAAACUUUCGAGAGCCAUGCCCGCGGUUAUGUGGCAGAUAGGAAUUUUUUAAUAUCCGUUUUAGAGAACUUGACACUUACGUGUGUGUAGCCGUGAUGGUCUCUUUUCGGUGGAGUCCGGGAAGUGAACACGGUUUGGGUUAUGAUUGAACAUAAGUAGUUUUAGGAUCACUUCCAGCUUCACGGUCGUUGCGUAGUUUCUCAUCUUACUCUUGUUUGCGUAUGUUAGCCACCAUAUUUGCUUAGCGGUUAGUGCAACUCCACCUCAUUACCUUAUCCUACCCAUAAGCUUAAAUAGUCUUGACCUUGCGGGUUUUGAGAUUGCUGAGUCCUCGUGACUCACAGAUACUACCAAAACAGUUGCAGGUGCCAAUGAUACCAGUGCAGGCGAUGCUACCGAACUCAAGUGGGAGUUCAACAAGGACCUUGGUCGUUACUAUGUUUCGUUUCCUGAUGAUCAGCAGUGGAGCCCAGUUAGGACAAUCGGGGAUGUAGCAUUUUGGGUUAUCUUCUUUUCAUUUGGAUUUGUUCGUAGUCGGACUAUGUGUCUACUCUGAAUGAUGUAUGAAUUUUUGUUCAUUGUGUGAAGUGGCGAUUGUAAGCCAACUAUUUAUCUAUCCAUGUUCUUGUACAUGGGAUUGUGUGAAGAUGAACCUUCUUGCGACAAAACCACAAUGCGGUUAUGCCUCUAAGUCAUGCCUCGACACGUGGGAGAUAUAGGCGCAUCAUGGGCGUUACAAGUUGGUAAUCAGAGCAAUCCCCGACUUAGGAGCCACUUGCUUGAUCGAAUCGCUGAUGUUGUCGAGUCUAGAACAAAAAUGUUUUGAGUCUUAGGAUUAUAUAUAUCGGAGAGUAGGAUUCUUUUUACUCCUCAGUCCCUUCGUCGCUCUGGUGUGGUCUCCUGACAUAGAUGUUUUGUCUUUCCUCUCCUCAAAUUUCAUUAAAUUAUUUUUAGGAUCACACGGGUAUCUUGGGAUCGUUCUGAUAUUUUUGUGAUGAGAACAUUUUUCUUGGUGCCUCCUGACAUUUAGGGGUUGUGGCAGUGUCCUGGGGAGUUGAGCUCCGAGGUGUUGUCGUCACAAUUUUAUGUCAUGCCACCAAGAUGAUGUGGUACAAAAAUAGGCAUGUUUGACGAAAGUUUAUACACACACCCCUCACAAACUGGAGCAACUCACUAGAAGGCUCGUGGUUUCGAGAGGGAACAAUACAUGUUUGAUGACAAAUGGGAGAUAGCUUCCUCUUAUGGCCUACAAAUUUUUUCUACGUUUAACAUGCACUAUGACAACUGUCAUGUGAAAAUUUGGAAAAUUCUAGGGGUCAUUUGACAUUUUAAAGACAUUUAAGUUAUUUUUGCUAGCCAUUUCAUGAACAUAAUUAAAAUUUGAUGUAUAUCUACAUGCAAAGGCUAACCAUAAUGGUUCGAAAAGUCAUAUUUUUGUGUACUUGUAUGCGAGUUAAAAAAUCAUCAGACGAUGUAAAUAUAUGGUGUUCAAAAAAGAAAAUGUAAAGAUCUGGAAAGACGAUCGGCCCCACACGAAGAGAUUUGGAAGGUGUGUGGCGGGGGUUAUUAAUCAGACAUGGUUCUGUAUUGGAAACCAUCAGCUAUUAUGUUCACACAUAGAUUUUGCUGUGGGGAUCGUGUGUAAUUCAAAGUACAGAUUUCAGCGACCGGCGUGUGUACUGUAUCCGUCGAUCUAGAUUCCGUCCGCCAAUAAAUACUACCUUGCUUGCGUUGUCCCGCCUGCAUUCUCAUCUCUACAUCCUCACCUCGCUCUCUCUCUCAAAUUGCUACCAUGGAGCCGCCGGUCUGCCCGCGCGUCCACGAGGAGUCGCUGCCCCCCAAGGACACUCACUCGAAGAGCAGCGACGAAGACCCCUACACGCCGCAAGACGAGGUUGCGCCGGACCCCCCAAAUUUGGAUUGGUUUUGGGGCCUGUCGGUGUCAAAACCGGCGGAUCUCGGGUAGGGGGUCCCGAUCUAUGCAUCAAGGCUGAUGGUAAUAGGAAGCAAGGGACACAGAUGUUUAUCCAGGUUCGGGCCCUCUCGAUGGAGUUAAACCCUACUUCCUGCUUGAUUAAUAUUGAAGAUAUGGGUAGUACAAGAGUAGAUCUACCACGAGAUCGUAGAGGCUAAACCCUAAGAGCUAGCCUAUGAUGGUAUGAUUGUAAUUGUGAUCGGCCUUCUAAGGACCAACCUCUCCGGUUUAUAUAGACACCGGAGAGGGCUAGGGUUUACAUGGAGUCGGUUACAAGGAAGGAAAUACAAUAUCCGGAUCGCCAAACUUGCCUUCCACGCAAAGGAGAGUCCCAUCCGGACACGGGCCGAAGUCUUGAGUCUUGUAUCUUCACGCUUCGAUAGUCCGAAUGUUGUACACAGUCCGGCUGUCCGGAUACCCCUAAUCUAGGACUCCCUCAGUAGCCCCUGAAUCAGGCUUCAAUGACAAUGAGUCCAGCACGUAGUAUUGUCUUCGACAUUGCAAGGCGGGUUCCUUCUCCAAAUACUCCAAAGUAAUUAUUGAACAUUUGAAUCGUGUCCGGAUCCACAAAAUGGUCUUCACAUGCCACCAUAGAGAGAAUGAUAUUUCACAAAUGCAAUCUGCUGACAACUUUUUUAGGCGACGUGACAUGUUACAACGGUCGGAUUAUUAUUCGAACUGUUUUCCCACAACCUGCCACAGCGCAUAUUGUGAGGCGGUUUCUUUGACACAUCUUGUCAAGGCAGAGAUCAUGUCCCCUUAUCGCGGGAUUCUCAUCAAUACGGGUAUGGGUAAUCCCACCAUGCCAUCAAUCGUGGCGCUUGGGAAGCAAGCGAUUCCCAACGGGCAAGUGGGGAGGCGCACCGCUUUCGUCGCCUCUAUAAAGGGAUAAGAUUUCCUCAUUUUUACCCAUGCCUUCCUUCUCCCUUGCCCACUCUUGCCCCCUCGAGCUCCAGCGCCCAAGCCCAAGUCUUCUCCGCACAGCUAAACAUGUCCGGAGCAGGAGACAAGUGGGUGGCUUCCACCGUCAAGGAGAAGCAUGUCACAAAUCUUCGGGCGGCCGGAUACUUGGCCGCAGACAUAGUGCACCGGCUACUGGACACCGGGCAGGUCAUUCCGACCACAGGACCCCACGAGAGGGUCGUGUUCGUUGCCCACUUCGUCCGUGGACUGGGAUUUCCACUUCAUCCCUUCAUCCGCGGGCUUAUGUUCUACUAUGGGCUAGAUUUCCAUGAUCUAGCCCCAAAUUUCGUCCUCAACAUCUCGCCGUUCAUCGUCGUAUGCGAGGCCUUCCUCCACAUUCGGCCUCACUUUGGCCUGUGGCUGCAAACCUUCUGCAUGAAGCCGAAGAUUGUAAGCGGCCAGCAAGCGGAGUGCGGAGGAGCCAUGGUGGGCAAGAUGCCUAAUGUCACCUGGCUAGACGGCUCCUUUGUGGAGACCAUAAAAGGGUGGCAAUCGGGGUGGUUCUACAUCACCGAGCCGCGUGGUGCCAACUGGGCAGCGACCCCCGAGUUCUGAUCUGGAGCCCCCAUGCGGCUCACCUCCUGGGAAAGGAAGGGCCUGUCCUGGGGCGAAUCUAUGGAGCUGACCGGACUCCAGACCUGCAUCAAGAGCAUGAAGGACAAGAACAUCAAGCUUGUUAAUGUGAUCUAGGUCAUGCUCGUUCGCCGGAUUCUGCCAUGCCAAAGGCGGGCAUUCAAUCUGUGGGAGUUUGUCCCGUCCGAACACCAGACACUCCGGAAGCUCUACGACAUGACGCACAAAGGCGCAUGGAAGGUGUUGUUCAAGGCCUCCUAAGUACCUCCUCCCACAUCCAAGGACCGCGGGCUUCACGCCGCGCGGGCUUCACGCUGCGCGGGCUUCACGCCACGCGGGCUCCUAGUCAGGUGAGAUCUCAGACUACCACUUGAUUCGGUUCUUCCCAAUAUAUUCAUGGGAGAGCCUUAAGUAGUCAUGCACAUUUGUUCAUGAUUAUGUGGAGAUAGCGGAGUAGGUUUAUUGUCCGGCUCCGUUGCCAAAAGGCCCAGCUGAUGCUCUCCUGACGGGGAUGCUGGUCCCGGCACCGUACAAGGUGCCGGAGAAGAAGGCCAAAAAGAAGGCCCCGGGGACCCGAAAGGGUCUCCGGCGUAAGGUUAUGCCAGAAGCCCCGUCCGAAGACGACGAGGCACACUCCUCCCACGAAGGGGAGGAAGAAGAAGAAGAAGAAGAAGCCCCAUCCGGAAAGGAUGAGGGGCCCGGGGAGGUAGACCAGGGGCCGGAAAAGGCCCUCGGCGUAAGGCCAUCAUACCCCUGUCGUCUGAUGACGAUGAGACAAAUUCCUCCCGCGGAAGCGGGGGAAUCAAGAAGAAAUUCUACCUCCCCACCCUGGAGGGGAGAAGAAGAGAAAAGCCGCCCCGGAGGGGGAGGCUGGGGCGUCCAAGAAGGGGAAGGUGUCCCUUCCGGACUACUCCGCCACGGCCGCUCACAGCGAGGAGGGGUGGCUACCCAGGGGGAAGCCCCCAGUGCGAUCGUAAGUGUCCGCACUCCAUCAUAACUUCACUCUAUAGCUUUUAUUUAACGCCGAACAUAUGUGCAGUCCGACCAGGGCUCACCCCGAGGUAUCUUCCUUCGGGUCUCUGAGCAAUUCGGAGAUGAAUUCGCUUCCGACAGCCACUACUCCUCAGCCCGCGGUUGACACAGAGGUGUUGUCCCGAAGACUCCCAGAGCGGGGGAGGUGACUCUGGAGACACCCCGAGGCAGGGUGCCAGAUGUCGGACAAGCGGGGUUCAAGAUCCCCGCGGAUCGUGUCGACGAGAGCCACAGUAGGCCGAGCUCUCAGCCGAACACUGUCCCGGAACCUUCAACGGUUCCGAACUCAGGCAGACAGCCCCUCGUUAGGGAGGGUGCGCCGUCUGCAUCGAGCACUUCCGUUGCACACGAGGCGCCAGAUUGUCUGCACCUAUGAGUUCGGUGAUUCGGAAGGUUUCGUCCGACAAGAGCGGACUAACCGAAGCGUGCACCAGCCUCUUGACAGGCUUUGAGGUAAGUAAUAAAUAUUUGUAAAAUUACCACCCGAUAGGUAGUAGCCCCUGAUACUCUGUUUGGUGUUCGGAAAGAAAAGCCAAACGGAGGGUCCAUUAUAAUCCACAGGAGUCUAAUAGUAAGUAUUCGUGUGAAUAAGCAGGCUGUGUUGCUUGCCGCCGCUGCCCGCACCGCCAAGGUUGCCAAACUAAAGCGGGGCCUGGAGCAAGCGCAGGGAGAGCUCGGCCUCACGAAGAGGCAGCUCGAGGAGAAGAAAGGUAAGCGAUUCCCCGCUCGCAUGUAUUUAAAGAUAGGCAAAAUUGGCUAGUCUAACGCCAAAGCGUCGUGACUGUGUGACAGGGGCCACCGCCGAAGUGGCAUCCCUGAAGAAAGUGUUCUCCAAGGCCGAAGACAAAGCGGCCUUGGAAUGCAAGGAGCGUGAAAAGCACAGUGCUAGAGUGGGCGAGGUACAUCAAGAGCUCCGGGACCUCGGCAAGAAGUACGAGUCCGUGGAGCAUGAUCUGAAGAUGAAAGAGGCCGAGAUUGCGAAGGCCCUUGUGAGUUUGAAGGACGCCAAGGCCGAAGCCAAGAAGGCACAACAGGAGAUCCAGGAGGCCAAAAAGAUAGCAGCGGGUAAGAAGUUCUUUAUUGAAAGGAAACAUGUGGAGGAGGCGUUUCUUUUACUUACUCGAAUUCGGAGCUCUCCAGGGGCAUUCGCAGAUCUGCCAUGCAGCGUAUCAGACGCUGCAGAGUUCUACCGUGCCCAGGAGGGGUGCUCAACGGAGAAGCUGUUCUAGUCCUAGUAUGCUGGGGUUGAACAUCCAAUGCCUCUGAGUGACCAAGUUAAGCAGUUGGUCGAACUCCACAGGGCGGCCGAAUUGUCUAUGAAAGGUUUCAUAGUCUGGAUGUGGCCUGGUGAGCUCCUGCCCAGUAGCUACUUUGGCCUGAUCAAGCGGAUGGUGGAUGCCUGUCCGCGGCUUGAAGUGAUCAAGCGAUCCGUUUGCAUCGAGGGUGUCUGCCGGGCCUUUGCCCGCGUCAAGGUGCAUUGGGGCAAGCUGGAUGCGGAGAAGCUGGUAAAGGACGGGCCGCCGGAGGGCAAGGCGCAUCGCUAUCUCGAGAUGUACUAUGAUGGUGUUAUGAAGGAUGCUCUUCUCGUGGCCGAUGAAUGUACCAAGGACACUAUUUUAAAGUGAAUUCACUUCUUUCAUGUUUGUAAUUUAAAGACGAAGUUACUUGUGCUAUGUAGCGCUUUUGUUAUUUAAAAUAUUAGCUUCUGUGUGGCCAUUUAUAAAAUUCUGAAAGUAGGCCAGUCGUCGGCUUCCGCCCCCACGUAACUAGUACUGGGGUGUUCGUGGAAAACCCAGACACUCUUUAUCCCAAUGUUUUGCUCCCUUAAGGAGGUGUCUGGCGCAGCGAACAAGGCAAUCGGACUAUGCGGCUUUAUAACUUUCACUUAGCCAUAGAAGUCUACAAUUUUAAAUUUCGGCGAAGCCCCUAAAAUCCGGACGGCCGAAUUGGGGCGCUAUACACGCCUAUAUCGGACGAAGCUGAUUUAUCGCCUAAAGCGGAAAAUCUUUAAGAAUUUUAAGACCUCUCGAACAGCGACCAGCUCUCGCCACAUCAUGCCGGUCAGUUUUCGGCUUUCUCUACUGAGGUGCUCAUCCGGAAGAACUGGGACACAAUCGCAGUAGUUCUCCCUACGCUACCUUAGCCGAUAUAACAGAAUGUAAGGCACCAAAACAAGGGAGCCGGGCUAUCCCAACUAUAGACCCAUGCAUAUAAUGCUAUAAGUUCGGGGUGCCGCACAGUUGAAAGUGUUCGGACUUGUCUUGCCGUAUUAUGGGGCGCCAUGAGAAGCCCCUGGCAAACUGACCGUACCAAGGUGUACGGAUGCAAUAUCAAAUAAACAUUUAUAAGAGAAAAAAUGCUCAAAUAAGAAUAAUAAGCUGACGCUAUAGAUAAUCUCCCAUUGUCGAAGAAUACAUUUAAGCGUAUGUUUACAAUGGAUGCAUUUAAGCGGAAAUAAAUAGGACUAUUUGACAUGUCCUAUCCAGGGGCAGGCUAUGUACAGAUAGAUAAGGCAGGUAUAAUGAUCGUAAAUAGAUUCUACCUGGGUAUUUCCUUAUGUGCACAACGUCUGUUGCCUCUUUGGAGGUCUCUCCCAUGUAAGUCUGGCAAUCCGGCUCUUCUGAGGAUGCUGCACUAAAGCGAUGUCCUGAAAGGUAAGAGGGAAAGAUUAUGAAGGUAUUUGACGGUUACCCGCACUAUUGACUGAGUCGUUGAUGCGUCUCCGCCCAUGCCCAUGGUAUCUCGAGUGCGUAAUUGUGUACGCGUGGCACGAAUGCUGCUUUGAUGGGGCUUGAGCGGAGGCCGGACUGCUAAUCACGCUCUUGGUGUUCCUGAUGAGCCUGUUGCAGGGUGCUCCGGACGCGCUUGAUGGUGCUUGAGGUCGCUGUCGCCAUUGGUGGUUUGCCGGAGGAGGCCGCAUUGUACUUCUGCCGCGAGGGCUGCAGUAUGCUCUUCUGUACGGAGAGAGCGGUCCAUGUUUCCGUUGACUGUUAUGACCCCGCGCGGACCUGGCAUCUUGAGCUUGAGGUAUGCAUAAUGUGGUACCGCAUUGAAUCUAGCGAAUGCGGUUCGUUCGAGCAGUGCGUGGUAACCACUACGGAAAGGGCGAUAUCAAAGAUUAGUUCUUCACUCCGGAAGUUGUCCGGGGAUCCGAAGACGACUUCCAAUGUUAUAGAGCCCGUACAGCGGGCCUCUACUCCAGGAAUUACACCUUUAAAUGUGGUUUUGGUGGGCUUGAUCCUUGAAGGGUCAAUGCCCAUUUUGCGCACUGUGUCCUGAUAAAGCAGGUUCAGGCUGCUGCCGCCGUCCAUGAGGACUCGCGUGAGGUGGAAUCCGUCGAUGAUUGGGUCUAAGAGCAAUGCGGCUGAGCCGCCAUGACGGAUACUAGUAGGAUGAUCCCUACGAUCAAAGGUGAUCGGACAAGCUAACCAUGGGUUGAAUUUGGGGGCGACUGGCUCCAUCGCAUAGACGUCCCGUAGAGCUCGCUUCUGUUCCCGUUUGGGGAUGUGAGUGGUGUAGAUCAUGAUGACCGUUUUCACCUGGGGGGGAACUUCUUUUGUCCCCUAGUGUUCGGACGCCAGGGCUCUCCGUCAUCGUCGUUGUGCAGCCCCUUGUCCUUGUUUUCGGCGCUUAUUUUGCCGGCCUGUUUGAACACCCAGCAGUCUCUAUUGGUGUGGUUGGCUGGCUUGUCCAGGGUGCCAUGAAUUUGGCACGAGCGCUCCAGUAUGCGGUCCAGACUGGACGGUCCCUAAUUAUUUCUUUUGAACGGCUUUUUCCGCUGACCGGACUUAGAUCCGCUGAAUCCGGCGUUGACUGUCGUGUCUUCAGUGCUGUCAUCGUUGUUCCUUCUCUUAUGUCUGUUACGCCGUGGCUUGCCGUUAGUAUCGCGUCCGUCCAAAGUGCCGGAAUGUGGCGUGAUGCCGCUGCGGGCCAACCAGCUGUCCUCACCCGCGCGGGUCAUUAGUGUUGUGAGAGCUGCCAUGGACUUGGGUUUUUCCUGGCCAAGGUGUCGAGCAAGCCACUCGUCACGAAUAUUAUGCUUAACUGCCGCCAGGGCUUCGGCGUCCGGACAGUCGACUAUUAGGUUCUUUUUAGUUAGGAACCGAGUCCAGAAUUUCCUGGCUGACUCUCCAGGCUGUUGAGUAAUGUGGCUCAGGUCAUCAGCGUCUGGUGGUCGCACAUAUGUUCCCUGGAAGUUGUUGAGGAAUGCGCCUUCCAGGUUUUCCCAACUGCCAAUGGAUUUUGCUGGCAGGUUGUUUAACCAGUGCCGGGCUGGUCCUUUGACCUUAAGGGGAAGAUACUUGAUGGCGUGUAGAUCAUCUCCGCGGGCCAUUUGAAUGUGGAGAAGGAAAUCUUUGAUCCAUACUGCGGGGUCUGUUGUGCCAUCGUAUGAUUCGAUGUUUACGGGUUUGAACCCUUCUGGGAAUUCAUGAUCCAUUACUUCGUCAGUGAAGCAGAGGGGGUGUGCGGCGCCUCUGUGCCGGGCUAUGUGGCUACGCAGUUCGAAUUGGUCUGGGUUUGCUGUGUUCGGCCCGGCCGGACUUGUUAAUAAUGUAUCCAGUGUGACGGUCAUCAUCGCGCGUUGGGGCGCGCCCCCGCGAUCCGUAGAUCGAUCUUGGCUGUCCUGCUUUGUUUUCUAGAAUAUCUUGCAGGUCUUGCCUGUUGCCCUGGGUUGUAGUGUAUCAGCAUGGGGGUGUGGGCUGGUAUUCAGGCUGAUAUCCCGUUUUAUCCCGGCCACGGAGUGGCCGGUCAGCCGUUUGGCGCUCGAGUCCAUAUUCCUCGGCUACCAGGACUUCAGUCCAUCUGUCGGUGAGCAGGUCUUGAUCAGCUUGGAGUUGCUGCUGCUGCUUCUUCAGGCUUCUCGCAGUGGCUAUAAGCCGACGCUUGAAGCGCUCCUGCUCCACGGGAUCCUUAGGCAUGCUGAACUUGUCGUCACCGAGGCUAAUCUCGUCUUCGGAGGGGGGCAUGUAGUUGUCCUCCUCUGGGUAUCCAUCCGUCGCCUGUUCUUAUGGGCUGACCUGCUCAUAUUCCCGUUCGGCCUGGUCCAAGGCGGGCUGGUCAGGGUUAUAUUCCUCUUUGGUGCCAUCCGGAUUGCUUUCAUCUCCGGGGCCAGUAUUGCUAUGGCGGGGCUUGGAGCGGCGCCGACGAUGCCCAUGCUUUGCUUUUCUUCCUGAGGGGUUAUCAUCUGUUGCCUCGUCGCCAUUGGCUUCCUUUGGAGUGUCCACCAUAUAUAUAUCGUAUGAGGAGGUGGCCGUCCACCGCCUUGUGAGCGGCGGCUCCUGUAAUUCUCCUACAUCGUCGACCAUACCGUCGAUGUCAUCGGCGUCGAAGUCAAGCACGUCGGUUAAAUCAUCGAUCAUGGCAAUGAAGUGGGUGGUGGGUGGGCAACGAAUUCCUUCAUCGUCCGCUUCCCACUCAAACCGGACAUAGUUCGGCCCAGAGCCUCUUGACAAAGAGAGAUACUUUAAUGAGUUUAGCAUGUCGCCAAAGGGCGAGUGCUGAAAGAUGUCCGCUGCGGUGAACUCCAUUACCGGAGCCCAACCCGGCUCGGCAGGCUCGGGAACGUGCAGACUGGAACCUACAUCCGAAUACGAAUCCGGGGGUCUGGAGUCACAGGCUUCCUCGGAAGCGAGGCCUGUGUUCGGCUCUACCGCUGAUGAGGGUACGCCCUGCGGGGCGGGGUCCAUCCCUCCGUCCCUAGGCAACACAGCCUGCUCCGGAUUUGAGUCCGGGGCUACUGCAGGGGUGAUAUCCCGAGCGUUGUCCGACAGCAGGUCCAGGCCAUGCUCGUCAUGACUGUCCGGUGCUCCUGGCGCGGGCCCGAAUCCGUCAAAGAUCAAGUCUCCGCCGAAAUCCGCCGUGUAGUUCAGGUUUCCGAACCUGAGUUGAUGGCCCGGGGCGUAGCUGUCGAUCUGCUCCAGAUGACCAAGCGAAUUGGCACGCAGCGCGAAGCCGCCAAACACGAAUUAUCUUGCUAUCAAACUACUCCUUACUUAUAAUUUUAGUACUUGCAAAGAAUACCUUGCUUAAAAUCACUUUUCAUUUUCUUCUGCUCUUCAUUGGGUUCGACACUCUUACUUAUCGAAAGGACUACGAUUGAUCUCCUAAACUUGUGGGUUAGCAGAGGCUCCAACCCCUGACGCCCAAGGUCGAGCCGGCGCCGACGGAGUGCUACUUUUGGACCGGUGGGCUGCGUGAGCGGGUCAGCGCCCCCUCCCCCCGUGUGGCUCGACGUGACGCUGCCGCACGAGGUGGCAUACCUUAAGCAGUGGAGGCAGCGCGCUGUGGAGGACGAGCACGCCGACGGCGAGCGGCUCAUGGAGAUCGAGCGCGAGGAGGAGGAACGCCAUGAGAAGGAGGAUGAGGAACGCUGAUACGUCUCUGUCGUAUCUAUAAUUUUUGAUUGUUCCAUGCCAAUAUUAUUCACUUUUAUAUACUUUUGGCAACUUUUUAUACUAUUUUUUUGGGACUAACAUAUUGAUCCAGUACCCAGUGCCAGUUCCUGUCCGUUGCAUGUUUUUUGUUUCGCAGAAACCCAAUAUCAAACGGAGUCCAAACGGGAUAAAAAUGGGCGGAGAUUUUCUUUGGAAUAUUUAUGAUAUUUGGGAAGUAAAAUCAACGCUAGACGGUGUCCGAGGUAGGGGGGCGCGCCCUACCCCCCCAGGCGCGCCCCUGACCCUCGUGGUCCACCCGUAAGGCAGUUGAUGCCCUUCUUUUGGCGCAAGAAAUAUAAUUUUAUGAGAAAGAUCUGGGCGAAAGAUUCACCCAAAUCUGAGUUAUGGAUCUCCAGAUAUAAAGGAAACGGUGAAGGGGUAGAAUCAGAGAACACAGAAACAGAGAGAUAGAUCCAAUCUCGGAGGGGCUCUCGCCCCUCCCAAGCCAUGGGAGCCAAGGACCAGAGGGGAAACCCUUCUCUCAUCUAGGGAGAAGGUCAAGGAGGAAGAAGAAGAAGGGGGGCUCUCUCCCCCUUGCUUCCGGUGGCGCCGGAGCGCCGCCGGGGGCCAUCAUCAUCACCCGAUCUUCACCAACACCUCCAUCAUCUUCACCAACAUCUCCAUCACCUUCCCCCUUUUAUCUACAGCGGUCCACUCUCCCGCAACCCACUGUACCCUCUACUUGAACAUAGUGCUUUAUGCUUCAUAUUAUUUUUCAAUGAUGUGUUGCCAUCCUAUGAUGUCUGAGUAGAUUUUCGUUGUCCUAUCGGUGAUUGAUGAAUUGCUAUGAUUGGUUUGAGUUGCAUGUUUUAUUAUUGGUGCUGUCCUAUUGUGCCCUCCGUGUCACGCAAGCGUGAGGGAUUCCUGCUGUAGGGUUUGCAAUAUGUUUAUAAUUUGCUUAUGGUGGGUGGCGUGAGUGACAGAAGCACAUACCCGAGUAAGUAGGUUGUUUGCGUAUGGGAUAAAAGGGGACUUGAUACUUUAAUGCUAUGGUUGGGUUUUACCUUAAUGAAUCUUUAGUAGUUGCGGAUGCUUGCUAGAGUUCCAAUCAUAAGUGCAUAGAAUUCAAGUAAGGGAUGAUAUGUUAGCUUAUGCCUCUCCCUCAAAUAGAAUUGCAAUAGUGAUUACCGGUCUAGUAACAGUCAAUUGCUUAGGGACAAUUCCACAACUCCUACCACCACUUUUCCACACUCGCUAUAUUUACUUUAGUUGUGUCUUUAUCUAAACAGCCCCUUGUUUAUAUUUACGUGUUGUUUACUUUCUUGCAAGCUUAUCCAACAACACCUACAAAGUACUUCUAGUUUCAUACUUGUUCUAGGUAAAGCGAACGUCAAGCGUGCGUAGAGUCGUAUCAGUGGCCGGUAGGACUUGAGAGAGUAUUUGUUCUACCUUUAGCUCAUCGUUGGGUUCGACACUCUUACUUAUCGAAAGAGGCUACAACUAUCCCCUAUACUUGUGGGUGAUCAAGACCUUUUUCUGGCGCCGUUGCCGGGGAGUCAUAGCGUGGGGUGAAUAUUCUCAUGUGUGCUUCUUUGCUUUGUCACUAAGUAAUUUUUAUCUGUUGUUCUUAGUUGUUCUUUAUCUUUAGUUAUGGAUAUGGAACACAAAAUACCAAAAAAAUAGGUGUACUUGCUACUCAUGGAGAUGGGGAACCUCCUAAAACCCUCGAUGCUAGUUAUGUGAAAGAUAUUAUGUACUACUUUGAUAAUCCUGAGAAAACCCCAUUCAACUAUGUAAUGGGAGUAAUGUUGGGUCAACGUGAAUACUUCAGGGAUUAUCGCUUGACAGAAAAAGGGAAACUAUUAUGGGAUCAAAUUCAUAUAUUGAAGUAUUAUGCUUGGCAACUAUGCGUGGAAUAUGAUUAUACUUGUUGCUCUAGGAUGAAUUCUCCGCACCUUCCCUUUUCAUGCAAAUUUAAUGAUAAUAAAACCUUAGCUUCUUAUGCUAAUGGUAUAUAUGAUUACUAUGAUGUGGAACAAAUAGAAGAAUUUGUUGCUUUUAUGGGUGCUUAUGAAAUUGAAGCUAUGUGUAAAGAGUUUGAGGAUUUUGAUGAUGUUGUUUAUAGAUCUGAAAAUUUAGCUAUCCUCAAAUAUUGCUAUGAGAAUUAUAAAUACAAUUAUGAAAUUAAUGCACUUAUUAAGAAAGUCUCCGCUGUCCAAGAAGAGACUAAUAUUUUGCAGGAAGCUAUGGAAGAAGAAAUUGAUGAAAAUGUGAGCUCAUUGGAUGAAAAAGAUGAUGAGGAGAGCGAAGAACAAAAGGAGGAAACGCGGAUUGAUCACCCGUGCCCACCUUCUAAUGAGAGUAACCCUCCAAUUCAUACAUUAUUUAAUUCCCCUUCAUGCUUACCGAAGGAUGGUUGCUAUGAUGAUUGCCAUGAUGAUUGCUAUGAUGAUUGUUAUGAUCCCGUUGAUUCUCUUUAAAUAUCCCUUUUUGAUGAUGCUUGCUAUGCUUAUGGCCAAGAUGCCAAUAUGAAUUAUGCUUAUGGAGAUGAACUUGCUAUAGUUCCUUAUGUUAAACAUGAAAUUGUUGCUAUUGCACCCACGCAUGAUAGUCCUAUUAUCUUUUUGAAUUCUCCCGAAUAUACUAUAUCGGAGAAGUUUGCGCUUAUUAAGGAUUAUAUUGAUGGGUUGCCUUUUACUACUACACAUGAUGAUUUUGAUAGAUAUAAUAUGCAUGUGCUUGCUGCUCCUACUUGCAAUUAUUAUGAGAGAGGAACUAUAUCCCCGCCUCUCUAUGUUUCCCAUACGAUAAAAUUGCAAGAAACUGUUUAUACUAUGCAUUGGCCUUUACUAUGUGUGCAUGAAUUGUUCUUUUAUGACAUGCCGGUGCAUAGGAAGAGAGUUAGACUUCGUCAUUAUAUGAUUUAUGUUACUUUGUGCUCACUGCUAAAUUACAAAUCAUUGUUAAUUAAAAUUGGCUUUGAUAUACCUUGGGAUCCGGGUGGAUUCACUACUUCAGCACUAUAUGCCUAGCUUAAUGGCUUUAAAGAAAGCGCUGCCAGGGAGACAACCCGGAAGUUUUAGAGAGUCAUUUAUUUCUGUUGCGUGCUUUCAUAUAGUUUAAAAAACAAAAAUAAAGAGGGGAACCCAAAACUUUUCAAAAAAGAGAAGUGAAAGAGAGAGACGAGCAUUGUGAAAGUGGGGGACGUCCUUAAACUUGUUCAGGCCCGUGGGAACUUUGUGAAUCUUAAUUACAGAAACUUUUCAAUAAAAAUAAUUAUCCCCUUGUACAAUUUCAUUGUAUUAUAAAAAUAAUGUGCCAAGGUUUGCCUUUAGGAUGUUUACAAUGCUUGUUGGUUUGUACGGUGCCGGACAGAAACUUUGGCUGUAGUGCACGAUUUUACAUUUUUAGCUGGACAUCAAAUGGUUCUGAUUCCUUAUGCACUGUCUUGCUAUAAAACUUGUUUAUUUUUCCUAAUUUUGGUAGAAUUUUUGGGGUACCAGAAGUAUGGUGGAUGUUCAGAUUGCUACAGACUAUUCUGUUUUUGACAGAUUCUGUUUUUGAUGCAUAGUUUGCUUGUUUUGAUGAAUCUAUCAAUUUAUAUCAGUGGAUUAGGCCAUGAAAAUGUUAUAUUACAGUAUACAAAAUGAAAAAAAAUAUGAAUUGGUUUGCAACAGUACUUAGAGUGGUGAUUUGCUUUAUUAUACUAACGGAUCUUACCGAGUUUUCUGUUGAAGUUUUGUGUGGAUGUAGUGUCUAAUCGAGGAUGUCUCGAUAUGAGGAAAAUGAAGAGAGGCAAGAGCUCAAGCUUGGGGAUGCCUGAGGCACCCCAAGUAAAUAUUCAAGUAGACUCAAGCAUCUAAGCAUGGGGAUGCCCCGAAAGGCAUCCCCUCUUUCUUCAACAAGUAUCGGUAUGUUUUCGAAUUUUUUUUGUUCAUGCAUUAUGUGCAAGUCUUGGAGCAUCUUUUGCAUUUAGUUUUCAUUUUUAUUUUAUGCACCAUGCUGGUAUGAGAUAGUCCUUGGUUGAUUUAUAGAAUGCUCAUUGCACUUCACUUAAAUCUUUUGACACUAGUGCAGAACCGGGCAAUAGCACCGGUUCGUAAGGCCCUGUAGUGCCGGUUACAUAACCGGCACUAAAUUAUGGUCACUAAAGGCCCCCCCUUUAGUACCGGUUCAGCACGAACCGGUGCUAAAGGGCAACCACGUGGCACGAGCCAGCUCCGGGGGCCUGGAGCCCUUUAGUACCGGUUGGUAAGGUAAGACCAACCGGUACUAUAAGGUUUGGGGGGUUUUAGUUUUAUGAUUUCUUUUUCAUUUAAUUUUGUGUUUCCAUUUUAAUUCUUUUUCGUUUGCUGGUAUUUUACGGUACUACACAUUGUACACGUUAUAUAUAUAUAUAUAUAUAUAUAUAUAAAAUUUCUAGUAGAACCAAUCAUGCAUAUAUAUAUCAUCAAUGUAUCACAAACCACCAUAUUAAUUAAUUCACACAUACACACAUGUAUAGCUAUAUACAAUUUCUCCUACAUAUGCAUGUUGCCUUCGGAGCCAGUGGCAUUAGCCUAAUUGGUGCCUUCGGAGCACGAUGACAAUUGGAAGUGGUUUUCAUGGGGGCGGUAGCGGGUAAUAGAAUUCUCCCUUCGGAUUUAUGACCUGGUCGAGCAAAAAUCCCGCUAUUUCCUUUUGAAGUGCUUCUACGCGCUCCGUUUCUAUGAGCUUCUCCCGCACCUCUUUGAACUGUUAAGGAGAUCAAUAUGCAUGUAUAUUAGUUGUGUGAGCUAGAUAUCGAUAAUGGUGUAAAAAUUGUGAAUAGUGUUCUGACAAGCGUACCCAUUCCUGUCUUUGAGAUCUGCUCCUUUCGGACGCCAUCAUGCGAAUGUUCUCGCAAAUGCAGAAUGCACACAGAUCAGUCCCCUGCGCCUGCUUCAGGGCCUUUACGAGAGAAUGGAAUUUGAUUAGAUAAAAAUUAAUCAAGCAUGAUAAUUAAAGAGAUGGCAGUCUAGUACUACUUAAUUGCUUACCUUGGGUCGAAACCAUCGAAGCUUUUGUUUCCAUUCGCCGGGCGUGACAGCGAUGAACCUUGCCCAAGCCCUGCCCGCCGACAAAGAAAAUGAAUAAAGGGGUUAUUAAAUAGUUCAUAUCAUGAAAUGACGAACUAAAUAGGCCGAGAUAUAUAGUUAAUAAUGAUUGAAAUUACCUGUUGACUAUCCCAUACAAGAUGUUAUAGUCAGUUUUUUCUGAGAUUAGCGAGUCUAGUACUUUAACUGUUCCGGCGUCAACUUUAAUGAUACACAAGACCCAGUGAAAUUUGCAUGUGCACACACGUUUGCAUGUCUUAAUUAAGCGGCAUAUGUAAGCAAAAACAUGUAGCUAGCUAGUAGGCAAAAACAGAGAAUUUGUAGUACAAGACAGUGUGACUCACUGGAAGUUGUAAGGAAGUAGUAUAUCUUGAUUGUAUUUGAGGCGCUUCAAAAACUCUAGCAUGCUGUCCUCUACAUUCUUUUGCUGAUGUUGAUUUAUCUUCCAUGUGUAUUCAUUAACGGUGUUUGGGUCAAUGAACCCAAUGCCAAAGCGUCCACCUUUUCUCAUUUCAUAUAUCUUCAUCCUGCAUAAUACCACAGAAAAGAAUAUACUAAGGAUAAUUACAGGUAAUGAUUGAUCAAAAGGAUCACUAUAGCUAGCUUGAGACUUAAAUUAUGGAAAGAAAUCACUUACAGACAAUAGCAACUGACGAUAGAUUUGUCGAGUGCGUCUUGAUUGUAUAACUGAAACAGUUCUAAAUACUCAACGGACACAGCUUUCUCAUGGAAGUAAUGCUCCUCCUUGACAUUCACCAUGAGGGACAAUCGAUCUAAAAUAUUGGUAAUGUUCAUGUACCAUUGAUGCAAUUCAUACAUUCUCGUUGGGAGGUUCUUGACCUUGUCUAGCGCGACCAAAGGUUGGCCCCGGACAUAUUUCUGUUUUAUUUCAUCCUCUCUAAGCAAAGGCAUGGGCUCGAUCUCGAGGAGUUGUCCAACAGUGAUGUUGAGAACUUCAGCCUGCAUUAUAUGCUCCUCCAUUAUUACCACAUUGCCCACCUCGGGAACGUGCACUGUUUGCCCACAAUAAUAUUGGGCGCGCGUACUGUCACCUGUUGUUGGCACAACAAGCGAGGGGAUCGAUUGCGCCGCCUGUUCUCCCAGCUGGGGAAUGGUUUUCCCGCACUUUUUGGCAGCUGCUUCUUGUUUGCUCGAUACGGUGUAGACGUGCUCGCCUCCCUUUGUAGACGUGAUCGAUUUAACUUCCUGAUGUGGUGCUCAUAGUCUGUGUCAGCAGGCUUGGGAGCUGGUGGUUGAGCCAUACGAAGUAGUCAAUCGUUUCCUCAGGCACUUUCUCCCUUGGCGGCGGUGGCGGUUUCGGUGCAAAAUGGGCUUCCACCUCGGCCUUCGAUAUGGCUGUGAUUUCCUCCUCGGACCUGUCAUAAGACCUCUGCGGAAGAGGCUUGAGGCUUGGACCAUAUUUAUAUCGCUUGCCUCCGCCUGUACUUCCUGUACUACCUCGACUCGUAUCGCUACGCACCAUAGCUGCGGGGUGUCUCUUCUGCGAUUGCUGAAGGGGCGGAGACGGCUGACGGGGCUGAGUUGGACGAGGAGGAGUGGCUUGAGGUUGUGCCGGACUUGGAGGAGGAGUGGACGUCUGACGCUGUGGCGGACUUGGAGGAGGAGGAUUGUCCUGACACUUUGCCGGACUUGGAGGAGGAGGAGUGGCCUGACACUUUGCCGGACUUGGUGGACUUGCAGGAGCGGGAGUCUGCUGACUCGGUGGCGGACUUCGACAAGGACUCGGCUGACGCGGUGUCGGUGGCCUUCAAAAGAUGAUGCAAUCCUUUUUCCAUAGAAUGAUACGAUGUUUGGCCUCUCCGAGAAAGCGCUCGCUGUCACCUCCAGCAAUGUCAAGUUGUAGCCCCGAAUAUGGUGGGUCCACCACCUCAUCAACCAAGACACGAGCAUAGCCCGCUGGAAUCGGGUUGCAAUGGAAGGUUUCCUGAGGGGGAUUUGUGAAAGCAAAGCCGUCUGCCACCUUCAUGGAUAUGUUCUUCAUUUUGACGUGUAGCUCGCAGUUAGUGUUCUCCGUGAUGUCAUCCACGGGGUAUCUACCCAGCAUUGCGUCGUCCGGGACGGAACCCACGCUGCUUCUCAGCAUGGAUGGGCCGGUGCUAUCCAAUGCUGGAUCAUCCGCUAGCUGCUGCAGCUGCUGAGACCCCCUUUGAUGGGUAACUGAGUCGAUCUGCUCCUACUGCCGCUGGAAUUUGACUGCCAAUUCCGCUUGACUUGCUUCUAGGCCUUCAAGGCGUUCAUAGUCCCGCUUCCUCUGCUCCUCCUCCAUCUUCGUCUUCUUCUCCUCCGCAAUCUUCUUUCUCGCACGGGUUCUGUAGUCGGCGUUCCAUUCUGAAAACCCCUCAUACCACGGAAUAGCGCCCUUGCCUUGUGUUCUUCCCGGGUGUUCAGGAUUUCCCAUGGCAUGCGUAAGCUCGUCGUUCUCUCUGUUGGGCUGGAACACCCCCGAUCGUGCCUCUUCUAUUGCAACAAGUAUCGCAUCGUCGGCUCCCUUCAGACUUGCCCUCGUCGAAACAUUGCCUGUCUCCGGGUCCAACUCCCCCCCAUGUGCAUAGAACCAAGUCCUGACCCUGGGGGGCCAGCUCUUAGUAGCCGGAGUGACACCUGCAUCCUCCAUCUCUUUCUCAGACUUAUCCCACUUAGGCAUUGCCACCGCAUAGCCACCUGGCCCCAGCUUAUGGAACUUAUCCUUUUUUUCGGCAUUCUUCUUGUUUAUUCUCGACCGUUCCUCAGCUACUUCCGAAUCCUUGAAUUUCACAAAAUCGUCCCAAUGAUCACGUUGGUUCUCUAGUGUUCCCUUGAAUACUGGAGUCUUCCUUCCUCCCUUGACGUACUUCUUCCAUUCACGAUUCUUGUGGUUCUUGAAUGCAAUCGCCAUCAUCCUAAGAGCAGCCUCCUUGACUUUCUGCACAUCUGCUUCUGUGAAAUGAUCUGGUAGGGUGAAAUGUUCCAUGAGAGUAUCCCAAAGCAGAUCUUUUUGAUUCUUGUCGACAAAAGUAACAUCUGGACGUGGCUUUGCUGGCUCUCUCCAUUCUUGAAGUUUGAUCGGGAGUUGGUCCUUCACAAGAACUCCGCACUGACGAACGAACUUGUCCGCAAUCUUCUUAGGCGCUAAUGGUUUGCCGGUAGGGCUGCAUGCCUCAAUAUUGUACAUUACGCCCGGCUUCAACUUUUUGUUCGGGCCUCAUUUUGUCAUUUUGCCUGAAGAUUUGCUCGAUUCGGAUGGCUGAAAGAACAAAGAUCGAUUCGUUAAUAUAUCUUCAAGUCAUUUAAAACAUGUGAUGAUCACCAGAUGCCUGCUUAUAUAAAUAUAUAUACCUCACCGGUCUUUGUUGUUUCAGGAUCAACAUGUUCUUUGUCAUCGUCAUAAUCGUAGUUCAUGACUUCAUCAAUUUGGUCGUCGCGAUCGAAUAUCAUAUCACCCUCUCCGGUGUUGUUUAGAAAUUCAGAGCCGUCAUAAUCUUCUUCAUUCUGAUUAUCAUCUGGCCCGCGUAUCAUAUCGAACAUGGUCUGUUCUCCCUCUCUGUCGGUAUUGUCUGUCAUAGCUUUUGUUUAACUAAUCCAAAAGAAAUAUAAAACAAUUUAGUAUUCAAAUUACAUCGUCUCGAAUAAUAGAUAUAAUCUCGAAUACAUCAUCCAGAAUAAUAGAUAUAAUCUCGAAUACAUUGUCUCGAAUAAUAUAUAAUAUUGAAUAGUACAUCACUGGCUAUUAGCUAAUAAAGAUCGAAUACUACAGAAGAAUCUAGGACACUCGCGGUUCCUCCGGCACGGGCGCUGGACACCCAAAGAGAAGGAACCCUCACAGGAUCAUAGCUGAAGUGAGAUCCCCGAAGAAACUGCCACGUAUUGGAGAACCUGUCGCCCUCUAACGCAACCAUGUAGCGAUGGACGUGCUCGUCCUCCUCCCUGACACGGCGACGUACCACCUCCGGUGGGGCCGGGUCCCUCCGCACCGAAACUGGCCCACACGAACGCCACCAAACGAGAUCAGGGUCUACGACGGGACCCGGGGCCGGGUUCCUCAUCAAGCGGCGCGCCCUUCCAUGCAGCACCUCCCAGUGCCAGCCCGGCGGAGCCCAGUCCCGGACAUGGGUCGGCUGGACGUCGUCGCAGACGGGUCGACGGCGAGGAUGCGGGCCGGGCAUCGUCGAGAACAAAUACUAGCUAUAUGCCCGCAAAAAGUUACAUUUUUUAAUGAUUGGAUUUUGAUAACUAAAAUUUCUAACAUUUCUAUAUAACACUAAUUAUGCUAAUCUAAAUAAUCUAAAUAACACUAAAAUUUCUAAAAUUUCUAACAUUUCUAUAUAACACUAAUUUCUAACAUUUCUAUAUAACACUAAUUUCUAACUGAUUAAACACUAAUUAUAUCCAUCUAACAUGCAUUCAUACAUAUAUAAUAGUGAAAAAAUAAUAAUCUAAAUAAUCUAAACUAAUUAAACAUACAAAAUACGUGUGUGUGUGUGCUAAUUAAACACUAAUUAUCUAAACUAAUUAAACAUACAAAAUAAUAAUCUAAAUAAUCUAAACUAAUUAAAGACUAAUUAUCUAAACUAAUUAAACAUGCUUGUGUGUGUGUGUACGGGCUCGGGGAGGGCUCACAGCGGGCGACGGCGACGGUGAGGCGACGGCGAGGUGACNNNNNNNNNNNNNNNNNNNNNNNNNNNNNNNNNNNNNNNNNNNNNNNNNNNNNNNNNNNNNNNNNNNNNNNNNNNNNNNNNNNNNNNNNNNNNNNNNNNNNNNNNNNNNNNNNNNNNNNNNNNNNNNNNNNNNNNNNNNNNNNNNNNNNNNNNNNNNNNNNNNNNNNNNNNNNNNNNNNNNNNNNNNNNNNNNNNNNNNNNNNNNNNNNNNNNNNNNNNNNNNNNNNNNNNNNNNNNNNNNNNNNNNNNNNNNNNNNNNNNNNNNNNNNNNNNNNNNNNNNNNNNNNNNNNNNNNNNNNNNNNNNNNNNNNNNNNNNNNNNNNNNNNNNNNNNNNNNNNNNNNNNNNNNNNNNNNNNNNNNNNNNNNNNNNNNNNNNNNNNNNNNNNNNNNNNNNNNNNNNNNNNNNNNNNNNNNNNNNNNNNNNNNNNNNNNNNNNNNNNNNNNNNNNNNNNNNNNNNNNNNNNNNNNNNNNNNNNNNNNNNNNNNNNNNNNNNNNNNNNNNNNNNNNNNNNNNNNNNNNNNNNNNNNNNNNCCCGGGGCGGCGACGGAGACGAGGGUGGCGACGGGGACGGGGGCGGCGAUGGGGACGGGGGCGGCAACGGAGACGAGUGGCGACGGAGACAAUCGAGGGCGGCGGCGACGGCGACGGAGACGACGGAACAGAGGAACAAACAGAGGGAAACUGAAAUUUUCGUAGCUGUUGUAUAUAUAGAAGGCACCUUUAGUACCGGUUGGAGCCACCAACCGGUACUAAGGGCCUGUUUUGGCCAGGCCAAGCGGCGGGAAGCGACCCCCUUUAGUACCGGGUGGUGGCACAAACCGGUACUAAAGGCCCCCCUUUAGUACCGGUUUGUGCCACGACCCGGUACUAAAGGGGGUGCGCUGGCGCAGGUGCGGUGCGGCAAGUUUAGUCCCACCUCCCUAGUCGAGGGGCUACCGCACUGGUUUAUAAGCCCCAGUGCGGUAGCUCUCUCGAGCUCCUCUCCUAACCAGGCCUACUGGGCCUACCUGUCCCCUUCGCCUAGUGGGCCUACUGGGCCUUCGCGGGCCUGCAUCCUGGCCCAACGAAAGGUUGUGUCGCUAGUCGUAUGCAGGCCACUUUGGCCCAGUAGGCGGGCUUUUUUUUCUCAAUUUUUUUUGCUUUAUUUUUUUUUGCUUUAUUUUUUUUGUUUUAUUUAUUUUUGAGUUGUUUUUUUUUUGCUGUAUUUAGUGUUUCUUUGUGAAUAUUUUUUGCUUUAGGUACAAAAAAUUACUAACUUUCUGUUAGUGCCGGUAGAUUUCAAAUUUGAAUAGUUUAAAUUUUGAAUUAUUUGAAACUUGUGUCAAUCACUAGUUUGUGAAUAACUUAACUUUGAAAAAAGUUUUUCCAGUGAUUCUUUUUUCUUAUGUUUAAUAUUAGUGUGUUUUAUCAUUAUAUUCAAUUUAGUAAUGCUUAGGUUAUUUAAAAAUGAAAUGCCUUUGUAACAGUUCAGUUUUCGUCGAAAACCUUGAUACUUCGAAAGAGAUUGUCAUUUUGUACACGAAGUGCAUCCAGUUUUUGCCGUAACCCUCUCUACUUUCUUGCACAUGCUAUUUGUAUGAAAUUAUGAUACCAUGCCAACUUUCAACCUUUUCUGAGUUCAUUUGAAUUGCUUUCCAAUUUCAGGGUCAUUUAGCUGGAAAAAGUCAGUAAAUGCUUGAAAAGAAUUUGUUUGCACAUAAAAUUUCUUCGCGUUUCAAAUUCCAAAACACAUAACUACCCUAACUAUUACAGACAUUCCCUCCUGGGUGUGAAACACAGAAGAAAGUGAUGAUAGUGAAGCCGAUCACAUCCCAAAUCUUUGGGUGUGAAACUUUUUCUUCGCGUGUGUCCCUUUGCGCCGUAACCAUGGAAAUUCUUCAUCAUUUAACGGGAUGCUCGGGUCAAUAUUCACUGUGAAUGGAGCAAUUUCAUCAAACUUUUCAUAAUCUUCUGACUUGUCUGUCUUGUCAUCCACUCCCACGAUGUUUCUCUUCCCAGAAAGAACUAUGUGCCGCUUUGGCUCAUCGUAUGAUGCAUUCGCUUCCUUAUCUUUUCUUUUUCUUGGCUUGGUAGACAUGUCCUUCAGAUAGAAAACCUGUGCCACAUCAUUGGCUAGGACGAAUGGUUCGUCUGCAUACGCAAGAUUGUUGAGAUCCACUAUUGUCAUUCUGUACUGCGGGUCUUCCGUUACCCCGCCUCGUGUCAUAUUGACCCAUUUGCACCGAAACAAAGGGACCUUUAAACCACGUCGAUAGUCAAGUUCCCUUAUGUCCUGUAUAUAACCAUAAUAUGUUUCCUUUCCCGUCUUAGUUUCUGCAUCAAAGCGGACACCACUGUUUUGGUUGGUGCUCUUCUUAUCUUGGGGGAUCGUGUAAAAUGUAUUACCAUUUAUCUCGUACCCUUUGAAAGUCAUUAUAUUCGAAGAUGGUAACUGGGACAGCAAGUACAGGUCAUCUUCAAUAGAGGUGUCAUGCAUGGUACGUGUCUGCAACCAGUUGGCGAAACUCCUGGUUUGUUCACGUGUAAUCCAGUCAUCAGACCGCUCCGGGUGUUUCGAGCGUAGCAAAUUCUUGUGUUCAUCCAUAUAUGGAGCCACCAAGGUGGAAUUCUGUAGAACUGUGUGGUGUGCUUCAGUGAGAGAAUGUCUGUCCAUACAUAUUAUUUGUUCCCCUCCUAGCGUGCCUUUUCCAUCCAGUCUGCCCUUAUGCCGCGAUUCAGGAACACCAAUUGGCUUAAGGUCAGGAAUAAAGUCAAUACAAAACUCAAUGACCUCCUCAUUUUGAUGGCCCUUGGAGAUGAUUCCUUCUGGCCUAGCACGGUUAUGAACAUAUUUCUUUAAGACUCCCAUGAACCUCUCAAAGGGGAACAUAUUGUGUAGAAAUACAGGACCCAAAAUGUUAAUCUCUUCGCAUAGGUGAACUAGGACGUGCGUCAUGAUGUUGAAGAAGGAUGGUGGGAACACCAACUCGAAACUGACAAGACAUUGCACCAAAUCAUUCUGUAACCUUGGUAUGAUUUCUGGACCGAUUACCUUCUGAGAGAUUGCGUUGAGAAAUGCACAUAGCUUCACAAUGGCUAAUCGAACGUUUUCCGGUAGAAGCCCCCUCAAUGCAACCGGAAGCAGUUGUGUCAUAAUCACGUGGCAGUCAUGAGACUUUAGGUUCUGGAACUUUUUCUCUGCCAUGUUUAUUAUUCCCUUUAUAUUCGACGAGAAGCCAGACGGUACCUUAAUACUGAGCAGGCAUUCAAAGAAGAUUUCCUUCUCUUCUUUGGUAAGAGCGUAGCUUGAUGUAUGUCGUCUUCUCCGUGCAUAUGUUGCUGGUCCUCCCAUGCCUCAGGUGUAUCUUUUGUCUUCCCAUACACGCCCAAGAAGCCAAGCAGGGUCACGCAAAGAUUCUUCGUCACGUGCAUCACGUCAAUUGCAGAGCGGACCUCUAGGUCUUUCCAAUAUGGCAGGUCCCAAAAUAUAGAUUUCUUCUUCCACAUGGGUACGCGUCCGUCCGCGUCCUUCGGAACAGGUUGUCCGCCAGGACUCUUUCCAAAUAUCACCUUCAAAUCCUUGACCAUAUCAUGUACAUCAGCACCAGUACGGUGGCGAGGCUUCGUCCGGUGAUCCGCCUCACCUUUGAAAUGCUUGCCUUUCUUUCUUACGGGAUGCCUGCUCGGAAGAAAUCGACGAUGUCCCAGGUACACAUUCUUCUUACAACUAUUCAAAUAUAUACUGUCGGUAUCAUCCAAACAGUGCGUGCAUCCGCGGUAUCCCUUGUUUGUCUGUCCUGAAAGGUUACUGAGAGCAGGCCAAUCAUUGAUGGUCACGAACAGCAACGCCUUUAGGUCAAAUUCUUCCCCCAUGUGCUCAUCCCACUCACGUACACCUUUUCCAUUCCACAGUUGUAAGAGUUCUUCAACUAAUGGCCUUAGGUACACAUCAAUGUCGUUGCCGGGUUGCUUAGGGCCUUGGAUGAGCACUGGCAUCAUAAUGAACUUCCGCUUCAUGCACAACCAAGGAGGAAGGUUAUACAAACAUAGAGUCAUAGGCCAGGUGCUAUGGUUGCUGCUCUGCUCACCAAAAGGAUUAAUGGCAUCUACGCUUAGACCAAACCAUACGCUCCUUGCGUCAUCUGCAAACUCCUUCCCGUACUUUCUUUCAAUUUUUCUCCACUGCGACCCGUCAGCGGGUACUCUCAACUUUCUUACAGUCUUCUCUGUGCCAUCGCAUCGCCUUGGCAUGCUCUUUGUUUUGGAACAAACGUUUCAACCGUGGUAUUAUAGGAGAAUACCACAUCACCUUGGCAGGAAUCUUCUUCCUAGGGCGCUCGCCCUCGACAUCACCAGGCUCAUCACGGCUGAUCAUAUAGCGCAAUGCACCACAUACCGGGCAAGCGUUCAAACCCUCGUACUCACCGCGGUAGAGGAUGCAAUCAUUAGGGCAUGCAUGUAUAUUCUACACCUCUAACCCUAGAGGGCAGACAGCCUUCUUUGCUUCGUACGUACUCUCGGGCAAUUCGUUGUCCUUUGGAAGCAUAUCCUUUAUCAUUACCAGCAACUUUCCAAAUACCUUGUCAGAUACACCAUUCUCUUCCUUCCAUUGCAGCAAUUCCAGUGUGGUGCCCAGCUUUUUCUUGUCACCUACACAAUUCGGGUACAACAAUUUUUUGUGAUCCUCUAACAUGCGCUGCAACUUCUUCUUCUCCAAAUCACUUGCGCAGUUUCUCUUUGCAUCGGCAAUGGCCCGACCUAGAUCAUCAACGGGCUCAUCUGAUGCCUCUUCUUCAGCUUCUUCCCGCAUUGCCGGCUCAGCUUCUUCCCACAUUACCGGCUCAGCUUCUUCCCCCAUUGUUGUAUCAUCGUAUUCAGGGAACCCAUGGCCAAGAUAGCUGUCGUCAUCCUCUUCUUCUUCAUUGUCUUCCAUCGUAACCCCUCUUUCUCCGUGCUUGGUCCAAACAUUAUAGUGGGGCAUGAAACCGGAAUCAAACAGGUGGACGUGAAUGGUUCUUGACGUAGAGUAAUUGUGACCAUUCUUACAGCCAGCACAUGGACAAGGCAUAAAACCAUCCGCCCGCUUGUUUGCCUCAGCCGCAAGCAGAAAAGUAUGCACGCCCUCAACGAACUGGGGAGAGCAUUGGUCAUCGUACAUCCAUUGCCGGCUCAUCUUCAUUACACAACACCGAAUAGACAAAAUUAAUACAAGUUCAUACAUAAAGUUCAUACAACACUUAAAUGCAAGAAACAAAUAACUCUCUGGCUAAAGCAUUUAAAUGCAACAAUAAAUGCGAUCAAGAUUGCAACUAAGGUAACAACUGAUCCAACAGCAUAAUGAUACCAAGCCUCACUAUCGAUGGCAUAUUUUCUAAUCUUUCUAAUCUUCAAGCGCAUUUUCUCCAUCUUGAUCUUGUGAUCAUCGACGACAUCGGCAACAUGCAACUCCAAUUCCAUCUUCUCCCCCUCAAUUCUUUUCAAUUUUUCUUUCAAGUACUCGUUUUCUCUUUCAACUAAAUUUAACCUCUCGACAAUAGGGUCGGUUGGAAUUUCCGGUUCACAUACCUCCUAGAUAAAAAUAUCUAUGUCAACUUGAUGGGCAUAAUUUGUCAUAAACACGAAAUGUAACAAAUAGUUUUAAAAGAGAAUAUACCACAUCCGAAUCAUAACAAGGACGAGGGCCGACGGGGACGGAUAUCAAAACCAUGGCACUAUGUAUAACAAACAACGUACGGGUAAGAUAAUUAUUACAUGAUUAACUAUAUAUCCAAAUCACACAAACAUAAAUUUUUUAUAUAAAAUUUCAUGAACAAGAGGCUCACCACAAGGUGGUGCCGGCGACGGGACGGUGCGGGCGAUCGAUGGUGGUUACGGCGGAGAUUUAGAAGGCACUAAGUAAACCACACCUACAUAUGCAAACUAAGUGUUAUUUUUGACCUCAAAUUGCAUAUAAAUCAAAUACUAGCACAUAUAUAUAUUUCCUCCCAAAUUACUAAACUCACAAAUUAAUAACUAUAUAAAGAAUUGCAAGAGCUAAUCUAGCAGUGAGAGAUGAAAGGACAAAGUUGCUAACCUUUGUGAUCACUUGAAUGGAUGGGGGCCUUCAAAUCUUGACAAAUUUUGGGCAAAAUGUGUGAUGAGCUCGAGGGGAAGAGGAAGAACAGACAGGAGAGGAGAGGGUAAAGGGGGAAGAACAGAGCGAGCUGGACAAAGGGUUUAUAUGCAGGAGGACCUAUAGUACCGGUUCGUGGCAUGGACCGGUACUAAAGGUGCUGGAGGGGGCCCAGACUGACAACAUCCUGCCACCACCCUCAUUAGUACCGGUUCGUGGCACGAACCGGUGCUAAAGGUUAGCCACGAACCGGUACUAAUGAGAGCGGCCCGGCUAGCCGUUGGAACCGGCACUAAUGUAUACAUUUGUGCCGGCUCUAAUACAAACCGACACUAAUGUGCUUCACGUUUGACCCUUUUUCUACUAGUGUGAGUAUGGCUUUAUAGAAUGCUUCAUGUGCUUCACUUAUAUCAUUUGAAGUUUGGAUUACCUGUUUUUCUUCACAUAGAAAACCGCCAUUUAUAGAAUGCUCUUUUGCUUCACUUAUAUUUGUUAGAGCGUGGGCAUAUCUUUUGUAGAAAGAAUUGAACUCUUUUGCUUCACUUAUAUCUAUUUAGAGAGAUGACAGGAAUUGGUCAUUCACAUGGUUAGUCAUAAAAUCCUACAUAAACUUGUAGAUCACUGAAUAUGAUAUGUUUGAUUCCUUGCAAUAGUUUUGCGAUAUAAAGAUGGUGAUAUUAGAGUUAUGCUAGUGGGUGGUUGUGGAUUGUAGAGACACUUGUGUUGAGGUUUGCAAGUCCCGUAGCAUGCACGUAUGGUAACCGUUGUGUGACAAAUUUGAAGCAUGGGGUGUUUCUUUGAUUGUCUUCCUUAUGAGUGGCGGUCGGGGACGAGCGAUGGUCUUUUCCUACCAAUCUAUCCCCCUAGGGGCAUGCGUAGUAGUACUUUGCUUCCAGGGCGAAUAAACUUUUGCAAUAAGUAUAUGAGUUCUUUAUGACUAAUGUGACUCCAUGGAUUAUACGCACUCUCACCCUUCCAUCAUUGCUAGCCUCUUCGGUACCGUACAUUGCCCUUUCUCACCUCGAGAGUUGGUGCAAACUUUGCCGGUGCAUCCAAACCCCGUGAUACGAUACAUUGUAUCACACAUAAGCCUCAUUAUAUCUUCCUCAAAACAGCCACCAUGCCUACCUAUCAUGGCAUUUCCAUAGCCAUUCCGAGAUAUAUUGCCAUGCAACUUCCAUCAUCAUCAUAUUCAUGACUUGAGCAUUCAUUGUCAUAUUGCUUUGCAUGAUGGUAAGAUAGCUAGCAUGAUGUUUUCAUGGAUUGUCCGUUUUUUUGAUGUCAUUGCUACGCUAGAUCAUUGCACAUCCCGGUACACCGCCGGAAGCAUUCAUAUAGAGUCAUAUCUUUGUUCCAGUAUCGAGUUGUAAUAUCGAGUUGUAAGUAAAUAAAAGUGUGAUGAUCAUCAUUAGAACAUUGCCCCACAAAAAAAAGCGAAAGGCCAAAGAAGCCUAAAUAAAAAAGGGGGCCAAAGAAGCUCACCAAAAAAAGAAAGAAAAGGGACAAUGUUACUAUCUCUUUUUCCACACUUGUGCUUCAAAGUAGCACCAUGUUCUUCAUGUAGUGAGUCUCAUAUCUUGUGCUUCAAAGUAGAACCAUGUUCUUCAUAUAGAUUGUCUCCUAUGUUGUCACUUUCAUAUACUAGUGGGAAUUUUCAUUAUAGAACUUGGCUUUUAUAUUCCAACGAUGGGCUUCCUCAAAUGCCCUAGGUCUUCAUGAGCAAGCAAGUUGGAUGCACACCCACUUAGUUUCUUUUGUUGAGCUUUCAUACACUUAUAGCUCUUAGUGCAUCCGUUGCAUGGCAAUCCCUACUCCUCGCAUUGACAUCAAUUGAUGGGCAUCUCCAUAGCCCGUUGAUUAACCGCGUCGAUGUGAGACUUUCUCCUUUUUGUCUUCUCCACAUAACCUCCAUCAUUAUAUUCUAUUCCACCUAUAGUGCUAUAUCCAUGGCUUGCGCUCAUGUAUUGCGUGAGGGUUGAAAAAGCUGAAGCGCGUUAAAAAGUAUGAACCAAUUGCUCGGCUUGUCAUCGGGGUGGUGCAUGAUGGGGGCAUUUUGUGUGACGAAAAUGAAGCAUGGCCAAACUGUAUGAUUUUGUAGGGAUAAACUUGUUUUGGCCUUGUUGUUUUGAAAAGACAUGAUUUCUUUAUUGGUACGCUCAAAGUAUUAUUGUUUUUAUGUCAAAUGAUAGACUAUUGCUUUGAAUCACUCGUGUCUUAAUAUUCAUGCCAUGAUUAGACAUAUGAUCAAGAUUAUGCUAGGUAGCAUUCCAAAAAUUAUUCUUUUUUAUCAUUUACCUACUCGAGGAUGAGCAGGAAUUAAGCUUGGGGAUGCUGAUACAUCUCUGUCGUAUCUAUAAUUUUUGAUUGUUCCAUGCCAAUAUUAUUCACUUUUAUAUACUUUUGGCAAUUUUUUAUACUAUUUUUUGGGACUAACAUAUUGAUCCAGUGCCCAGUGCCAGUUCCUGUCUGUUGCAUGUUUUUUGUUUCGCAGAAACCCAAUAUCAAACGGAGUCCAAACGGGAUAAAAACGGACGGAGAUUUUUUUUGGAAUAUUUAUGAUUUUUGGGAAGUAAAAUCAACGCUAGACGGUGUCCGAGGUGGUCACGAGGUAGGGGGGCGCGCCCUACCCCCCCAGGCGCGCCCCUAACCCUUGUGGUCCACCCGUAAGGCGGUUGAUGCCCUUCUUUUGGCGCAAGAAAGAUAAUUUUAUGAGAAAGAUCUGGGCGAAAGAUUCAUCCCAAUCGGAGUUACAGAUCUCCAGAUAUAAAGGAAACGGUGAAGGGGUAGAAUCAGAGAACGCAGAAACAGAGAGAUAGAUCCAAUCUUGGAGGGGCUCUCGCCCCUCCCAAGCCAUGGGAGCCAAGGACCAGAGGGGAAACCCUUCUCCCAUCUAGGGAGAAGGUCAAGGAAGAAGAAGAAGAAGGGGGGCUCUCUCUCCCUUGCUUCCGGUGGCGCUGGAGCGCCGCCGGGGGCCAUCGUCAUCACCGCGAUCUUCAUCAACACCUCCAUCAUCUUCACCAACAUCUCCAUCACCUUCCCCAUUCUAUCUACAGCGGUCCACUCUCCCGCAACUCGCUGUACCCUCUACUUGAACAUGGUGCUUUAUGCUUCAUAUUAUUUUUCAAUGAUGUGUUGCCAUCCUAUGAUGUCUGAGUAGAUUUUCAUUGUCCUAUCGGUGAUUGAUGAUUGCUAUGAUUGGUUUGAGUUGCAUGUUUUAUUAUUGGUGUCGUCCUAGUGUGCCCUCCGUGUCGCGCAAGCGUGAGGAAUUCCCGUUGUAGGGUUUGCAAUAUGUUUAUGAUUUGCUUAUGGUGUGUGGCGUGAGUAACAGAAGCACGGACCCGAGUAAGUAGGUUGUUUGCGUAUGGAAUAAAAGGGAACUUGAUACUUUAAUGGUAUGGUUGGGUUUUACCUUAAUGAAUCUUUAGUAGUUGCAGAUGCUUGCUAGAGUUCCAAUCAUAAGUGCAUAGAAUUCCAAGUAAAGGAUGAUAUGUUAGCUUAUGCCUCUCCCUCAAAUAUAAUUGCAAUAGUGAUUACCGGUCUAGUAACAUAGUCAAUUGCUUAGGGACAAUUCCACAACUCCUACCACCACUUUUCCACACUCGCUAUAUUUACUUUAGUUGUGUCUUUAUCUAAACAGCCCCUAGUUUAUAUUUACAUGUUCUUUACUUUCUUGCCAGCUUAUUCAACAACACCUACAAAGUACUUCUAGUUUCAUACUUGUUCUAGGUAAAGCGAACGUCAAGCGUGUGUAGAGUCGUAUCAGUGGCCAAUAGGACUUGAGAGAGUAUUUGUUCUACCUUUAGCUCCUCGUUGGGUUCGACACUCUUACUUAUCGAAAGAGGCUACAACUAUCCCCUAUACUUGUGGGUUAUCAAACGCUGUGCUCCGGCCUAGCCGGCGGUGCAGCCGGUGCAGCAGGGCGACGUGGCCCGAGCCUAGGAGGCGUCAUUCCUCUGGGCUGGCCCGGCGCCGGAGCUCGUUGACCUCACCGGCCUUGGGUCGGACGACGAGUACGUCUAGGGCAACGCGCGGUGGCUCGGACUCUUUUUAAUGUUUAUUUAAUUUUUUAAUGUUUAUGUGGACUUUGGCCGGUGGUUGAUCAGUUUUAAUAUUUAAUUAUGUUAAUUUUGAACGUGAUUGUUCUUUCUUUAAAGUUCGCGUUUAAAAAAUAUGGGUCAUAUGCCAGCGUUGGAUGCACGCGAUGAUCCAACUGAAGAAACGGACAUGGGAGUCCAUACGGUUGACCCAAACAGACAAAAAGCAAACAAACUGGCGUCCAUUUGAGUCGGUGAGUUGGAGUCGCUCUAAAAUAGAUAACACAUACUCUUCCUGCUGCAUGCUAUCUUGCUCUCAGAUCAGAGAUAGACAUGUGCACGGAGAGAUUAAAAAUCGUUCGAAACAACGUUUCACUCAUCUGCGAUUUGGCCUUCUCUGUAGCAGCAUGGUGAUUGGAGUCUUCGAAGACUUGGCAGAGGGAGAAAGAUUUGUCCGUUGGCGUGGUCACAUCCCUGGAUACCGUGUGAACUAGCUGUUUUUUCCUUCGGAAAGGAGUGAACUAGCUGUUUACGUCAAUGGUAUUACCACGAGAAGGUUGUGACAAAUAAUUGCGUGUCAAUCAUAUCCACGUAAAACUAUGUUUAUCAUAGAUUAUCACAGAUUUGUUAAGGCUCGCUAAGCCUUUAACGAUUUAAAGUUAAACAAAAAUAUGAAAUAAAUAGUGGAUCGUCACUCUAAUAUAAUAAGAUGAUCCACCGAAGGGAUUGUGACAUUUAUGUGCUUUCACAAAAAGAAACACAAUCAUUUCAGCUCACUGCGAGAUAAAUAUAUACUGAACUAUUUAUUUUUUAAGACACAUGCAAUCAUAGUUUUUUAAUCACUCUAUUGGAUCAUGUUAUAUUAUAGAUGUGUUGUUUUAGUAUAUUUUUAAAAACUUUUGGAAACUUUUACACCGUCAAAACCUUUAACUAGUUAAUGUUAUAUAUGUAGUUGUGAACUGUUAUUCGGUUUAGUGUAUUGCUGUAUUAUUCUUUUAUACACAACUGGAAUGUAAAGAGGGGCUAUAGAUAAAAUGCAAAAAUAUGAUAGUAUUUCGUUGCAUACUUUCAUUGAAGCAUCUACAAGAUUAGGUGAGGACGUGAUUGCAUGGGGGCCGGGCCGGGGAAGCUCGGCGUCUUCACGGUCAAAUCAGAAUAUAUGCUGGCUUUUGAAGCAGCUCACAGAAAUACCGCAGAGGCGUCUAGCACUUCGCCAGAUGGAAGUAGAAAAUGCUGGAAAUAUAUAUGGAGAUGNNNNNNNNNNNNNNNNNNNNNNNNNNNNNNNNNNNNNNNNNNNNNNNNNNNNNNNNNNNNNNNNNNNNNNNNNNNNNNNNNNNNNNNNNNNNNNNNNNNNNNNNNNNNNNNNNNNNNNNNNNNNNNNNNNNNNNNNNNNNNNNNNNNNNNNNNNNNNNNNNNNNNNNNNNNNNNNNNNNNNNNNNNNNNNNNNNNNNNNNNNNNNNNNNNNNNNNNNNNNNNNNNNNNNNNNNNNNNNNNNNNNNNNNNNNNNNNNNNNNNNNNNNNNNNNNNNNNNNNNNNNNNNNNNNNNNNNNNNNNNNNNAUUGACUCUUUGCCGACAUGGAGGAAUAAACACAAGAUUGAACUGGAGCUUUCAAGUAGAUGUCCAGUUUGUGGUAUGGACGAGGAGGACAAUCUUGGUGGUGGUGGCCUUCUUCUUCGUCGGAGUUGGUCGGCCGGCUGGUUGUGCUCGCAUGGUCAUGCACUGACCGGCGGCUUGGCCGGUCGACGGCGGCGGAACUUGGCCGGUGGCGGCGGCAAAGUUCCGCCUCGAUCCCGGGGCGGCGGCCUUGGAGGGUGGCGGCCGGUGAAGCUCGGGCUUCCCGCGGCGGCAUGGCGUGGUGCAGUCCCUGUCCAAGGCGGAUCUGUGACGGCGAUCUGCUAUGGAUUGGUUCGGAUCAGAGACGGUGACGAGCGCGCGGGAUCCUUCUCGUCGGCUCUCACGGCUUGGCGAGGCGGGGUGGGAGCCCUCCUCCUAGGCUCCAGUGGUGGCACACUCAGGCAAUGGCCGGUGCGCCAGGGAUCCCACGGUGGCACUGUUGCUACGGUUGGUCGCCGGAUCUUGGCGGCUGGAUCUGGGGCUUUGAAGGCGGUCGAGACGGUGCACAGGUUGUUGGUUGGAUUUCUUGGGAUGGAUCCGGGUGAAAACCUGAUCUUCGGCCGAUGGCCGGAGCCGGUGAUGACAAUGCCCUUAUCAUCGUUUCCUUCAUGAAGGCAUCAUCGAGGUGAAGCUCCCAACUCCACUUAAUACCUUCGGGGGAAACCCUAGAUCAGUUGAUCGGAUGUUGGCGGCAAUCAUGUGUCGUAACCCCCUUGGGGGCGGCAUUCUUGGAGGUGCACUCGGCUUCACGGGACUAGCGGAUGGCUUCUUUGGUGGAGCGGUGCUUCAUCCAUACAUUGAUGGCGACGGAUCUGGACGGCGUGGCGCAGUGCAGAUUCGGAGUUCGAUGUGGGAGGAUGGACUCGUGCAGAAGGACGAUGCUGUCUGGCGUCGUGGCGGCGUCGAUGGCAGAGAGACCUGGCACGGUAGAUGCAAUAGUACAACUCUGAAGAUGGACUUGUGGCAGGUGGCUGUGGUGGCCCCAUACCCGGUAGGCGUCCUGGUUGAGGAGUGUGUCGGACUGGUAGGUGCCCCAUACCAGGCAGGCGUCCUGGUUGGGACCUCAGGUCUUAGAUGUUUGGGUUUGGCUGCGAUGUCUGUUUGGUAUUAGGCCCAGACUAUCAGCGCCUCUUCAUCAAUUGGAUAGGUGUAGCGACAGUUGUUGCUUAGACGGUGGCUUCAGUCUUACUGUUGUAUGACUUUGUAAGGUCUUGUGUGAAUAAUUAAUAAAGUGGCCGUAUGCAUCACUCGGAUGCAGAGGCCCGGGGUCAUCCUCCUUUUCUAAAAAAAACUCAGGAGCCAUAAUAUUCUCAUCAUGCAGGGCCUUGUUCUCGUGUAGAGACGCUCUGGAGGCGGAGUUAUGUGCAUCUAUGGAAGGCUUAUCUUUCGCAAUUCAACGCUCCAAUCUUCCAAUUGCCAUUGAGAUGGACUCGACUACAGCCGUGGAUUUUAUUCCAUGUGGUGAGGUGAAUCGCUCAGUUUAUGCUUCUUUGGUUAGUGAAAUUAAAUUCUUGUUGAGUCUUAGUCAGAAUUGUAUUACUCAUGUGCCUUGUUGUGAAAAUAAAGCGAGUGAUAGACUAGCUAGUUUUGCUAGAGUAGAAGGUCGUACUAUGACUUGGGUCGGUUCAAGCCCGGAGGAUGUUUUGAAGUUAGUCCUUGAUGAUUGUAAGGACUUGGUGAAUGAGUAAUACAACUAUUAUUCCUGCAAAAAAAAGUGUAUUAGGCUAUUGGUAAAGACUUCUGUAUGUUAGGUUCCAACUUCUGUUGUAUGAAACCACAAAUUUUUAUUUUUGUAACUUGCUUGCUUUUUCAUUUUAAUUAAGGUAUAUCUCAGGUUUUGCUUUUUCUUUAGGAAUGUUAUCUGGCGAACAUUUCCAGGAAGGAGGAUGAUAAACAAAUGCAUUUUCCUAGCAGUUUUAGUUGCAGCGUGAGAUCAAACAGUGACAAUGUUUAGAAUAAAAAUGUGUCUCUGAAGAAACGGUGAUGCUGUAUAUUUCAAAGAAAGUGUCAUUCGAAUAUGAACAAACUACUAGAAAAAACGUACAUAAGUGUCAUCCCUUUCAGCGAACGUUCAUCAGCUAUUGCGGUCCAUUUCUUUUUCACGGGAAGGAUCUAUCUCCAGUUGACUCCAGUUGACCGUAAGUCUCCGCUACGUCAUUUCCGUGUGGGUACGAGAUUCCUUUUUCUGGAGGAUGCUACAGAGACUUGCAGUUGUAGGCUAUCGUGCUCUCACAUCAGAGAUAGACAUGCACCGACAGAUUCAUACACGCCUUAGCUCUGUAGCAUCGGAGUCGUCGGAGACUUGGCUGAUAGCACACACGGAGGGCGAGAGAUUCGUCCGCUCUUACAGAUGAUCAGAUUCAUGUCUUUGGUGGAUCUUAGUGGUCGCGUUCUCCGGUGGAGCGAUUCUGUCGGGGAAACUUCCCUCCGGGAUGGUGAAAUCAAAGCCAUCAGCAUCAUUAACGAUCCUAUCAUCGUAGGAGCACCAAUCUUCAGCAACAUCUUCAUCUGCACCAUCUCCUCUCAAACCCUAAUUCAUCUCUUGUAUUCGAUCUUUGUCCCAAAACCUCAGAUUGGUACUCGUGGAUUGCUAGUAGUGUUGAUUACAUCUUGUAGUUGAUGCUAGUUGGUUUAUGUGGUGGAAGAUUAAAUAUUCAUAUACUCAAGCAUAUUCAGUACACAUCUAAUCUUGAACAUGAAAGUGAUUUGUGAGUAGUUAAUUUUGUUUUUGAGGACAUGGGAGAAGUCUUGUUAUAAUUAAUCAUGUGAAGUUGGUAUUCAUUCGAUAUUUUGAUGAUAUGUAUGUUGUUCUUUCUUUAGUGGUGUCAUGUGAAUGUCGACUACAUGACAUUUCACCAUACUUGGGCCAAGGGGAAGCCAUUAGGGAGUAAUAAGUAGAAGAUGGAUUGCGAGAGUGACAAAAGCUUAAACCCUCCUUUAUGCGUUAUUCCAUAAGGGGUUGAUUUGGAUCCAUAUGUUUCAUACUAUGGCUAGAUUUAUCUUAAUUCUUCUUUCAUAGUUGCGGAUGCUUGCGAGAGGUGGUAAUCAUAAGAGGGUUGCUUGUUCAAGUAUGAACAACAUCUAGCACCGAUCCACCCACAUAUCACCCGCAUGCCGCCAGUUGCUCACAUUCAUGCCAUUUGUAGAGCGUUCGCUCCGUAUUGACGCCGGCCUAGAGUGGACGUGACCUUUCAGUGGCUCCGCCAUUGAAGCAGCGCGUCUGCUGAGGGUGCCGCCCACGACCCGAUCCCGGUGUCCGCGCAUGUUCAAUGUCGGAGAUGCAUUACUAGACGGGGAUGGGACAGAUAUCUACCUUUCCCGUUCAAUGCCAUGUCCGUUGGUAUGCCGCCAUUAAGUAGGCUCGCCGUUCGAGUAACCCACUCCGGCGCCACGCAUUAACGCAUUCGGACGCCUGGCCUCACCGGAAUCCGCUAGUUAAAGGUGGCCACACCGGACUAACUCCACGCAACAACACUAGCCGCUCGACAUCCUCCUCCCAUGCGCCACAUCUGCCGUGACUACAGGCGGCAACGCUUUGUGAGAGAGGGUUUCGAUGGAGACGAAGCUCGACGUGGCCGCCCUUGCGGGCGCCUGGCAGAGCUGCCAUGCCAAGGGCGGCAUGCCGGCCAGCUCGCCCGAGGUCUCCAACAACGAGGAUGACCACACAGUGGAGACGGGCUCCGACGACAUUGCACCGGAGCCCACGCCUGUGCAUGCCAUCUUCACUAUGGAGUAGGCGCAAGCGCACUUCAACGUCGCGAUGGCGGAGGAACAGCCUGCACCGACAACUAUAUGCCGGUGUUCCAGUAGGCGCAGCAGGAAUAACAGUACAACAUAUUCUUCCUGGAACAGAAUCGGCAGGCAGAGGGCCAAAUUGGUAGCGAGUGCGCAAGCCAGGAGGCCAUGGCGGCCAUGGCCACAGGGAGCCCCAACUUCUUCGCGGAGCAGCAUGCAAUCUACGAUGACGCCCGCGCUCAAGCCCUCGGUUGCCAGGAAGCGGCCACAGCGGAGGCGCAGCUGCAUGCGAUCGUGGAUGAGAACAACACCAGCUACGCGUCCUACGCGCCGCCGACGAACUUUUGGGCGGCCCGGUGGGACGAGGACAGCGUCGGCACCACCAUAUACAUAGUGUGGACCUCACGUCCACUGGUGACGGACAAAAUGCGGAUUCCUUCGAGGAUGAGUAGGGCAUGCGAGGCAGUAGGGCCUUGUGUCCCAUGUGGGCCGGUUUGUCUUUCAUGUUCUACUCUUCCUUGCCGGAGACCGCAGCUUUAUUUCAUCAGUCUUAUCGCUAGUGCUCAUGAAGACGGCGGAUGGAGGUGUCUCAGCAAGGGACAAAAAAGUGCUGAGAUGCUAGCUGCCGCUGUAGCUAAAUGUUCGAAAUGUAAUGAAAAUAUGCCGUGUUUGUAUGAAUGUCGUCUGGUUUAUAUGAAAUCAUUCGUGUUUACACAAAUUUUGUCUAGUUAGUUCAAAAAGUUGUUGAAAUGUAUGCGGGCAGUGUUGGAUAGCGGCUUCCGGCAUCAGUGUCCGCGGGCAGAUGCCUGAGCAAAUUUGCGGGUUAGUGUUAGAGAUGCUCUAAUAUCAUGCUUGCUUUUCCAUUUUAAUUAAUGUAUAUCAUUUCCUUUUCUUUUUUUCUGGGAAAGUAUGUGCAGUUGACCGUAAGUCUCCGCUACCUCAUUUUCGUGUGGAUGCGAGUUUCCUGUUUAGUAUGGAAGAAGCUAAAAUAGAGAGUUUACCCUUGCAGUUGCAUGCUAUCAUGCUCUCACAUCAGAGAUAGACAUGCAUCGAGAGAUUCAUACGGCUUCUCCACAGCAGCGUAGUGAGCGGAGUCGUCGGAGACUUGGCCGAUUGCACAGGCAGAGGGCGAAAGAUUCGUCCGUCUGCGUGGCCACGUCCUCUUAUACCGUGUGAACUUACAGAUGAUCAGACUCAUCUCUUUGGUGGAUCUUAGAGGUCGCGUUCUAAGAUGUCGUUGUGCCUCUCGUUCGCGCGGAAUUAAUCAAAGCCAAGGAGAGGGUUACAUCAACGGUAUUGCCUUGAGACGGUUGUGACAACCGUCGAGGCUCUGCAGGGAUAUUCUCCGUUUAGUUAGUUCACGCGCAGAACGUCGGGGUAGCUUCCCAGAAGACAUGGUGGAUUUUGCAAGUCGACUUCGCUGAUGCGGAGUGCCAACGACCAGAUCCACGCCGCGAUAGGGGCGGCCCGUAGAUUGUUGUGUCUAGGGUGGAAAGAUAUCCCAUCAAUCUGCUAGAGUCAUUCUGGCCUGACGUGAAGUACCGGCUAGUUGUGCCAUUAAAAUAGUGAUUUAAACAUCACUUAAUGUAGAGAGUGAAAACUCUUGUCCUGACUUCAUUUGACCGGGCUCAGCAUGGACACACUUAUGUCCUUGUUAGAAGUGUUGUCUUUUGCUAAUACAUGAGUCUUCAUCGGUGGGUGUCGGCAAUGAGGAUGAUAAUCCUUGUCUAGGAUGUCCAAAUUUAGCGACAGGGUGUGAGGGCAUUUAUCCCUUCUGGAAGACGUUAUUGCGGAAGAAGUUGUCUUAAUUAAUCGCCGAUGUGCAUAUUUUAUACUAUAUUUGUUAGAGCAUUUGGCCUCGUUGCCACCCAACUAGUUCAAUAAAAUGAAUAUGACCACGUUGAUGUAGAGGCCAGGAGUCUCAAUCUCGUUUUCGAAACUAAGAAGUUGCAUUUGUUAGAAUUAAAUUAAAUAAGGAAAUCUUAGUGGACUUGGGUGUGAGAGUAAGUGGUUGGAAAUCAAGUGGAUAUUGUGGAACUUUUUCCACAAUAAAGUGUUAUUUAGCAAGGAUUCUGCUAUCCUGAAAUGUCAUUUUGCUUAGCGGAAAAUACCCUAACACACCUAGUUGUAGAUGGACCUGAUUAAAAAGUUUUCGUGUUUUUAGCAAUUUAGAAAAAAAAAGUCAAAAUCUACAAAACUUUUUUCGAACAAACUUGACCUGCUGGUGUACUCAUAUAAAAUUUCGACGAAGAAAAACUCCCUAAAAGAUCUGAGCGAAAGAAACAAAAUUUUCAAGAAUUAUAUAGUGAAUAGUAACUCUAUUAUAGUGGUGAUUUUGUUUUUUUUUUCACGGACAAUACCACAAAAGUCAUUUCUUUGCAAUUUUUGUUACGCGGGUGUAACGCUUGAGCAUGUCCGUUGUCAAAACACUUCUUGAUUUUUGGACCAUUUUUGCACUUAUACUUAAAAAAAAGGCUGCACCUACCCGCAGGUUCCAUUCGUUCCCCUCCUUUGGUUAGCUCGCUUGUUUACAUGGAACCAAGAGUAACAUGCACAUGGGCUGUUGCACGAUGGCGUCAUUCUAGUUUUGCAGGGGUGAAAUGAAAACUAGAAUGGUCUCAUGCGCAAAAGAAGAACAAACUAGAAUGGUCUAUUCGGACUUUCCCCAAUUUUCCAAAGUUCACUCUCCUCCUCAACGAGGUUGCUACAAGAGUGACACAUCCCCACAAGCACUGGUUUAGGGUCAUAUGGUUUCUAAAUGAAAAAGUAAUGUCGCCGUACUACUGUUUGGGGAGUUGAUAAGUUAAUUCAUGUGGAUAUCUACUUGCCGGACUACCUAAACCGGAGGCGGUUAUAGUGCCCUCCCAAAGCUUCGUAAAAAAAUAUCACAAGAAAUAGUAGAGGAUCAAACUCUAUCUCUAAAUUAAAAUAGGUGUUUUACUACCAAUCACUAGCUUUACUUUAGGCACAACACUCAUACUGGAGAAAAUGCCUUGAGCCAAGGUCGGAGCACCAAGCACUAAAGUAUGUGCCCCGUGAACUAGUGAUUGCUUCUCCACGAAGUUCAUACCAAGCGCUACGACGCUGAAGUGUGUAGCCGAUGCCAUUUUCCCAGGAAAAGCUUGAAUGACCUUCAACAAAAGGGUACAUGUACUCAAAACCGCGAUUCAUGGCCAUCAAGCCUAAUGACCCAAAAAUCUAGAAGACCAUACGUUCAUACAAGCCCAACCCAAAUAUCGCUAGAGGAACGUCCUGAAGCCCAACUCCGGGUCAUCUACUAGGGAUGGCAUAGCCUUCAUUGGAUAGAGAUGUUUUUUCAAAAUUAUGCUUUCACCCUACUUUAUAAAUAAAGCAUUUAUCUAUGUUCAUACAAAAAGUCAUCCAAGUAUGGACAAAGGAACUAAUAAGCAUGUUAGGGAAACAACACAAACAUGCAAAAAAAAAUACAAGACACCUCAGGGGAGAGGUGUCAACAUCUAGGGACUGUGGAGAGCUGAUGACUGGCCAACUGCAGCCAACAUGCCACCCAUUUGGCCAUGUCCUACCGCCUAUAGAGAGGACACCACUGAGCAUACAAGGCAACAUUAUAAACAUGCAGUCAGUAGAACAUUGCAACAAGACCUUCCCAAUAACCAUACUAUUAUGAGUUGUCCAUAAGUUCGAGGUCAUCGCCAUGAGCACAGACCUUAAGAGGUGUCCUUUCUUUCUUUUUCUUUUCUUUUUGACGGAAACACUCUAAGGGAGGCCCCUACAACAUAACUGGUGCGAUAAACCUAAAUUGUAAGUACCAUACCUUAAACCCAGGUGGAUGGAAAGACAUCAACCUCUUUUCACCACUAUGAUAUGCCCUUAGUCUACAGACGUCUUCUUCUUCCGCAAAAGAGAAUGUUGUCGAAACUGUGAACAAAUUAACUAAACACUUCAGCACUCCAUCAUCUUCUGUUGUAUCCAAUAUUUAGAGAAUCAUGCAUCUCACUGGUGAGAGCACAACUUUGUGCGUGACAUUUGCACUGGUCUACAAUUUCCAUGAUAAAAAAGUGUUUGGCAAAGUCAAGAAGACCUACGCUAUUCUAAAACAUCAUUUUCACUGUUUCACUUGUUUAUAUGGGGUCAUAGCCACAAUCACGUGGAUACACCAUCUUCAUGUGUUUUUUAUAUGUUUUCCUUGAGGGUCUAAGCGAUACAAAAAAGCCAAAGCCACAACCGGCUGGCAUAAAAAUAUAGAAGCACUAUAUGCCUAUCCUAUUACAUGACCGCCAUUCAAACCUUCCGUGCUACCAUCUCCCAUCGGGUAGACGUAGUAACCAAACGCUCCCUGGCCUCCAUCGGAGUGAGUAGCGACCACAUACGGAUCAACGCAGUGGCCCUGAAGAUAACCUGCAAAAAAGUGCAUGUUUGUUGUUCUGUUAAAAACCAGAUCAUUUCUGCAGUUCCAGACUGCCCAUAAUAAAGCACAAACACCUACACGAACGUGCCUCGCUGUAUCUGAAGCUAUCCCAUCGAGCCACGUCCCAAAUAACGUGUUGAUAGAACACGGCGGAUUAAUAUUAAAAGCAAUAUGAACCGACCGCCACAAAAUCUUGGCCAGCGGACAAUCAAGAAAGAGGUGUUUGAUAGAUUCGUUAUGGUCGCAAAAACUGCAUCUUGCAGAACCAAUCUAGUUACGUUUUGCCAAAUUAUCCUUAGUCAAAAUAACUUGUUUAUGCACAAACCACAUAAACACUUUGAUUCUCAAAGUGACCUUAACUUUCCAGACAUGCUUCGAUGAAGGAAUCACGCUAGAGUUAAUAACAUCCAGAUACAUGGAUUUGACCGAGAACACUCCGUUCUUAGUGAGUUUCCAACACAGCUGAUCUGGCUAUUGAGACAACUGGACAUCCAUCUAUCUUCUCACAAGAUGGAGCCAGGCCUCCCAACGAUUUCCCACUAGCAUCCUCCGAAAAUGAAUAUUGAGUGGGGUGGAGUGGAGAACUGUUGCAACGUAAGCAUCUCUACGUUGAACAAUGUUAUACAAAGAAGGAUAUUGAAGUGCAAGGGGAGUCUCCCCAAGCCACGUAUCCUCCCAGAACCUCGUAGCAGCUCCAUUUCCGACUAAGAACCUUGUCCUAUUGAAAAAGAGUGGUUUAACUCUCAUCAAGCCUUCCGAAAAUGGUGAGUCAGUCGGCCUCACUGUCACCUGGUGUUGGGGAACGUAGUAAUUUCAAAAAAAUUCCUACGCACACGCAAGAUCAUGGUGAUGCAUAGCAACGAGAGGGGAGAGUGUUGUCUACGUACCCUCGUAGACCGAAGCGGAAGCGUUGACGCAACAUAGAGGAAGUAGUCGUACGUCCUCCCGGUUCAACCGAUCCAAGCACCGUUACUCCGGCACCUCCGAGUUCUUGACACACGUACAGCUCGAUGACGCACCCCGAACUCCGAUCCAGCAGAGGCACGGGGAGGAGUUCCGUCAGCACGACGGCGUGGUGACGAUCUUGAUGUUCAACUGUCGCAGGGCUUCGCCUAAGCACCGCUACAAUAUGACUGAGGUGUAAUAUCGUGGAGGGGGGCACCGCACACGGCUAAGGAACGAUCACAAUGAUCAACUUGUGUGUCUAUGGGGUGCCCCCCGCCCCCGUAUAUAAAGGAGGGAGGGAGGAGGGGGCCAGCCUUAAGGGGAGGUGCACCCUAGGAGGGGGAAACCUACUCCAAGUAGGUUUCCCCCCUCUUUUUCCUAAUAGGAGUAGGACAGGGAAGGAAGAGGGGGGAGGAGAGAAGGAAAGGGGGGGCCGGCCCCCCUCCCCAUUCGGAUUGGGCUUGGGGGGGGGGCGCCCCCUCCUUUGCUCCUUCUCCCUCCCUUCCACUAAGGCCCAAUAAGGCCCAUAUACUUACCGGGGGGUUCCGGUAACCUCCCGGAACUCCGGUAUAAUCCCAAUCUCAUCCGGAACCUUUCCGGUGUCCAAAUAUAUCCGUCCAAUAUAUCAAUCUUUAUGUCUCGACCAUUUCGAGACUCCUCGUCAUGUCCGUGAUCACAUCCGGGACCCCGAACAAUCUUCGGUACAUCAAAAUACAUAAACUCAUAAUAUAACUGUCAUCGAAACCUUAAGCGUGCGGACCCUACGGUUCGAGAACAAUGUAGACAUGACCGAGACACAUCUCCGGUCAAUAACCAAUAGCGGGACCUGGAUGCCCAUAUUGGUUCCUACAUAUUCUACGAAGAUCUUUAUCGGUCAAACCGCACAACAACAUACGUUGUUCCCUUUGUCAUCGGCAUGUUACUUGCCCGAGAUUCGAUCGUCGGUAUCCAAUACCUAGUUCAAUCUCGUUACCGGCAAGUCUCUUUACUCGUUCCAUAAUACAUCAUCUCGCAACUAACUCAUUAGUUGAAAUGCUUGCAAGGCUUAAGUGAUGUGCAUUACCGAGAGGGCCCAUAGAUACCUCUCCGACAUUCGGAGUGACAAAUCCUAAUCUCGAAAUACGCCAACUCAACAAGUACCUUCGGAGACACCUGUAGAGCACCUUUAUAAUCACCCAGUUACGUUGUGACGUUUGGUAGCACACAAAGUGUUCCUCCGGUAAACGGGAGUUGCAUAAUCUCAUAGUCAUAGGAACAUGUAUAAGUCAUGAACGAAGCAAUAGCAACAUACUAAAUGAUCGGGUGCUAAGCUAACGGAAUGGGUCAUGUCAAUCAGAUCAUUCAACUAAUGAUGUGACCUUGUUAAUCAAAUAACAACUCCUUGUUCAUGGUUAGGAAACAUAACCAUCUUUGAUUAACAAGCUAGUCAAGUAGAGGCAUACUAGUGACACUCUGUUUUUCUAUAUAUUCACACAUGUAUUAUGUUUCCGGUUAAUACAAUUCUAGCAUGAAUAAUAAACAUUUAUCAUGAUAUAAGGAAAUAAAUAAUAACUUUAUUAUUGCCUCUAGGGCAUAUUUCCUUCAGUCUCCCACUUUCACUAGAGUCAAUAAUCUAGAUUACAUAGUAAUGAUUCUAACACCCAUGGAGUCUUGGUGUUGAUCAUGUUUUGCUCGUGGAAGAGGCUUAGUCAAUGGGUCUGCAACAUUCAGAUUCGUAUGUAUCUUGCAAAUCUCUAUGUCUCCCACCUGGACUAGAUCCCGGAUGGAAUUGAAGCGUCUCUUGAUGUGCUUGGUUCUUUUGUGAAAUCUGGAUUCCUUCGCUAAGGUAAUCGCUCCAGUAUUGUCACAAAAGAUUUUCAUUGGACCCGAUGCACUAGGUAUGACACCUAGAUCAGAUAUGAACUCCUUCGUUCAGACUCCUUCAUUGGCUGCUUCCGAAGCAGCUAUGUAUUCCGCUUCACACGUAGAUCCCGCCACGACGCUUUGCUUUGAACUGCACCAACUGACAGCUCCACCAUUUAAUGUAAACACAUAUCCAGUUUGUGAUUUAGAAUCGUCCGGAUCAGUGUCAAAGCUUGCAUCAACAUAACCAUUUACGAUGAGCUCUUUGUCACCUCCAUAUACGAGAAACAUAUCCUUAGUCCUUUUCAGGUACUUCAGGAUGUUCUUGACCGCUGUCCAGUGAUCCACUCCUGGAUUACUUUGGUACCUCCCUGCUAGACUUAUAGCAAGGCACACAUCAGGUCUGGUACACAGCAUUGCAUACAUGAUAGAGCCUAUGGCUGAAGCAUAGGGAACAUUUUUCCAUUUUCUCUCUAUAUUUUGCAGUGGUCGGGCUUUUAGUCUUACUCAACUUCACACCUUGCAAUACAGGCAAGAACCCUUUCUUUGCUUGAUCCAUUUUGAACUUCUUCAAAACUUUGUCAAGGUCUAUGCUUUGUGAAAGUCCGAUUAAGCGUUUUGAUCUAUCUCUAUAGAUCUUAAUGCCCAAUAUGUAAGCAGCUUCACCGAGGUCUUUCAUUGAAAAACUUUUAUUCAAGUAUCCCUUUAUGCUAUCCAGAAAUUCUAUAUCAUUUCCAAUCAAUAAUAUGUCAUCCACAUAUAAUAUUAGAAAUGCUACAGAGCUCCCACUCACUUUCUUGUAAAUACAGGCUUCUCCAAAAGUCUGUAUAAACCCAAAUGCUUUGAUCACACUAUCAAAACGUUUAUUCCAACUCCGAGAGGCUUGCACCAGUCCAUAAAUGGAUCGCUGGAGCUUGCACACUUUGUUAGCUCCCUUUGGAUCGAUAAAACCUUCUGGUUGCAUCAUAUACAACUCUUCCUCCAGAAAUCCAUUCAGGAAUGCAGUUUUUACAUCCAUUUGCCAAAUUUCAUAAUCAUAAAAUGCGACAAUUGCUAACAUAAUUCGGACAGACUUAAGCAUCGCUACGGGUGAGAAGGUCUCAUCGUAGUCAACCCCUUGAACUUGUCGAAAACCUUUUGCAACAAGUCGAGCUUUGUAGACAGUAACAUUACCGUCAGCGUCAGUCUUCUUCUUGAAGAUCCAUUUAUUCUCAAUUGCUUGCCGACCAUCGGGCAAGUCAACCAAAGUCCAUACUUUGUUCUCAUACAUGGAUCCCAUCUCAGAUUUCAUGGCUUCAAGCCAUUUUGCGGAAUCUGGGCUCACCAUCGCUUCUUCAUAGUUCGUAGGUUCAUCAUGAUCUAGUAGCGCGACUUCCAGAAUAGGAUUACCGUACCACUCUGGUGCGGAUCUUACUCUGUUCGACCUACGAGGUUCUGUAUUAACUUGAUGUGAAGUUCUAUGAUCAUCAUCAUCAACUUCCUCACUAGUUGGUUUUGACGUCACAGAAACCGGUUCCUGUGAUGUAUUAUUUUCCAACAAGGGAGUAGGUACAGUUACCUCAUCAAGUUCUACUUUCCUCCCACUCACUUCUUUCGAGAGAAACUCCUUCUCUAGAAAGGAUCCAUUCUUAGCAACGAAUGUCUUGCCUUCGGAUCUGUGAUAGAAGGUGUACCCAACUGUCUCCUUUGGGUAUCCUAUGAAGACACAUUUCUCCGAUUUGGGUUCGAGCUUAUCAGGUUGAAGCUUUUUCACAUAAGCAUCGCAUCCCCAAACUUUAAGAAACGACAACUUUGGUUUCUUGCCAAACCAUACUUCAUAAGGUGUCGUCUCAACGGAUUUCGACGGUGCCCUAUUUAACGUGAAUGUGGCCGUCUCUAAAGCAUAACCCCAAAACGAUAGCGGUAAAUCUGUAAGAGACAUCAUAGAUCGCACCAUAUCAAGUAAAGUACUAUUACGACGUUCAGACACACCAUUACGGUGUGGUGUUCCAGGUGGCAUGAGUUGCGAAACUAUUCUACAUUGUUUUAAGUGUAGACCAAACUCGUAACUCAAAUAUUCUCCUCCACGAUCAUAUCGUAGAAACUUUAUUUUCUUGUUACGAUGAUUUUCAACUUCACUCUAAAAUUCUUUGAACUUUUCAAAUGUUUUAGACUUAUGCUUCAUUAAUUAGAUAUACCCAUAUCUUCUUAAAUCAUCUGUGAAGGUGAGAAAAUAACAAUAUCCGCCACGAGCCUCAACAUUCAUCGAACCACAUACAUCUGUAUGUAUGAUUUCUAACAAAUCUGUUGUUCUCUCCAUAGUACCGGAGAACGGCGUUUUGGUCAUCUUGCCCAUGAGGCACGGUUCACAAGUACCAAGUGAUUCAUAAUCAAGUGGUUCCAAAAGACCAUCAGUAUGGAGUUUCUUCAUGCGCUUUACACCGAUAUGACCUAAACGGCAGUGCCACAAAUAAGUUGCACUAUCAUUAUCAACUCUGCAUCUUUUGGCUUCAACACUAUGAAUAUGUGUAUCACUACUAUCGAGAUUCAUCAAAAAUAGACCACUCUUCAAGGGUGCAUGACCAUAAAAGAUAUUACUCAUAUAAAUAGAACAACCAUUAUUCUCUAAUUUAAAUGAAUAACCGUCACGCAUCAAACAAGAUCCAGAUAUAAUGUUCAUGUUCAACGCUGGCACCAAAUAACAAUUAUUUAGGUCUAAUACUAAUCCCGAAGGUAGAUGUAGAGGUAGCGUGCCGACCGCGAUCACAUCGACUUUGGAACCAUUUCCCACGCGCAUCGUCACCUCGUCCUUUGCCAGUGUUCUCUUAAUCCGUAGUCCCUGUUUCGAGUUGCAAAUAUUAGCAACAGAACCAGUAUCAAAUACCCAGGUGCUACUGCGAGCUCUAGUAAGGUACACAUCAAUAACAUGUAUAUCACAUAUACCUUUGUUCUCCUUGCCAUCCUUCUUAUCCGCCAAAUACUUGGGGCAGUUCCGCUUCCAGUGACCAGUCUGCUUGCAGUAGAAGCACUCAGUUUCAGGCUUAGGUCCAGACUUGGGUUUCUUCUCUUGAGCAGCAACUUGUUUGCUGUUCUUCUUGAAGUUCCCCUUCUUCUUCCCUUUGCCCUUUUUCUUGAAACUAGUGGUCUUGUUGACCAUCAACACUUGAUGCUCCUUCUUGAUUUCUACCUCCGCAGCAUUUAGCAUUGCGAAUAGCUCGGGAAUCGUCUUAUCCAUCCCAUGCAUAUUAUAGUUCAUCACGAAGCUCUUGUAGCUUGGUGGAAGUGAUUGGAGAAUUCUGUCAAUGAUGCUAUCAUCCGGAAGAGUAACUCCCAGUUGAAUCAAGUGAUUACAAUACCCAGACAUCUUGAGUAUGUGCUCACUGACAGAACUAUUCUCCUCCAUCUUGCAGCUAUAGAACUUAUUGGAGGCUUCGUAUCUCUCAAUCCGGGCAUUCUUCUGGAAUAUUAACUUCAACUCCUGAAACAUCUCAUAUGCUCCAUGACGUUCAAAACGUCGUUGAAGUCCCGGUUCUAAACCGUAAAGCAUGGCACAUUGAACUAUCGAGUAGUCAUCAGCUUUGCUCUGCCAGACGUUCUUAACGUCGUCAGUUGCAUCAGUAGCAGGCCUGGCACCCAGCGGUGCUUCCAGGACGUAAUUUUUCUGUGUAGCAAUGAGGAUAAUCCUCAAGUUAUGGACCCAGUCCGCGUAGUUGCUACCAUCAUCUUUCAACUUAGCUUUCUCAAGGAACGCAUUAAAAUUCAAUGGAACAACAGCACGGGCCAUCUAUCUACAAUCAACAUAGACAAGCAAGAUACUAUCAGGUACUAAGUUCAUGAUAAAUUUAAGUUCAAUUAAUCAUAUUACUUAAGAACUCCCACUUAGACAGACAUCUCUCUAGUCAUCUAAGUGAUCACGUGACCCAAAUCAACUAAACCAUAACCGAUCAUCACGUGAGAUCGAGUAGUUUUCAAUGGUGAACAUCUUAUGUUGAUCAUAUCUACUAUAUGAUUCACGCUCGACCUUUCGGUCUCCGUGUUCCGAGGCCAUAUCUGCAUAUGCUAGGCUCGUCAAGUUUAACCUGAGUAUUCUGCGUGUGCAAAACUGGCUUGCACCCGUUGUAGAUGGACGUAGAGCUUAUCACACCCGAUCAUCACGUGGUGUCUGGGCACGACGAACUUUGGCAACGGUGCAUACUCAGGGAGAACACUUCUUGAUAAUUUUAGUGAGAGAUCAUCUUAAAAUGCUACCGUCAAUCAAAGCAAGAUAAGAUGCAUAAAGGAUAAACAUCACAUGCAAUCAAUAUAAGUGAUAUGAUAUGGCCAUCAUCAUCUUGUGCUUGUGAUCUCCAUCUCCGAAGCACCAUCAUGAUCACCAUCGUCACCGGCGCGACACCUUGAUCUCCAUCGUAGCAUCGUUGUCGUUUACGCCAUCUAUUGCUUCUACGACUAUCACUACCGCUUGGUGAUAAAGUAAAGCAAUUACAGGGCGUUUGCAUUUCAUACAAUAAAGCGACAACCAUAUGGCUCCUGCCAGUUGCCGAUAACUUCGGUUACAAAACAUGAUCAUCUCAUACAAUAAAAUAUAGCAUCAUGUCUUGGCCAUAUCACAUCACAACAUGCCCUGCAAAAACAAGUUAGACGUCCUCUACUUUGUUGUUGCAAGUUUUACGUGGCUGCUACGGGCUUAAGCAAGAACCAAUCUCACCUAUGCAUCAAAACCACAACGAUAGUUUGUCAAGUUGAUGUUGUUUUAACCUUCGCAAGGACCGGGCGUAGCCACACUCGGUUCAACUAAAGUUGGAGAAACUGACACCCGCUAGUCACCUGUGUGCAAAGCACGGCGGUAAAACCAGUCUCGCGUAAGCGUACGCGUAAUGUCGGUCCGGGCCGCUUCAUCCAACAAUACCGCCGAACUAAAGUAUGACAUGCUGGUAAGCAGUAUGACUUAUAUCGCCCACAACUCACUUGUGUUCUACUCGUGCAUAUAAAAUCAAACCAUAAAACCUAGGCUCGGAUGCCACUGUUGGGGAACGUAGUAAUUUCAAAAAAAUUCCUAUGCACACGCAAGAUCAUGGUGAUGCAUAGCAACGAGAGGGGAGAGUGUUGUCUACGUACCCUUGUAGACCGAAGCAGAAGCGUUGACGCAACAUAGAGGAAGUAGUCAUACGUCCUCCCGGUUCAACCGAUCCAAGCACCGUUACUCCGGCACCUCCGAGUUCUUGACACACGUACAGCUCGAUGACGCACCCCGAACUCCGAUCCAGCAGAGGCACGGGGAGGAGUUCCAUCAGCACGACGGCGUGGUGACGAUCUUGAUGUUCAACUGUCGCAGGGCUUCGCCUAAGCACCGCUACAAUAUGACCGAGGUGUAAUAUCAUGGAGGGGGGCACCGCACACGGCUAAGGAACGAUCACAAUGAUCAACUUGUGUGUCUAUGGGGUGCCCCCCGCCCCCGUAUAUAAAGGAGGGAGGGAGGAGGGAGCCGGCCUAAGGGGAGGUGCGCCCUAGGAGGGGGAAACCUACUCCAAGUAGGUUUCCCCCCUCUUUUUCCUAAUAGGAGUAGGAGAGGGAAGGAAGAGGGGGGAGGAGAGNNNNNNNNNNNNNNNNNNNNNNNNNNNNNNNNNNNNNNNNNNNNNNNNNNNNNNNNNNNNNNNNNNNNNNNNNNNNNNNNNNNNNNNNNNNNNNNNNNNNNNNNNNNNNNNNNNNNNNNNNNNNNNNNNNNNNNNNNNNNNNNNNNNNNNNNNNNNNNNNNNNNNNNNNNNNNNNNNNNNNNNNNNNNNNNCUUUGCUCCUUCUCCCUCCCUUCCACUAAGGCCCAAUAAGGCCCAUAUACCUACCGGGGGGUUCCGGUAACCUCCCGGAACUCCGGUAUAAUCCCAAUCUCAUCCGGAACCUUUCCGGUGUCCAAAUAUAUCCGUCCAAUAUAUCAAUCUUUAUGUCUCGACCAUUUCGAGACUCCUCGUCAUGUCCGUGAUCACAUCCAGGACUCCGAACAACCUUCGGUACAUCAAAAUACAUAAACUCAUAAUAUAACUGUCAUCGAAACCUUAAGCGUGCGGACCCUACGGUUCGAGAACAAUGUAGACAUGACCGAGACACGUCUCCGGUCAAUAACCAAUAGCGGGACCUGGAUGCCCAUAUUGGUUCCUACAUAUUCUACGAAGAUCUUUAUCGGUCAAACCGCACAACAACAUACGUUGUUCCCUUUGUCAUCGGUAUGUUACUUGCCCGAGAUUCGAUCGUCGAUAUCCAAUACCUAGUUCAAUCUCGUAACCGGCAAGUCUCUUUACUCGUUCCGUAAUACAUCAUCUCGCAACUAACUCAUUAGUUGAAAUGCUUGCAAGGCUUAAGUGACGUGCAUUACCGAGAGGGCCCAGAGAUACCUCUCCGACAUUUGGAGUGACAAAUCCUAAUCUCGAAAUACGCCAACUCAACAAGUACCUUCGGAGACACCUGUAGAGCACCUUUAUAAUCACCCAGUUACAUUGUGACAUUUGGUAGCACACAAAGUGUUCCUCCGGUAAACGGGAGUUGCAUAAUCUCAUAGUCAUAGGAACAUGUAUAAGUCAUGAAGGAAGCAAUAGCAACAUACUAAACGACCGGGUGCUAAGCUAACGGAAUGGGUCAUGUCAAUCAGAUCAUUCAACUAAUGAUGUGACCUUGUUAAUCAAAUAACAACUCCUUGUUCAUGGUUAGGAAACAUAAACAUCUUUGAUUAACAAGCUAGUCAAGUAGAGGCAUACUAGUGACACUCUGUUUGUCUAUAUAUUCACACAUGUAUUAUGUUUCCGGUUAAUACAAUUCUAGCAUGAAUAAUAAACAUUUAUCAUGAUAUAAGGAAAUAAAUAAUAACUUUAUUAUUGCCUCUAGGGCAUAUUUCCUUCACCUGGGACAAAGUUCUAGAGUGAAGAUACUUAUUUCGCAAGAUCUGAGCCCAAGUGGCCUCCGUCUCAGAAGAAAGCUUAAACAACCAAUUGCUAAGGAGACAUCUGUUCUUGACUUCCAGAUUUUUAAUACCUAGACCCCCUUGGUCCUUCGGCCUACAGAUGAUAUCCCAUUUAGCAAGCCUAUAUUUUCGCUUAAGCUCAUCACUCUGCCAAAAGAAUCGUGAUCGAUAGAAAUCUAGCCUCUUCCUGACUCCAACCGGGACCUCGAAAAAGGAUAGAAGAAACAUAGGCAUACUUGUGAGGACCGAAUUAAUCAAGAUUAAUCGCCCUCCGUAUGACAUGAGCUUACCUUUCCAACAGCUCAGUUUCUUCUCAAAAUGAUCCUCAAUGCACUUCCAUUUUCUGUUGGUCAGCUUACGAUGAUGAAUGGGUAUACCUAAAUAUGUGAACGGUAAAGUCCCCAAUUCACAUCCAAACAAUUAUUAGUAUGCCUCUUGGUCAUCAUUAGCUCUUUCGAAACAGAACAAUUUGCUCUUCUGGAAGUUAAUUUUUAACCUGGUCAAUUGUUCAAAUAAGCAUGACACGAGCUUCAUGUUUCGCGCUUUCGCCAAGUCGUGCUACAUGAAGAUGAUAGUAUCAUCAGCAUACUGAAGGAUGGAUACACCUUCAUCAACUAAGUGCGGAACAAGGCCACCUACCUGCCCCACAUCCUUAGCCUGUCCUAUUAAAAUGGUCAGCAUGUCUACCACUAUGUUGAAUAGGAUCGGUGACAUGGGAUCCCCUUGCCUUAACCCUUUGUGUGUCUGGAAGUAGUGACCUAUGUCAUCAUUCACUUUAAUCCCAACACUCCUUUUUUGCAUAAAGGAUUCUACCUGGUUUCUCCAGGCCUAAUCAAAACCUUUCAUACGCAAAGCCUGUUGAAGAAAGGUCCAUUUGACUUUAUCGUAUGCUUUUUCAAAAUCCACUUUGAAAACAACGUCAUCGAGUUUUUUUGAGUGAAUCUCAUGGAGCGUUUCAUGCAAGACGACAAUCCCUUCUAGGAUAUUUCUAUCUAGCAUAAAAGCAGUUUGGGAAGGUUGCACCAUAGAACGCGCAAUUUGCGUAAGCCUAUUCGUCCCAACCUUGGUGAAAAUUUUGACACUAACAUUAAGAAGAUAAAUAGGUCUGUACUGCUCAAUGCGAACGACCUCUGUCUUCUUAGGAAGUAAAUUUAUUAUUCCAAAAUUCAGCUGAAACAAUUGAAGCUGUCCAGAGAAAAGCUCAUGGAACAUCGGAAGCAAGUCCCCCUUAAUAAAGUGCCAACAUUUUUUAUAAAACUCCGCCGGAAACCCAUCCGGUCUUGGAGCCUUAUUAUUUUUCAUUUGUGCGAUGGCCUCAAACACCUCUUGACACAAAAUUCUCGUCCGGAGGUCCAAACAACUGCUUAUAGUAGUUGGUAAUGUAAACUUUCAGAUUUUCUUGACCUACAAUCGUCCCUUCGUCCUGUUCUAGUUGGAAAAUCCUCUUCUUACGAUGCUUUCCAUUAGCAAUCAUGUGAAAGAAUUGAGUGUUAUCAUCCCCUUGGACGAUUUUGUGAACCUUAGCUCGCAGUGCCCACUUCAAUUCGUCCUCUCGAAGGAGUUCUUUCAGCCUCAACUCAGCCUCCAUCUUAGUUUCCAGCUCGCUGAUACUAAAACAAAAGUUUCGGCUUUUAUUUAUAGGGCUUGAAUAAGUAAAUGGAGCCGUUCCUUUUCAGCCUUAUAUAUCCCAUACGUGUGCUUAGCCCAUCCAUGAAGGAACCUUCGUAGAUGACGAAUCUUACACUGCCAUCUUUCAAUAGGUGACCUUCCUCCCGAGUCUUUAGCCCAUUCUCUAGCUAACAGAUAAAGGAACCCUUCUCUUUCAAACCAUGCAAGUUCAAAAGAGAAUGUGUUCUUGUUACCCACAUGGGUUUGAGCCCCCGAGUCAACUAGUAACGGCGUGUAAUCAGAGAUACCUCGUGACAACGCCUGUACUGUUAAUAGGGGAAAUUUUUAUUCCCAUUCGAUGCUAGCUAAGACACGGUCUAGCUUCUCAAAAGUCAGGAUUGGUAAAGAGUUAGCCCAAGUGAAUUUCCUACCCGACAGCUCUAUCUCUCUAAGAUCCAAGCUCUCGAUGAUGGUAUUGAACAAAAAUGACCAUCUGCCGUCAAAAUUCUCAUUAUUCUUUUCAUCCCGUCUUCGAAUAAUGUUGAAAUCACCCCCCACUAAAAUAGAGAGCUGCUCGUUACCACAAACACGGACAAGAUCGGCCAAAAAGUCUGGUUUGAGUUCUGGUUGCGCGGCACCGUAAACCGCCACCAGAGCCCAAUCAAACCCAUCUGCCUUAGUUUUGACCCGAAACUUUACCGCAAAAUCUCCCAUAACUACACUCUGAACUUCCAAAGAGUCACACUUAACCCCAAGUAAAACCCCACCGGAUCUUCCUCGUGGAGGAAGGCAAUACCUGUCGAAGUCAACACCCCCCGAUAAAGUGCUAAGAAAUUGGGGGGGGGUGAAGUUGUCCCUUCCAGUCUCUGACAGAGCAAUAAAAUCCAAUUGAUGCUCAAGAGAAGCAUCCGCUAGAAACCUUCUUUUAGCCAAGUCUUUAAGGCCUCUGCUAUUCCAGAAAAUGCCUCUCAUAUUUCAUCAUGAAUUUUUUUAGAGGUACGGAUCCUAGCACUUCUACGCAUAGCCGACACUGGGUAAACCUUCUAUUUCCAUGUCCGCUUAGGCUUAACGCGAUCCUCGGGCCGAUCACCACAACCGGGCUCUGCCGAGAUAACCAACGAACCAUCUACAUGGUUAGAGACCUCAGGAGAACCGAAGCCCUCCUCCUCCUUAGUCUCAGGAAGUGAAGGGUUAAGAUCCGCACACAAACCAUCAAGAACCCUGACCCCUAGUGCAUCAAUGUUCGAAUCAUUCAUGGGUUUAACGGCAGCUAUGUUAUGAAUCAUUUCCAACGCCCUCUCCGCUUCUAAAUCAAGAAUGUCAUUGCAUUAUGAACAAUCUCAUCAUUGAUAAAAUGCAAAAUUGAAUUUGAUUUAUUAACAGACAUACCCGUAGAGAUCUCAACGUCACGUAGCUUGGCCGCCCGCUUAGCGUACCUCUGCUGCAUGUCAUCAACGUCCGGCUGCUCCUGCAGCCGACUGCUGAUCCGCCUCCCCUCAGAAACAGGAUCCGAUAUCCCUCUAAAUGUGAUGACCUCCUCGCGCAAAACUCUGCUUGGGGAAGGGCCUCCUGCCCGACCCCCAAUAGUGGUAACCCGGCCUGGGACAUACGGGGCCACACCAAGAGAUGACGACACAUCCCGCGGCAUCACCACGGGAGUCCCGCUGAGAACAGGUGUGGCUGACGUGCCUGAGAUGGGCGAAACCAGCCUGGGUGGGUGAUCCACGGAGCGGGGUGCCUGGUUGGCCACUCCACCUGACCCACCCACCGCGGCAGGUAUCGACCUGGUGGGAAGGGGUGCAGUGGCCUCCUGACCGCACACCCCUUUGAAGACGGCCGGUCUCGUAGGAGAGAGCAAAGCCGCCAAGCUCGCCCUCGGCGCCGACGAAGAUGGCGACGCGGAGUGCCAGGCCACCUACCCGCCACCUCUUGCCGAGUCAUCCGCCGUAGCCUCCACCUCCAAAACAGGAGGUGGAGAUGAGGGAGUGGUAGAGGCCUCCUGCCCCUCGGCUCCCCCCAGCCCAACAAGCUCGGGCAAAAACAGACGCACCACUGAUAACCCACAAGUGUAGGGGAUCGCAACAACGUUUGAGGGUAAAGUAUUCAACCCAAAUUUAUUGAUUCGACACAAGGGGAGCCAAAGAAUAUUCUUGAGUAUUAGCAGUUGAGUUGUCAAUUCAACCACACCUGGAUAACUUAGUAUCUGCAACAAAGUAUUUAGUAGCAAAGUAGUAUGAUAAUAAAGGUAACGGUAACAAAAGUAAUGUUUUUGGGUUUUGUAGUAGUUGUAACAGUAGCAACGAAAAAGUAAAUAAGUGAAGAACAAUAUGUGAAAAGCUCGUAGGCUAUGGAUCAGUGAUGGAUAAUUAUGCCGGAUGCAAUUCCUCAUGUAAUAGCUAUAACAUAGGAUGACAUAGAACUAGCUCCAGUUCAUCAAUGUAAUGUAGGCAUGUAUUCCGUAAAUAGUCAUACGUGCUUAUGGAAAAGAACUUGCAUGAAAUCUUUUGUCCUACCGUCCCGUGGUAGCGGGGUCCUAGUGGAAACUAAGGGAUAUUAAGGCCUCCUUUUAAUAGAGAACCGGAACAAAGCAUUAGCACAUAGUGAAUACAUGAACUCCUCAAACUACGGUCAUCACCGAGAAGUAUCCCGAUUAUUGUCACUUCGGGGUUGUCGGAUCAUAACACAUAAUAGGUGACUAUAGACAUGCAAGAUAGGAUCAAGAACACACAUAUAUUCAUGAAAACAUAAUAGGUCCAGAUCUGAAGUCAUGGCACUCGGGCCUAGUGACAAGCAUUAAGCAUAGCAAAGUCAUAGCAACAUCAAUCUCAGAACAUAGUGGAUACUAGGGAUCAAACCCUAACAAGACUAACUUGAUUACAUGGUAAAUCUCAUCCAACCCAUCACCGUCCAGCAAGCCUACGAUGGAAUUACUCACGCAUGGCGGUGAGCAUCAUGAAAUUGGUGAUGGAGGAUGGUUGAUGAUGACGACGGCGACGAAUCCCCCUCUCCGGAGCCCCGAGCGGACUCCAGAUCAGCCCUCCCGAGAGAGAUUAGGGCUUGGCGGCGGCUCCAUAUCGUAAAACGUGAUGAAACUUUCUCUUUGAUUUUUUUUCUCCCCGAACGUGAAUAUAUGGAGUUGGAGUUAAUGUCGGUGGAGGUCCAGGGGGCCCACAAGACACAGGGGCGCGCCUAGGGGGAGGGGGCGCGCCCCCCACCCUCGUUGACAGGGUGUGGACCCCCUGGUCUUGAUUCUUUCGCCAGUAUUUUUUAUAUUUUCCAAAAAGUGUCUCCGUGGAUUUUCAGGACGUUCCAAGAACUUUUCUUUUCUACACAUAAAACAACAUCAUGGCAGUUCUGCUGAAAACAGCGUCAGUCCGGAUGAGUUUCAUUCAAAUCAUGCAAGUUAGAGUCCAAAACAAGGGAAAAAGUGUUUGGAAAAGUAGAUACGUUGGAGACGUAUCAACUCCCCCAAGCUUAAACCUUUGCUUGUCCUCAAGCAAUUCAGUUGAUAAACUGAAAGUGAUAAAGAAAAACUUUUACAAACUCUGUUUGCUAUUGUUGUUGUAAACAUGCAAAGCCAUCAUUCAGGUUUCAGCAAAUAUUAUGAACUAACCAUACUCACAAUAACACUUAGGUCUCACAAUUACUCAUAUCAAUAGCAUAAUCAGCUAGCAAGCCAUAAUAAUAAAAUUCGGAUGACAACACUUUCUCAAAAUAAUCAUAACAUGAUAUAACAAAAUGGUAGCUCACUAGCCCUUUCUGAGACUACAAAACAUAAAUGCAGAGCACCUUUAAAGAUCAAGGACUGACUAAACAUUGUAAUUCAUGGUAAAAGAGAUCCAUUUAAGUCAUACCCAAUAUAAACCAAUAAUAGUGAAUGCAAAUGACAGCGUGCUCUCCAGCGGGUGCUUUUUAAUAAGAAGGUGAUGACUCAACAUAAAAGUAAAUAGAUAGGCCCUUCGCAGAGGGUUGCAGGGAUUUGUAGAGGUGCCAGAGCUCGAUUUUAAAAUAGAGAUUGAAUAACAUUUUGAGCGGCAUACUUUCACUGUCAACGCAACAACUAUGAGAUGGUUGUAUCUUCCAUACUACAUGCAUUAUAGGCAGUUCCCAAAUAGAAUGGUAAAGGUUUAUACUCCCCCAACCACCAACAAGCAUCAAUCCAUGGCUUGCUCGAAACAACGAGUGCCUCCAACUAACAACAGCCCUGGGGGAGUUUUGUUUAAUUAUUUUGAUUUGCUUUGAUCUUUUUGGAUCAUGGGACUGGGCAUCCCGGUUACCGGCCCCUUUCUCGUGAAUGAGGAGCGGAGUCCACUCCUCUUGAGAAUAACCCACCUAGCAUGGAAGAUAUAGGCAGCCCUAGUUGUAACAUGAGCUGCUCGAGCAUAUAAAGCAGAAUUUCAUUUGAAGGUUUGGAGUUUGGCACAUAAAAAUUUACUUGGAACGGCAGGUAAAUACCGCACAUAGGUAGGUAUGGUGGACUGAUAUGGAACAACUUUGGGGUUUAAGGAGUUUGGAUGCACAAGCAAUAUUCCCACUUAGUACAAGUGAAGGCUAGCAAAAGACUGGGAAGCGACCAACUGAGAGAGCGACAACAGCCAUCAACAUGCAUUAAAAUUAAUUUACACCGAAUACAAGCAUGAGUAGGAUAUAAUCUACCAUGAACAUAAAUAUCAUGAAGGCUAUGUUGAUUUGUUUCAACUACAUGCGUGAACAUGUGCCAAGUCGAGUCACUCAAUUCAUUCAAAGGAGGACACCAUCCCAUCAUACCACAUCAUAAUCAUUCUAAUAGCAUGUUGGCAUGCAAGGUAAACCAUUAUAACUCAUAGCUAAUCAAGCAUGGCACAAGCAACUAUAAUCUCUAAAUGUCAUUGCAAAUAUGUUUACUUCAUAAUAAGCUAAAUGAGAAACAAUGAACUCAUCAUAUUUACAAAAACAAGAGAGGUCGAGUUCAUACCAGCUUUUCUCAUCUCAAUAAGUUCAUCAUAUAUCGUCAUUAUUGCCUUUCACUUGCACGACCGAACGAUGUCUAUAAUAAUAAGAGUGCACGUGCAUUGGACUAAGCUGGAAUCUGCAAGCAUUCAACUCAAAAAAGAAGACAAGGUAAUAUGGGCUCUGAAGUAUAAAAACAAUCGUGCAUAUGAGAGCCACUAAACAUUUUCAAUAUGGUCUUCUCGACCCCCAAAGGAAAGAAAAGAAAAGAAAACUAUUUACACGGGAAAGCUCCCAACAAGUAAGAAGAAGAAUAAGAAUCUUUUUGGAUUUUCAUUUUAAUUUCUACUAUAGGCAUAGAAUUUAAACUAACUAAUUUUUUGGUUUUUCUUAAGGUUUAUCAAACACACAAGAAGAAAGCUAGAAAGAAAAUUAAACUAACAUGGAUAAUACAAUGAAAGAGUAUGAGCACCGACGACUAGUGUGUAAAUAUGAAUGUAAAGUCGGUGAGAAAUACGUACUCCCCCAAGCUUAGGAUUUUGGCCUAAGUUGGUCUAAUACCAAGGACCACCGUACUCUCCCCAGUGUACUGGGAGGUGUAAUCAGGAUACCACUGGCUGGUCAUCUCCGGAUCCCACUGGAAAGAUGAUGCACGAUAAGGGUCCAGUGAGGGUUCCGGCUCAGGUUCAGGUUCUGGAGUGGAUGCUUGGGCUCGAUGAGUGUACACCGCUUCAGGUGUAACAAGAAAAUUAUCUGCAGUCAAAUCAAACAACAGAGGCGCAGGCAAAAUAAUAGUCUCAUUGUGUUUCUUAUUAAAUCUAAGGUUAUACACGGGCAUCCUUUCUUCGUUGUCAACAAUAAAUGUGUGGGCUACCAUGCUCUUGUAAUUUAAAAUGUGAAGAGGCAAUUUUGUCUCCUCUUUCUCAUGGUGCCUAAUAGGUAUCUGAAAAUGUCUAGCAAGACGUGAAGCAUAGAUACCUCCAAAUAUGGGGCCUUUUGUACGAUUCAGGCUUAGCCAUUUAGCGACGACGACACCCAUACUAAAACUAUUAUCUCCAAGCAAGGCAUGUUGAAGAAUGAUAAUAUCAGGAACACAAAGGUUUCCACUAUUUCCACGACCAAUCAAGCAUCUACUAGCAAAUAUGAUAAAGUAGCGCAGAACAGGAAAAUGUAUGCUAGAGAUUUUCACCUCGGAACCCUUCUGUGGCUCCUCUAAAACUAUAGUGUUAACAAAGCCAUCCACAUCUUUACGAUGGGGUUCCUCUACUUCUCCCUCAUAGGGUAUCCUACAUACCGCGCAAAAAUCAUGUAAAGACAUUUCUCUGAAUUCAUCAUACAAAUGAAAUGAUACUGAAGGCGGAAAGGGCAUGGGUUUCUGGACCCAUGGUUCUCUUUCUCUAUCGUGCUUCCUAGCAACAAAAUCUCUCUUAUCAUAACGUUGAUUCUUUGAUUGUGGGUUAUCAAGAUCAACAGCAGGUUCAAUCUCUACGUCAUUGUUUUUUGAUAGGUUGAGCAUCAACAUGAACAUUAUCAUUUACAUUAUCACUAGGUUCAUGUUCAUCACCUGAUUAUGUUUCAGCAUCAGAAAUAGAAAUAUCAUUGGGAUUCUCAGGUGUGUCUACAGUAGGUGCACUAGAAGCAUGCAAAGUCCUAUCAUUUUUCUUUUCUUCUUUUUAGAAGAACUAGGUGCCUCUAGAUUAUUUCUCUGAGAAUCUUGCUCGAUUCUCUUAGGGUGGCCUUCAGGAUACAAAGGUUCCUGAGUCAUUCUACCAGUUCUAGUAGCCACUCUAACAGCAUAGUCAUUUUUAUUAUUUAAUUCAUCAAGAAAAUCAUUUUGAGCUUUAAGUACUUGCUCAACUUGAGUAGCAACCAUAGAAGCAUAUUCGCUAACGAGUUUGAGUUCGCCUUUAACUCUAGCCAUAUUAUCGCUCAUGCGUCCUAUCUCGAAAGCAUUAUUAUUUAACUCUCUACCAACAUAAGUAUUAAAACUUUCUUGUCUAGCCAUAAAGUCAUCAAAUUCAUCUAAGCAUGGGCUAUGAAAUUUAGUAGAGGGAAUUUCAACUUUAUCAUAUCUAUAGAGAGAAUUUACCUUUACUACCUAUGUCGGGUUAUCAAGACAAUGUGGUUUUUCAACAGGCGGUAUAUUAAGACCAUGUAUUUCUACAACAGGUGGUAAAUUCUUAACAUCUUCAGCUUUAAUACCUUUUUCUUUCAUUGAUUUCUUUGCCUCUUGCAUAUCUUCAGGACUGAGAAAUAAAACACCUCUCUUCUUCGGAGUGGGUUUAGGAAUAGGGUCAGGAGUUGGUUCAAUUGGUUCAAGAAUUGGCUCAGGAAUUGGCUCAGGGAGAGUCCAAUUAUUUUCAUUAGUCAACAUAUUAUUCAAUAGUAAUUCAGCUUCGUCGACUGUUCUUUCCCUGAAAACACAACCAGCACAACUAUCCAAGUAGUCCUUGGAAACAUCGGUUAGUCCAUUAUAAAAGAUAUCAAAUAUUUCAUUUUUCUUAAGAGGAUGAUCAGGCAAAGCAUCAAGUAAUUGGAGAAGCCUCCCCCAAGUUUGUGGGAGACUCUCUUCUUUGAUUUGCACAAAAUUAUAUAUUUCCCGCAAGGCAGCUUGUUUCUUAUGAGUAGGGAAAUAUUUAGCAGAGAAGUAAUAAAUCAUAUCCUGGGGACUACGCACACAACCAGGAGCAAGAGAAUUAUACCAAGUCUUAGCAUCACCCUUUAAUGAGAACGGAAAUAUCUUAAGGAUAUAAAAAUAGCGAGAUUUAUCAUCAUGAGUAAACAGGGUAGCUAUGUCAUUCAACUUGGUAAGAUGUGCCACAACAGUUUCAGAUUCAAGGCCAUAAAAAGGGUCAGAUUCAACUAAAGUAAUAAUCUCAGGAUCAACAGGGAAUUCAUAAUCCUUAUCAGUAACACAGAUAGGUGAAGUAGCAAAAGCAGGGUCAGGUUUCGUUCUAGCAUUAAGAGACUGCUGCUUCCAUUUAGCUAAUAAUUUCUUAAGAUCAUAUCUAUCUCUACAAAUAAAGAUAGCUCUAGCACCUUCCUCUUCCAUAACAUAACCCUCAGGAACAACAGGCAAUUGAUAAUUAUUAGGAGAACCUUCAUCAUCACUAUCAUCAAUAAUAGCAUCUUCAAUAAUUUUCUUCUCUCUAGCCCUAGCAAGUUGUUCAUCAAGAAAUUCACCUCAUGGAAAAGUAGUAUCACGCACAGAAGUAGUUUCAUCAUAAGUAUCAUGCAAAGUAGAAGUGGCAUCAUCAAUAACAUGCGACAUAUUAGAGUUCAUAGCAGUAGCAGGUUUAGGUGUCGCAAGCUUACUCAAAAUAGAAGGAGAAUCUAGUGCAGAGCUAGAUGGCAGUUCCUUACCUCCCCUCGUAGUUGAGGGAUAGAUAGUAGUUUUCGCGUCUUUCAAGUUCUUCAUAGUGAUCAACAGAUAUAAAUCCCAAGUUACUCAGAUAAUAGAGCUAUGCUCCCCGGCAACGGCGCCAGAAAUUAGUCUUGAUAACCCACAAGUGUAGGGGAUCGCAAUAGCUUUCAAGGGUAAAGUAUUCAAUCCAAAUAUAUUGAUUCGACACAAGGGGAGCCAAAGAAUAUUCUUGAGUAUUAGCAGCUGAGUUGUCAAUUUAACCACACCUGGAUAACUUAGUAUCUGUAGGAAAGUAUUUAGUAGCAAAGUAGUAUGAUAAUAAAGGUAACGGUAACAAAAGUAAUGUUUUUGGGUUUUGUAGUAGUUGUAACAGUAGGAACGGAAAAAUAAAUAAGCGAAGAACAAUAUGUGAAAAGCUCACAGGCAAUGGAUCAAUGAUGGAUAAUUAUGCCAGAUGCAAUGCCUCAUGUAAUAGCUAUAAAAUAGGGUGACACAUAACUAGCUCCAGUUCAUCAAUGUAAUGUAGGCAUGUAUUCCGUAAAUAGUCAUACGUGCUUAUGGAAAAGAACUUGCAUGACAUCUUUUGUCCUACCCUCCCGUGGCAGCGGGGUCCUAGUGGAAACUAAGGGAUAUUAAUGCCUCCUUUUAAUAGAGAACUGGAACAAAGCAUUAGCACAUAGUGAAUACAUGAACUCCUCAAACUACGGUCAUCACCGAGAAGUAUCCCGAUUAUUGUCACUUCAGGGUUAUCGGAUCAUAACACACAAUAGGUGACUAUAGACUUGCAAGAUAGUAUCAAGAACACACAUAUAUUCAUGAAAACAUAAUAGGUUCAGAUCUGAAAUCAUGGCACUUUGGCCCUAGUGACAAGCAUUAAGCAUAGCAAAGUCAUAGCAACAUCAAUCUCAGAACAUAGUGGAUACUAGGGAUCAAACCCUAAUAAAACUAACUUGAUUACAUGGUAAAUCUCAUCCAACCCAUCACCGUCCAGCAAGCCUACGAUGGAAUUACUCAUGCACGGCGGUGAGCAUCAUGAAAUUGGUGAUGGAGGAUGGUUGAUGAUGACGACGGCGACGAAUCCCCCUCUCCGGAGCCCCGAACGGACUCCAGAUCAACCCUCCCGAGAGAGAUUAGGGCUUGGCGGCGGCUCCAUAUCAUAAAACGCGAUGAAACUUUCUCUUUGAUUUUUUCUCCCCGAACGUGAAUAUAUGGAGUUGGAGUUGAGGUCGGUGGAGGUCCAUGGGGCCCAUGAGACUGGGGGCGCGCCCAGGGGGAGGGCGCGCGCCCCCCACCCUCUUGGACAGGGUGUGGGCCCCCUGGUCUUGAUUCUUUCGCCAGUAUUUUUUAUAUUUUCCAAAAAGUGCCUCCGUGGAUUUUCAGGACAUUCCGAGAACUUUUCUUUUCUACACAUAAAACAACAUCAUGGCAGUUCUGCUGAAAACAGCGUCAGUCCGGGUUAGUUUCAUUCAAAUCAUGCAAGUUAGAGUUCAAAACAAGGGCAAAAGUGUUUGGAAAAAUAGAUACGUUGGAAACGUAUCAACCACCGGGUCCAUCGGAUCAACUCGAUCACUCCAAAGCCUAGGAGGCGCCGAGAAAGCCCCCAAGGAUCCAAGCUGCAACGUACUCAUCGGAACAGUACCUGUUGACCUUUCAGUAGUAGUCUCAGCAGAGUUAGACGGACCCGAAGGCCCCUUGGCCUUAUCGUCAUUACUCUUAGCACUAUCAUCCUGGUUCCCCGAAGCACCUCCUCCCUCGGAAGUGUCCAUAGGAUUAUCGUCCUCAAAUUCCCGGAAAAGAUUGGUAUCCUCAUACUCGACAUCCAGCUGAUAUAGAACGCCUUCAUGCGUCCAAGGCACCACAUCCGGCAAGAACUCAAUGUUAGCAACACUGACAAGCAAACGUGCCAUCCCAUGAGCACGUGUGAACUGCAUAUCCACCUGUUCAGUCUUACCAAUCAGAGAACCCAGGCUCCAGGUGACCAAAAAACUAUCCAAGGGAGCAGAUGGCGCCUCGGAGAAAUGAACCCAAAUCUGAGUUAACGGCGUGCCCUGCGGCUCCUUCUUUUUCCACUCAUCAAACUGCAGCACAAAACUAGUACCAGUGACCCUGCUCAUACCAAACUUGAGGAUUCUCAGCUGAUCCUUCUUAGACGGGAAAUCCACUUUGUAAGUCUGAUCUGUCAGCUUGAGCAAAGACCACUGAAAAUUACCCGGUGCCAACUCCCGCAACUACUGAAUGAUUUGUGCCUCAGUCAAAGGUCCAUGAACCACCUUCACCACACCAGGGAAGGAGGUUUCAACCACGGGUGUCAAAGGUUCCACACAGGGAGACUCGAAGAACAUCAACUCCGAGCAGCAGACCCCAUAGAUGUUAACAGAAGGUUUAGGCCCCAACAAAAGAGGACACUCUGAAGUUGUAUGCUUAGGUUUCCAGCACAAGUCGCAUAACUCCGCAGUGCAUUCAACCAGAAAGUGACCCGGUUCACCGCAACGGAAACAGGUCAACUUCUUCUUUUGAGCCGCCCACUUGGACACCUUUUCAACCUCGGACUUCUCCGUACCUUGUUCAGAAGUAGUAUCUCCAGUAUGCAUGGGCUCCGACAAUGUAACUGCGGCCAAGGCCUGAAUCGUCUCCACCGCCACUUGCGGUAGAGCCGAUCCAACGGCAGCCACCUCCGGCGAGGUCGUCUACUGCUCAGAAACAGUGGUCGGCUGCCUCGGCAGAGGAGGGCGCCGCCACGGCCUCCGCGGAAACGACCCCGGAAAGGAUGGUUAUUCGGGCAAACCGCGCCCUCCACAAAGUUGCCAGGCGAACCCCUACCGGCAUUGCCUUGAUCCACCCAAGCAUAGCCACGGCCGCCUCCGGUAGACAAAGAACCUUGAUGCAUACCAUCACCGUAUGCAUUAUAUCCAUCAUCGCGCCACUGACCGCGCGGAGGGUUGGAUUGUCACCCGUGAAAGCACCCGUACCACGACCAUUCAUGGCUUGGCCUGUCCCACCACGGCCGCCCGCCCUCUGCCUCGGCCACGGUCGUUGCGGUGGUGAUGGCUCAGCCCUAGCCGAUGGCGGAGGCGCAGCCCUUGGUGGGGGCGGCGGAGGUGGGGCAGCCCUUGGUGGCGGUGGAGCGGCCCUCGCAGGGGGCGGAGGAGGCGCCGUCCUAGGCGGCAGCGGAGCCACCCUGGGCGGAGGCGCAGCCCGCACGGGCACCGGAGCGGCAGCGUCCGCAGCCUGCGCCGAAGCCAUGCCCGCAGCCCCCGACGCAUUCCUCGACGUCGGCGCGGCCCUUGAUGGAGGAGGCUUGGGCGGCAUCGCAGCCGCACGAACCGCGGAUGGCGGGCGGUCUCCAAACCGGACGAUUCCAAGGUUGACACGGCGCGAGGAGGCAGUAGGGAACCCCCGACUCCCGCGAUGAUGAACCCUAGAACCAGCGAUGCGGCAGCAGGGAGAGAAUGAACGUGCAUGCAGCGGCUCCCGAUCUGAUGCCUCCUCAUGCACGUCGCCCCUCCCAGAUGGAUCGCAGACUUGGCCAGCCCCCUGGGCCUCAAGCCCAGUACUAACCAAGCCCACAACGCCAUUGUUCACUUGUGGCCCGUCUCGGCCUAAAAGCGAAUUCAAACAUUCAAUCCUUGCCGCCCGAACAUCACGCACAACAGCCGCCGCCGGCGAUCGCUGAGGCACAACUCGGCCUCCCUUCUUCUUUCGCCUAGUUACUCUCGUCCAGCACUCGGGAUGAAAAAAGUCGGACAGCGUAACAACAGACGGAGCCACUUUUGGCAACGGUCCAAUCCAUGGUUCACUUUCGGCUUCUGCGAAGGAACCCUAGGACCGAGCGGAAUAGAAUAUUUGCAGCCCUCAUUAGGGUUAGGCAGCGAGACGGACAUUACCAAGUCAAGCUUAGGUGGCGGCCGAUCAUACGUGGCCUGCCGAUCAUCAUCGUCUUCCUCCUCGUUGGCAAGAAUCCAGAAGCGAACCCCAAACCGCUGCGUAGGCUUCGGUCCGUCCACCUCCGUCGUAAGAUCCACAACGAGAGGUUGAUCUCCGCAUUCCGCAGGCACAUGCACACACUCAAGAACCUCGAUUUGGUAAAUAUCAAUCAAUAAACGCUUACCACUAGCAAGUUCCUCGUCGGUUCUCACAUGCCGUCCGGCCAAAAUUUCUCCUUCUUCAUCUCUGAUCAUCGUCCAUCGAGACGGAUGCGAGUAGAUCAAACCAGUGAUCCAUCGCCCAGCCUCCCUUGCAUCUUCGAAACGCACGCGCCAUUUUGAAGGAUUCAAAAAUCCCCGAUCCCGAUCCGCCGUCGAGGAACCUCGACGGGAAACCGGGCAGGGCCGUCAUGGCACUACUUAUUAUUACCAUGGUCCCAAAUUACUUGUCCUAAAUUUAUCUAUAUACGAAUGUAUGGAACACUAAAACGUGUCUAAGAUAAGUAAUGCGGGAUGGAGGGAGUAGAACAAAAUGAUGUUUAGCCAAGUCAAGAAGACCUUUACUAUUCAAAACAUCAUUUUCGUUAGUUCACUUGUUUACACGAGACAAGGAGCCAUGGGGCCAAUGCCUCAUGGACACAACACGUUGAUGAGAAUGCAUGUUCAGGGUAACGCCUUAGCUAUUUAAACACUUGAAGGGUCGUUGUGAGAUCACUGCAUAUCGAAAAGUGAGAGCGCCACGAUCGACCGGGAGUAGCGAUGUCGAGGACAUUUCAGUUGCUGCUAGUUCUUGCACUAGUAGGAAUAGUUAGAGUGAGUGGUUCCCGCGCUCAUAAGAACGUCACCCACGGCCCGCACAGCUGCAGCGGCGUGGAUGUCCCCUACCCGUUCGGCAUCGUGGAGGAUGGCGGCGGUGGCGACUACCGCGCUGGGUUCCAUGUCAUGUGUGACGCCGGUGAGCCGGUACUGCACACCACCGGCGGCGACGGAAAGCCCGUUAAGAUCGGCAACUUCUCCAUCCAGGCGGCUGAGGCCCGCGUGUGGCUGCCUGUAGUGUGGCAGUGCUACGACUCCUCCGGCAAGCCGAGUAGGUCAGACUACAGGAACCUAGAGUUCAACAAAGGGGGCGUGUACCGCAUCUCCAACGCCAAGAACAACCUCUUUGUCCUGGGCUGCAAAACCACGGGCUACCUCGCGAGCCAGCCGGACCAGGGCUCCGGCGAAAGCACGUCUUACGCCCAGUUCACCGGCUGCCUCUGCUACUGCAACAACUCCCAGAGCGCGGUGAACGGUGCCUGCUCCGGGGUAGGCUGCUGCCACGUAGACAUUCCGCCGGACCUCACCGACAACUGGGUGGCCUUCAUGAGCUACGACCACACCGACAAGGUCAACUUCAGCCCCUGCGAUUAUGCGUUUGUGGCGGAGAAAAAACAUUACACCUUCAACACCACCGACCUCAAGAGGGCACUGCGCCAGAACACCUGGGGCUGGGAGAUGCCGGUGGUCCUCGACUGGGCCAUCCGCGACAGCCCCACCUGCAAGGAGGCAAGGAAG